rnacentral:lncRNA from 1 species
CAGUUCUCGGAGGUGAAGCAGCUCACGUUCGGGGCCACCACGCUGCGCUCCGGCCUGCACGCGCUGCUGCCGGCGCUCCGCCCGCUGCUCAUCAACAAGAAGGAUCUGCGCUUCCCGCACUUCCCCGCCAUCGACGACCUCUUCAGCGACGGCAUCCCGCUGCCGGCGCAGACCGGGUUCGACGCCAUCCGCACCGUCGUCCCGCGCAUGGUCAAGCUGGUGGAGGACACCACCGACCACGUCCUCCGCUUCGAGGUGCCGGAGAUGAUAGAGAGUAAGCUAGCUAGCAGACGCACUCAUCUCAGGACUGCUUGUUAUCUUAAUCUUAAAAAAAAUAAAUGAUUUGCUUUGCUAGGGGACCGGUUCUCGUGGUUCAAGGACGAGGAGUUCGCGAGGCAGACGAUCGCGGGGCUCAACCCGCUGUGCAUCCAGCUGCUGACUGAGUUCCCCAUCAAGAGCAAGCUGGACCCGGAGGUGUACGGGCCAGCGGAGUCCGCCAUCACCAAGGAGAUCCUGGAGAAGCAGAUGAACGGCGCGCUGACCGUGGAGCAGGCGCUGGCGGCGAAGCGGCUGUUCAUCCUGGACUACCACGACGUGUUCCUGCCCUACGUGCACAAGGUGCGGGAGCUGCAGGACGCGACGCUCUACGCCUCGCGCACCAUCUUCUUCCUGACGGACCUGGGCACGCUGAUGCCGCUGGCCAUCGAGCUGACGCGGCCCAAGUCGCCGACGCGGCCGCAGUGGAAGCGGGCGUUCACGCACGGGCCCGACGCCACCGACGCCUGGCUGUGGAAGCUGGCCAAGGCGCACGUGCUGACCCACGACACGGGGUACCACCAGCUGGUGAGCCACUGGCUGCGCACGCACUGCUGCGUGGAGCCCUACAUCAUCGCCGCCAACCGGCAGCUGAGCCGGCUGCACCCGGUGUACCGCCUGCUGCACCCGCACUUCCGCUACACCAUGGAGAUCAACGCGCUGGCCAGGGAGGCGCUCAUCAACGCCGACGGCAUCAUCGAGGAGUCCUUCUGGCCGGGCAAGUACGCCGUCGAGCUCAGCUCCGUGGCGUACGGCGCGACGUGGCAGUUCGACACGGAGGCGCUGCCCAACGACCUCAUCAAGCGCGGGCUGGCCGUGCGCGGGGAGGACGGGGAGCUGGAGCUCACCAUCAAGGACUACCCCUACGCCCACGACGGGCUCCUGGUCUGGGACUCCAUCAGGCAGUGGGCGUCCGAGUACGUCAACGUCUACUACAAGUCCGACGAGGCCGUGGCCGCCGACCCCGAGCUGAGGGCGUUCUGGGACGAGGUGCGCAACGUGGGGCACGGCGACAAGAAGGACGAGCCGUGGUGGCCCGUGCUGGACACCCGCGACAGCCUGGUGGAGACGCUGACCACCAUCAUGUGGGUCACCUCCGGCCACCACUCGGCCGUCAACUUCGGCCAGUACCACUUCGCCGGCUACUUCCCCAACCGGCCGACCACCAUCCGGAAGAACAUGCCGGUGGAGGAGGGCGGGCCGGGCGAGGAGAUGGAGAAGUUCCUCAAGCAGCCGGAGACGACGCUGCUGGACAUGCUGCCCACGCAGAUGCAGGCCAUCAAGGUCAUGACGACGCUGGACAUCCUCUCGUCGCACUCGCCCGACGAGGAGUACAUGGGGGAGUUCGCGGAGCCGUCGUGGCUGGCGGAGCCCAUGGUGAAGGCGGCGUUCGAGAAGUUCGGCGGCAGGAUGAAGGAGAUCGAGGGGUUCAUCGACGAGUGCAACAACAACCUGGACCUCAAGAACCGCUGCGGCGCCGGGAUCGUGCCGUACGAGCUGCUCAAGCCCUUCUCCAAGCCGGGAGUCACCGGGAGGGGCAUCCCCAGCAGCAUCUCCAUCUGAUCCAUCCUCAGCAUGCAUUAGUCCAAUUAAAUCGGGGGGUGUACUAUUAUUGCAUGCAGAGGCUGCUUGUCGAAUAAAACGUACUAUAUGUACGAUUGUAUUGUACAUGUGUGUCAAUGCAACAAGAGGCACGUUUGAGACUUUGAGUUAAUACCAAUUAAACUAGUAAGAUGGCAUUAUUAACAGAGCCUUUAUACAUUUUGAAACAACUUUAUACAUUUUGAAACGACUAGAUAUAUAUAUACAGUAUAAUUUUGAGAUAGCUUCAAAGUACGAAAAGUAAAAAUGACCCUGAAAGUGAUAGAAUAACAACCCACUCUUUACAGAGCAGCAGAUAGUACAAACGACAGGCUAGUCAGUUUCUCUCCGUCCUUCAUGCAUGAGCAUCGCAGCCGAGAUCGGCAUAUAUGCUGGUUUCAUCACGUAUUGUCCAAAAAAUAUUCACGGGAAAACAGGUGAGCCCAGUGCCAUAGGCGGGCGCUUCAGCACCAAGCCAAGCGGAUGCCGCUGGAACCCAAUGUCCACUGGCUAGCUAACACCUGUUAUCUCUCCACAGUUUCACAGACAGCGAUAUAUAUGGGCUCACUAGAGAAGACAAUGGAGCUCGCCGCCGCUCGAUCGCAAUCUGGAUGUGAAUGGAGGAGGGUACAGUGUUGAUGUUGGACACAAGCAGUAGUGUGUACAUCUCCAUGCACAGGACCUCAGGCAUCCUACUUCUUCCGUUCUUUUUUAUUUAUCACAUUUUAGUUAAAAAAAAUCUAGCGGACGAUAAAUAUUUGAGAACAAAGUUAGUAUAUUUUUUUAACAGUAGAUAAGAUAUCAAGUCAGAAUUGUUUUACGAAUCUAGCUUUCCAUGGUAGGGGUUAAAAUAGAGGGAAAUGGGCUGGGCUUUGAAUAGGCUUUUGAAACAUUAAGACAAGCAGAAAGAGAUAGGGAAAGGAAAAGAGAUAUUCCGAAGGAAAAUUCCCUUCUUGAAUCAAUUAAUGAUCAGGCAAUUACUUAAAAAAAUAACAUGCUCGCACAUUUCAUCCAAGAUAUCCCUGAGAUAGGCUAUGAUCACGAUGAGAUAUGCAUAGAACUAUGUGACCUAGUGGCAUCCAAAGGUAAGCAUGAAACCUUGAGAAGGGGGGGGGCAUAAGGGUCGUAAGACCAAUAAGUCACAUAGCUCUCAGUGAAAUAAAAAAAUUUUUGGAAUAGUAGAGGUUUUUCAGACUUGACUAAAAUUCGAUGUUUAUUGAAUGCAGAAAAGGAACAUAAUCUCGACUUCGUUACGGUGAUGGAAACUGGUAAACAGGACAUGUCCGUCCGAAUCUUGCAUGACUCACGAGGUGCAAGUUUUGUUUGGCAUAAUUUACCACCACGUGGAAAUUAGAAAGUUAAUGCUAUUAUGUUUGAUUAUCUCUAUUUGUUGAGGGGGAUUUCAUAUAAAGUUCCAUCCCAUCGAUAAAUGGGAUAAAUUCAGCUUGAAUCUAAUGGCAGUUUAUGGGUUGGCUUUUGAUGAAAAUGAUAUCUUAUUGAACCUUUUUAAAGAAACAAAUAUAAAAGAUGCUACUUCUAGAUGGAGCAAAAUAAGACUCCAGGGCCAGAUGGACUCCUAGCAGAGUUUUACUAAAAAAAUUUAAGGACAUUAUCAAAUAUGACUUGCUACAAAUGUUCAAGAACAUGUAUAAAUGUAUAGGGGUGACCGGUCAUUGUUUGGCUUGAACUUUAUUAUAAUCACUUGUAUCCUUGAACUUUAUUAUAAUCACUUGUAUCCCUAAGGUACAUGACGCAAAACUAAUAAAACAACAUAGACCCAUUUGUCUCUUGAAUGUUAGUUACAAGAUCUUCACCAAAGUAGCUACUAACAUGUUGAAUCUAGUAGCUAACAAAAUAGUAAAGCCUACCCAAACCACUUUCAUGCAAGAACAAAAUAUCCUAGGAGAAGUAAUCCUACAAGAAACAAUCCAUGAGUUACACAGACAAAAAGAUAGAUGGGGUAAUUUUCAAGAUAGGUUUUGAUAAGACAUACGAUAAAGUUAAGUGGCUUUCAUGUAUCAAACUAUACAUAUGAAGGAUUUCUCUCCAAGAUGGAUAUCUUAGACAAAGAAGUUCAUCUCAGAAGGCAGUGUGGGUGUAAAUGUUAAUGACAAGAUAGGUCACUAUUUUCAAACAAAGAAAUGCUUUAGGCAGAGAUCACUUCCAUCCCUUCAUUUUAAUAUGGUGGCUGAAAGGGAAAUAGGCUUACACCUUUUCUAAUUGAUUUUGGUGGUUGAAUUGCCCAACACAAAUAAUUGGACUAACUAGUUUGCUCUAGAUUAUAAGUUUUACAGGUGUCAAAGGUUCACAACAAACCAAUAAAAAGACCAAGAAAGGGUUCAAACAAAGAGAGCAAAAGACUACUGAAGUGUGCCCUGGUCUGGCGCACCGGACUGUCCGGUGCACCAGGGACCCCAACUCCGAACUUGCCACCUUCGGGAAUUCUGGGAGCCACUCCGCUAUAAUUCACCGGACUGUCCGGUGCGCCAGCGGAGUAACGGCUACACAGCGCAAACGGUCGUCUGCAACGAGUCGUUAAUGCGCUACAGUGUGCGCAGAAGUCAGAGCAGAGCCAGAAGGCGCACCAGACAGUGAACAGUGACUGUCCGGUGCACCACCGGACUGUCCAGUGGCCCAGCUGUUAGAAGCUCCAACGGUCAGAACCCAACGGCCGGGUGACGUGGCUGGCACACCGGACUGUGUCCGGUGGCGCACCGGACUGUCCGAUACGUCAUGCGACAGCAGCCUCCACCAACAGCUCCUUUGGUGGUUGGGGUUAUAAAUACCCCCAACCACCCACCAUUCAUUGCAUCCAAGUUUUCAGCCUUCACACCUCAUACAAGAGCUAUAGCAUUCAAUACAAGACACAAACAAAUCAAAUCCUCUCCCAAGUCCAAAGAUCAUUUCAAUCAAAUAGUGACUAGUGAGAGAGAGAUACUUAUGUUCAUUUAAGCUCUUGCGCUUGGAUUGCUUUUCUUCUUCCUUCUUUCUUGUGUUCAAUUCACUUGUAAUCAAAACAAGAGACACCAAGUUGUAGUGGUCCUUGUAGUGGACUUAGUGUCCCAUUUGAUUGAAGAGAAAGGCUCACUCGGUCUAGGUGACCGUUUGAGAGAGGGAAAGGGUUGAAAGAGACCCGGUCUUUGUGACCACCUCAACGGGGAGUAGGUUUGCAAGAACCGAACCUCGGUAAAACAAAUCACCGUGUCAUCUGCCUUAUUCGCUUGUGAUUUGUUUUCACCCUCUCUUUCGGACUCGCUUUUAUUUCUAACGCUAACCCCGGCUUGUAGUGUGUGCUUAAGUUUGUAAAUUUCAGAUUUGCCUAUUCACCCCCCUCCAGGCGACUUUCGGUGGCAGAUAUGUUGGCUAUAAUAAUUAAAAGGGCAAAUAUAAAAGGAUGAGUUAGUGAGGUAGUGCCCCACUUAAUAGAUGGAGACUUAUCUAUCCUUGAAUAUGCUGAUGACAAAUCCUAUCCUUAGAAUACGAUCUGGAAAAGGCUCACAAUACAAAAUUGUUACUUUGUAUUUGUAAAAUCUCAAGGCUUAAAAUCAACUUCCAUAAGAGAGAAAUAUUAUGCUUUGGUGCAACACAAGAUCAUGAGCAAGUGUAUAGAGAUAUUUUUGGGUGCGAAAAAGCAAAGCUCCCUCUAUGGUAUCUGGGUAUUCCUAUUUAUUAUAUGAAGUUAAAAAUGCCAAUUGCAGGGAGCUAGAGAAAAGAUAUGAAAAAGACUUAGUAGAUACAAAGGAAAACAUCUUUCAAUUGGGGGAAGGCUAACCUUAAUCAACUCAGGUUUAAAUAGUCUCCCCUUGUUAUGAUGUCUUUCUUCCCUGUUCCAAAGGGUGUUCUCAAGAAGCAUGACUACUUUCAAUCUCACUUCUAUUGGCAAAGUGAUGAGAACAAAAAGUAUGGCCUUAGCAAAUGGAACAUCCUUUAUCAACCUAAGGACCAAGGGGUUUUGGGCAUCAUGGACCUCAAACUAAAGAAUAAUGCCCUGCUAAGAAAAUGAUUGUUUAAACUUCUUACUGCGAAGGGAAUGUGGCAACAAUUACUUACAAACAAAUACCUCAGUUCCAAACCACUAGUCCAAGUUGAAUGCAAACUAGAAGACUCACCUUUUUUUAUCAGGGCUAAUGAAGGUGAAUAAAGACUUCCUUCGAUUUGGAUCAGUGUUAAAAUCAGAUAACUUAAAUCUAUCUUGGAUGCAAUCUCUAAUUGGACCUAAGAUUGUUGCCUGGAAUGAGUUACACUAGAAGUUUGUUAGCAUUGCUUUAACAAAAGAUAUAUACAUCUUUUGUUGUAACGUUCAUCCAAAUAGACUAUUCUUGAUGAAAUGUCUCUAUUUGGCCCUAAUCAAUGAGAAUGUGCCAAACCUAAAUAAGAGAUUAUGGAAACUAAAAGCAACCCACAAAAUCAAAUUUUUUAUGGUAUAUUCGUACAUGAGUGAACCUCAUCAAAGAUAAUUUGGCUAAACAAAAUUGGAAGGAAAGUAAAGCAUGUAUUUUCUAUCAAGACAACAAAACGAUACAUUACAUAUUUUUUUGAAUGCCAUUUUGCUCAUCUGGUUUAGAACAUGUUUUGGGCGUUCAAAAUCCCAAAACCAACAUCCACCUCAAAUAUGUUCGAGAAUUCGCUUUAACACUUUGACAAAAAAAUUAAAAAUAUCCCUACUAGAAGUAGCAACCAUCUGUCAGUCUCUGUGGCCUAGUACAAACAAUCUGAUUUUUCAAAAAAAAACUUUGUGACUCCUCCGCAUGUUAUUUUCACUACUACCCACUAGUUACAAUCUUGGAUCAAGUUGUAGAGACACGAACAACAUUCUAUGGUGAUGGAGGCUUUAAAGCAUUUGAAGCAAAUGGCCAUGACAUUCUUAUCCCAAGCACAUGGGUGGCAAUCUAGUCAUACGAUUGAGAGUAUUAAAAGUAUGCAUGUCAUGUUUCUUUUUUUCUUUUUACUUGCUUUCCUCGGUUGUGUGCAUCUUGUUAUUACAUAGGUCUAGAGAUGUUCGUUAUUUCAAAAGUAUUCAUUGUCCUAUAGUUUGUUUGUUUUUUGAUAAGGAAAUGCAAUAAAAAUCUUCCUUAUCCAAAAAAAACAAACUACAGGAAGUGAGAUGGGGCAAUGACUGUUGUGCAAGUAAGACAUAGGUGAGUGUGCAAACGACACAUUUAGCAUUUACCCCCCUCCCCCCUUAGGUCACUAAUAGUCCAGACAUGUCACUGGUACGCACUGGUAUGGUGGGGGUUUAAAUGCUAAAAUUAGCAACUACGAUUGGAUCACAAUCUAAAAGCCAUUGUCUCAAGGUAACGACGGUUACACAAGCAAAUCUUAGGUGCAAGUAUGUGAGCCUCCUGGAUUUUAAAUCAUGAUCCAAUCAUCCAACCAAAGUCGUACGUACUUAAACCUCCCAUCAUACCAGGGCAUACCAGUGUCAUGUCUGGACUAAUAGCGAGCUAGUGAAGGGUUUAAGUGUUAAAUGUGUAACUAAGGUUGGUGAGGGUUUAAGUGCUAUAUGUAUAACUAUGGUUGGAAUACGUGAAGGGCCAUGAGACACGCACCUAAUAAGGCUUGCUUGCUGCGUAUAUGAACAAACCAGAAAAGAGCAUCCAAAAUAUCAUCCCCACGCGAGCUCAGGUUACUCUUGUCCCAAAUAGACGGGCAAAGAACUCCCGUAAGUAGUAGUAACUGUACGGGUAACCGCUAACCAAGAUUGAACCAGUUUCUCCAGGACAGGAUGGCGGGGUUUGUUCUAGUCCUUUCUCCGUUGAUAACAAUGGCGGUGUCUACCUGUAUUCCAGUCGUCCAUGGUAGUCAGAGCGUUGCAUCACAGCAGCUUUGACCAUCACCAAUUGGCAUGAUAAGAAAUGCAGAAAGAGGUGCGACGACGGUUGAGAACUCGAGAUACUUGGAGUGCCAUCGACUAUAUAAGGCAGCAUAAGACCCAGAAGAAUAGAGGAAGAACGGGCAUUCAUCACCGUGAGAUGCAGCUCUCAGUUCCACCCUGACUGACUGAUGAAAAUAAUCAAGCUGAGACUUUGAUAACUGUAAUAACAAGAGCUUAAGAAGAAAUAAGAAUCACCAUCCAGUGACGUACCAGUAGAGGACGGCUCAAAAUAAGGUCGAGUUGUUAUGAAAGAGGGAUCCUGAGCAUCAAUCUCCAAGUGGCGUGUUGUGCUAAUCUUUUGAAGACCUGUUGAUUCGACAAGCUUUACUAAUUUGUCCGUUAUGAUUGUCAUGGGCGGGCGGAGAUCUGGUGAUUGCUGCAUUGUGGAAGAAAUAUCAUAAGUAAUUGUAACUUCUGUUAAUGUUUUAGUUGGUGAACAUUUACAUCAUUAGAAUUGCUGCAAGAAUAUAUUUUUUGUUAAAGGAUAGAGAUUUCCUCCUUGAUUACAGGGCUACGUCCUUGAUUCUUCCCUUGAUUUUGAUAACAGGGCUGCGCCCCUGCCUUAUUCUUCUCCUUGACUAUAGGGUUGUGCCCCUGAUUCUUCUCUGUAACCAUCUGUGAUGUACACCAUUGAUCUAUAUAUUCACACGACAGCCACUCCUAUAGGUGUGGAUUAUUUCAUCUAACAUGGUACCAGAGUCAAGGUUCUUUUAAACCACCACCUCCUCCACCCGAUCCUUUCCCACCACCACCAUGGCAUCCAUCGAUUCCUCUCCCACCACCAUGGCAACGAUCUCCAUCAUUCCUCUACACCAUGUUGUCACUGUUCGCCUCACCAAGAAAAAUUUUCUUAUAUGGCGUGCGCAACUCCUUCCGUUCCUCCGCAGCUCCAAAUUAGGGCAUGUUCGGUUCUACCCCAAUCCAUAUGGAUUGAGAGGGAUUGAGGGGGUUUCAAUCCCUAGUAAAUCAAAAUCUCUCCCAAUCCGUAUCAAUCCCCUCGAAUCCAUAUGGAUUGAAAAUAACCGAACAAACCUCGAUGGCACUAUGGCUGCUCCAACCAAGGAGGUGCCUUCUUCUGCUGCCUCCGGCGCUAAGAUGAUGCCAAACCCGGCGUAUGAAAGCUGGUGUGACCUAGAUCAACAGAUCCUCAGUGGUCUGCUCUCCACGGUGACAAAGGAGAUCCUUUGUGAUCUCACGACGGCCACAACAUCCAAGGAGGUUUGGGACUCGCUGACGCGUCAGUUCUCCUCCUCAACUCGAGCUCGCGACGUGCAGCUUCGGGUGGAGCUCGCCAGCGCAAAGAAACUCGACCUCUCAGCUGCAGAUUACUUUGCCAAGAUCAAGGGCAUUGCUGCAGAGAUGGUGGCUGCUGAUUGUCCUAUCUCCAACGACGAGAUUCUCUCUUAUCUCUUUGCGGGUCUUGGAGCUGAUUAUGAUGCUUUUGUGACCGCCAUGACCACAAAAACAGAGCCACUCUCUUGAUGACACGUAUGCGCAUCUUCUCGUCUACGAGCAGCGCCAACUGCAGCAUCACGCCGAGCAACAGGUUCACUGUGCAUGGGCCAACUUUGCUGGCCGCGGUGGUGUUAGGGCCUAAGGAGGCCCACGGAGGGGCUGCAGUAGCAGCUGCCAUGGGCCCUCUAAGGGCUUAUUCGUUUUGGAGUGGAUUGAGGGGGAUUGGAGGGGAUUAAAUCCCCUCCUAUACAAAUUUGUAUAGGAGGGGAUUUAAUCCCCUCCAAUCCCCCUCAAUCAACUCCAAAGCGAACAAGCCCUAAGGGGGAUUAGAUAAGGAUAGUUAGAGAUAAGAUUAGAAGAUUAGUUGAGAUUAUUUAGGAGAUUAGUUGAAAUUAUCUAGGAAGGUUAUCAGUUAGUAGUUUGUUGAUAGUUUUUAGGAGAGUUUUAAGGAGAUAAGGAUCUCUAGCUAGAUAGGGGCAACCAGCUAGCCUAUUUAUGUAAUCAAUGGAUGAGAAAUAAAGUAAGCAACAAUUAGAAGGGAGAAACCCUCCUCUUGCUCGGCCGUGGGCAGAGGCCUCCGGCCGACGUUCCUGCCCAUCGAUACACCUCUCUAAUCCCUCACCGAUCUAGCGACCAUAACAUCUGGUAUCGGAUAGCUUGGGUUUCGAUCUGAUCCCAUGGCUUCUGCUGCCAAUUUCGCGGCGUCAUCCUGGCAACCGGCGUCCCCAUCUCCAUGGACUGUGUCGUAUGUCACCUUCGUCACGUCGUCCUGGCAACCGACGUCCCCAUCUCCAUGGGCAGCGUCGUAUGCCACCUUCGUCACGCCAUCCUGGCAAUCGGCGUCCCCAUCUCUAUGGGCAACAUCGCCUGUCAAUUUUGUCACCACAUCCUGGACGCCGGCGUGCCCAUCUCCAGGGACAACACCAAAUUUUGUCACAUCUUCGUUGACGGCGUCUCCGUCCCCAUGGGAGACGCCACUAGGGGCAGCCACAGCUCAACAAUCACCAGCUCCAUCGAUGGGGGACUUGUGGACCAACAUAAGGGCUGAUCUCGCAAAGAUGCAAGCCACACUCCAGAAGGUUGAGCAAGGGCUGCUGCAAAUCAAGGUAGCAGUGCAACAUGAGCAGCACCACCUGGCGUUGUCCGCACGGCUCCAGACGUCGGCGGCUGUGGGCAUACAAGCUGCUGCUCGUGGCUUCCUUGCAUGACGGAGAGUGCGGGAGAUGCGCCGGCAGAUGCUCGAGGCGGCCUUGGUGACGGUUGACCUCGGCACAUGGGGGCGCGACCUCGCCCUGUCGGACGGCCAUCAGCAGUGGCACCGGGCCGCUAUCUCCAAGUGCGAGCAUGGUACAUAUCCCGCGGGCGACAAACUUAAACUCUACGGUAGUGGCGGUAAGGAAGGCACUCCCCUCGUCAUCGGCAAGGGCGCACUAUUCAACGCCACCACAUUCCGCUAUCGGCCGCCACGAGGGCGCCUCCGAUGGUUAUUGUUGCGACCUAUUCCAGGUGGUCGUCCAUAUGCUCCCCUUUCGUCUAGAUGGCGUCCAUGGGAUCCAGGUGGCUGCACACGUGCAAGUCCAAUGCGCGGAGGGUGUCCGCCUUAUCUUAUGGGGUGAAAAAAAAUUCAGAUUCGGAAUAAUUAGAUAAGCCGAGAUGUAAAAGGCUUGUCUUCUAGGUGUCUGGUUUUGGGUCAAGUAGACUCGGUCUUUGAGCACCCGUCAUGCUGCAGCUCGAGGACGAGCUGCUUGUCCAGGAGGGGUGUAGUGUCAGGGCCUAAGGAGGCCCACGGAGGGGCUGCAGUAGCAGCUGCCAUGGGCCCUCCAAGGGGGAUUAGAUAAGGAUAGUUAGAGAUAAGAUUAGAAGAUUAGUUGAGAUUAUUUAGGAGAUUAGUUGAAAUUAUCUAGGAAGGUUAUCAGUUAGUAGUUUGUUUAGAGUUUUUAGGAGAGUUUUAAGGAGAUAAGGAUCUCUAGCUAGAUAGGGGCAACCAGCUGGCCUAUUUAUGUAAUCAAUGGAUGAGAAAUAAAGUAAGCAAGAAUUAGAAGGGAAAAAACCCCUCUUGCUCGGCCGUGGGCAGAGGCCCCCAGCCAGCGCCCUGUGAACAGUAAUCGCGAGUACUGUUCACGCAUGAACAGUACCGCCCCACCUCCACCAGCACCUCCAACCAUCGAAUUGCCUCUCUAAUCCCUCACCGAUCUAGCGACCAUAACAUCUGUCUGUGGUCAUGGCCGCAGUGACCGCAGUCGAGGCCGCACUUCUUCCAGGGGCAGCUUCUCCUGUCGCCAUGAUGCGCGUGGUGACUGGCAAACCAGCAACGGUCGCCCCCCAUGCUAGAUUUGUGGCAAAACUAGCCACACGGCCCUUCGUUGUUGGCAUCGCAUAUUCGCAUGGAUGACAGCUAUCAGGAGGAAUCACACUCGGCGGCUCUGGCGUCCACAUCUUCAUACACGGUUGACCCCAACUGGUACAACGACACCGGUGCUACCGUCCACAUCACCAGCGAUCUCGACUAACUCGCUGUUCGGGACCAAUACAAGGGAGGAGAACACGUGCAAGUCGGCAAUAGCGCAGGUUUGCGAAUUAUGCAUAUUGGUCACUCUUCCAUUAAUACUACUACUCGUCCUCUUGUUUUGCGCAAUAUCUUGCAUGUUCCUAAAAUAUCAAAACAUCUUCUAUUUGUCCAUUGUUUUUCACGUGAUAAUGAUGUUUUCUUUGAAUUCCAUCCUUGGCAUUUCUCCAUAAAGGAUCGCAAGUCAGGGAAAAGUCUUCUGGACGGGCGGUGUGAAUGCUCAAGCCCUUCGACAUCGAUGUCCUCAAACAUGCACAAGUCAGUCGCACCAUGAGCCGCACCGAUUGGCAUGCACGGCUUGGUCAUCCAGCCUCUUCAAUUGUUAGGUCUAUUUUGCAUCUAAAUAAUAUCUCGUGUUCCAAUGAGUCCAUUCCUUCUGUUUGUAAUGUGUGUCAAGUAAAAGUCAUCAACUUCCUUAUUCCCAUUCAGUGCAUCGCUCUACAUAUCCUUUGGAAAUGAUUUACUCUGAUGUGUGUGUUAGAGUGUUAGGCCUGUUAAGGCUAGGCCCAUGUGGCCCAUGUAAAACACUAUAUAGCUAACCUGUUGGGUUAGCCCUAAUCAAUGGAAUCCGUGGGACUAACAUGGUAUCAGCCUAGGUCUAUCCCUUAGCCGCCGCCUAGGGUUUUCCCCUACAGCCGCCGCCGCCGCUUAGGGUUUCUUCCUCUCCCCUACAGCAGCCGCCGCCGCUGCUGCCCCUCCCAGGCGGCCCAUCCGCCGCUGCUACUCCUCUCAGGCGGCCCGGCGCCGCCGCUGCUCAUCCCAGGCGGUAGCCGCCGCCGCUACUCCUCCCAGGCGGCUCGGUGUCGCCGCUGCUCAUCCCAGGCGGCCCAACCGCCGCCGCCGCUGAUCCUCCCUGGUGUGCGCGCCGCGCUGCUGCUCCCAUGGCAGAUGAGCCUUUCCCUCCCCUCUCCUCCUGGCAGCGGUCGGCUUCCCCUGGCCAGCGCGACGUCGCCGCCUCUCCUGGCCGCACGGGCCCUACUGCCGCCGUGGGGGGCCGCGCGGGCCCGGCCGCCGCUGCAACCGGUCGUGCUGCGACCGCCAUGUUCGCUGGUGCGCAGCCGGGGUUCACCUCGCCGCCGGCGUUUGCCUUCGCCUCACCGUCGCCUUGGACCUCGACGCCUGCCGCUUCGUCGUGGCCCAUGUCACCGGCUACGCCACCGUCCGGGCUGGUUGGUUGGGACGCGGCCGCCCUGGCUGCCUUCCAGACUCCCACUCUGACUCCGCCGAUGGGUCCCGAGUGGAUCGCGGACACCGGUGCUACCUACCACACCACUCCCAACCCUGGUAUACUCACCUUUGUUCGCCCUCCUUCUUCCUCUCUCCCUUCGUCCAUCAUGGUGGCAAAUGACUCGUGUCUUCCUGUCACAUCUGUGGGUGCCCCUCCCGGCUCUUUUCUCAUUCCCGAUGUUCUUGUCGCUCCUUCUUUGAUCCACAAUCUUCUUUCUAUUCGUCGGUUUACUGCUAAUAAUCCUUGUUCUGUAGAGUUUGACUCUUCUGGUCUAACUGUGAAGGACUUGACAACUCGGUGCCCCCUCCUCAGAUGUGACAGCACCGGCCCCCUCUGCACCCUUCGACUUCCGCACGCCACAUCUUCGUCUUCGUCACCCGACACAGCUGUUGUUUUUGCCGCCACCACAUCUUCUACUACCUGGCAUCGUCGCCUUGGAUAGUUGGACACCCCGGACGUGAUGCCUUGCUACAGCUUACUCGUAGUGCCACUAUCCCAAUUCCCAUGUACUCGAUCCCCUGAGGAGCAUCCAUGUCAUGUGUGCCAGUUAGGCCGCCAUGUUCGUCUUCCGUUUUCCACUUCUUCCUCGCAUGCUACUCAUAGUUUUGAUCUUGUGCACUGCGAUUUGUGGACUUCACCCUUUACCAGCAUGUCGGGUUACAAAUACUAUCUUGUCGUGCUUGAUGAUUUUUCUCAUUAUGUGUGGACCUUUCCGUUGCGUGCCAAGUCUGAGACUUUCCCCACCCUCCGCCACUUCUUCGCCUGGGAGUCCACUCAGUUCGGCCUCACCAUUAAGGCCGUUCAGUGUGACAACGGUCGUGAGUUCGAUAACUUCGCCUCCCGUGACUUCUUUCUAUCCCACGGGAUGCAGUUGCGGAUGUCUUGCCCGUAUACCUCCUCCCAGAAUGGCAAGGCUGAGCGCAUGAUCCACACGACUAACGACACCAUCUGGACUCUUCUUCUCCAAGCGCACCUACCGCCACGUUUUUGGGUCGAGGCCCUCCACACCUCUACCUACCUUCUCAACCGUCUCCCUUCCACUGCGUGCCCGGCCCCCACUCCUCACUAGGCACUCUUCGGUACCCCUCCGCGCUAUGACCACCUCCGUGUCUUUAGGUGUGCCUGCUACCCAAACACCGCUGCCACUGCUCCUCACAAGCUAGCACCCUGUUCCACCCUCUGUGUGUUUCUCGGGUACUCCCCGCACCACAAGGGCUACUGCUGCUUUGACCUCUCCUCUCGUCGGGUUCUCAUCUCUCGCCAUGUGGUGUUUGAUGAGUCUGUAUUUCCCUACUCUACCACCACACCACCCUCCUCCGACCCUGACCUUGACCUCUUCACUCCCUUUCCGACUGACGCGGUGGUCGAGCCACCUAUCCUUCCUCUCUCUACAGGUACUCGCUCACCGCCUGUUGGUCCUACUCCCGGCCCGGUGCCUUGCCCGGGUCCGGUGGUGUCGCCUCUCCGCGAAGCCCCGUCUACGAUCGCCCCCGAGCCGAGCGGGGGUGGUGGGACUGCACCGCCUACGGGGCCGUCGGUACCGACCCCUCCGGCCCGCUUCGCCCAGCCGGUACGGGUCUACCAGCGCCGGCUGCCGUCGCCGGGGUUCGCACCGCAGCCAUCGCCGCCACCACCGCCGUCCCCACCGGUGCCCUACCCUCCAGCGGCACCGCCGGUGGCCCCGUCCCCAGGGACCCCUGCACCUCCGUCGCGGCCUCCUGCGGCACGGGUCGAGACGUCGGUGUACCACCCACCGCUCCUUCACCGCGACCUGCGGCACGUCCACCUGGUGGUGACGCGGCACAAGGCUGGUACCCUGCCGCCCCGUGUCCUGGCAGCCACGACCGGAGACUUGCAGGUUUCUCCGGUACCCUCCUCCGUCCGCACCGCCCUGCUGGACCCCCACUGGCGUCAGGCGAUGGAGCAGGAGUACGCAGCGCUCGUCGCCAACCAGACGUGGGAUCUGGUGCCACGUCCACCCGGCACCAACGUCGUCACCGGCAAGUGGAUCUGGACGCACAAGCGGCGGGCCGAUGGUACCCUGGAGCGGUACAAGGCUCGCUGGGUUCUUCGGGGCUUCACUCAGCGCCCCGGCGUCGACUACGAUGAGACCUUCAGUCCGGUUGUGAAGUCGGCCACCGUCCGCACGGUGCUCUCGCUGGCCCUUGCUCGCUCCUGGCCAGUUCACCAGCUCGACGUCAAGAACGCCUUCCUGCACGACGCCCUCACCGAGACCGUCUACUGCUGUCAGCCGAUGGGGUUUGUGGAUUCCUCUCGCCCUGACAUGGUCUACCGGCUCAACAGGUCCCUCUACGGCCUCAAGCAGGCCCCCCAGGCGUGGCACUCCAGACGACUGGCUACGUUCCUGGUGACACUGGGCUUCAUGGAGGCCAAGUCAGACACGUCUUUGUUCGUCCACCAUCAUGGAGCAGAGACUGCCUAGUUGCUCCUCUACGUGGAUGACAUCGUCCUCACCGCCUCCAGUCAGUCCCUUAUUCGCCGCCUCGUCGACGCGCUUCAGCGGGAGUUUCUGGUCAAGGAUCUGGGCGUACUUCACCAUUUCCUGGGGGUCACCGCUGAGCCUCGCCCCUCCGGACUCCUCCUUCACCAGCGGCAGUACACUCUUGACAAUCUGGAGCGGGCCCAGAUUUGUGACUGCAAGCCCUGCUCCACCCUAGUCGACACGCAGGCCAAGCUCUCAGAGGCCACGGGUGACCCGGUCGCGGACCCCACCGGCUACAGGAGUCUUGUCGGUGCCCUUCAGUACCUCACCUUCACUAGGCCGGACAUCUCCUACGUCGUGCAGCAGGUCUGUCUCCAUAUGCACGACCCCCGAGAGCUCCACCUCGUGGCUCUCAAGCGCCUCAUCCGCUAACUCCGGGGCACCGUCGACUACGGGCUGCUUCUUCACCGGUCUACCUCCUCCGAGCUGGUCGUCUACACCGACGCUGAUUGGGCCGGGUGCCCAGACACUCGGUGAUCCACCUCUGGCUACGCCGUCUUCUUAGGCGGCAACCUGGUGUCCUGGUCGUCGAAGCGCCAGCCGGUCAUCUCUCGCUCGAGUGCCGAGGCGGAGUACCGUGAUGUGGCCAACGGCGUGGCGGAGGCUGCCUGGCUCCGGCAGCUCCUCGCCGAGCUUCACAGCCCCCUGUCCAGGAGCACGUUGGUCUACUGCGACAACAUCAGCGCGGUCUACCUCUCCACCAACCCAGUGCAGCACCAGCGGACCAAGCAUCUCGAGAUCGAUCUGCACUUCUUCCGCGAUUAUGUCGUCGCCGGUAUUGUUCGGGUCCUCCAGUCCUCCAUGUCUCGACCACCUCCCUGUUUGCUGAUAUCUUCACCAAGGGUCUUCCGUCCUCAACCUUCGCCGAGUUUCGCUCCAGCCUCAACAUCAGUAGUGGCUAGUUGCGUCUGUGGGGGAUCCUAUGGUGUUAUGUACGUCUUCCUUUUGAGUCCAUUUUUGAGUCCAGUCUGUGAACUCCGCUGCAUCGGAAAUCCAGACUGCGGGGGGUGUUAGAGUGUUAGGCCUAUUAAGGCUAGGCCAAUGUGGCCCAUGUAAAACACUAUAUAGCUAACCUGUUGGGUUAGCCCUAAUCAAUGGAAUCUGUGGGACUAACAGUGUGGGGUCUUGCGCCUAUAUCUAUUAGUGGAUUCAAAUACUAUAUCAGCUUUAUUGAUGAUUUUUCCAAAUUUAGACUUAUUUGAUGCAUGAUCGUACUGAGGCUCCUCAUCUCUUCUCACAGUUUCAAACCCAUGUUGAGCGCCUCCUUGAUCCUAAAAUAAAAUGUGUUCAAUCCGAUUGGGGAGGCUAGUAUCAGAAAAUUCACAACCAAUUUUUUCGCUCACUAGGGAUUUCUCAUCGUGUUUCUUGUCCACACACUCAUCAGCAAAAUGGCUCUGCCGAGCGAAAACAUCGACAUAUUGUUGAAAUUGGUUUAGCCUUUCUAAGCUUUCCUCACAACCACCUAUCUCAUUAAUCGCAAGCCUACACGAGUCAUUGAUAACAAAAGUCCUUUAGAGCGUCUUUUUAAUGCUCCGCCUAAUUAUACCAUGCUUCGUGUUUUUGGUUGUGCAUGCUGGCCACACCUUCGUCCAUAUAAUAAAAAUAAACUUUCUUUCCGCUCCAAGCAAUGUGUAUUUAUCGAGUAUAGCUCCCUCCAUAAAGGGUACAAGUGUCUUGAUAUUGAUUCCGGUCGUGUAUACAUUUCUCGUGAUGUCAUAUUUGAUGAGCGUGUGUUUCCUUUUUCCAAAACAAAUCAUUCCCUUUCAAAUCCCCCACAACAACCUUUCCUAUCCCAGAUACAUGCACUCUACAAUUGGGAAGUAGUAGUACUUAUUUAAAUUGUGACCAUAUGCAUGUUCUGGUGCUUGUUGACUCUGUUAUUGCAGAAAAUCUGGCGGUCACCCAAACGACUGGCAUCUGAAGAAGCUGAAAGCUCUGGUGCUCAUCCAAUCCAGCUGCCACCCGCAAUUUUCUCUCCAAAUGGUGCAGCCGCAGCAGACGUGCCUCAGUCGUGCCCUGUUGGAUUUUCUCCGGUUGAUGAUGGGCUCGACCAGGAGCUACAACAGUCUACUGUGCGCAUAUCUGCACCAAACGUGAUGGCUGAUUCUCCUCCAAAUCAAGGUGAUAAUGCUCAUGAUUUUGUGGCUCCUGUAACAGAUCCGAUUAUAGUGCCUACUGCGUCCAAUGUUCCUAAUAACCAGGGACAUCAUUAUGGCACGUGUCUUCGGCAUAAUAUUCGCCAACCCAAGAAGCGCACAGAUGGCACUGUCACUUAUUCUAUGAUUCGAACAUGUAGUGUUGAACCUUCAUCACAUGUGCAAGCUCUAGGCCAUCCCCUGUGGAGACAAGCUGAGUGAUGAAUUUCAAGCUUUGAUUCACAAUAAGACAUGGCAUCUAGUUCCUCCUCGUGCUGGUCUUAAUAUUAUUGACUGCAAAUGGGUAUUCAAAUUAAAACAGAAAUCCGAUGGUUAUAUUGAUCGUUAUAAAGCACGCUUGGUCGCUAAAGGCUUCAAGCAACAGUACAGGGUUGAUUAUGAUGAUACUUUUAGUCCUGUUGUGAAGCCCACGACUAUUCGGAUCUUAUUAUCUUUGGCUGUUACUCGAGGAUGGAGUAUACGUCAAAUUGAUAUUCAAAAUGUCUUUCUUCACGGACUUCUCAAUGAAGAUGUGUAUAUGCGACAACCUCCUGGAUUUGUUGAUGGUGUGCAUCCCACUUAUUUGUGCAAAUUGGAUAAAUCUCAAUACGGUCUCAAGCAGGCCCCUCGAGCAUGGUUUUCUCGUUUUAGUGUGAAGCUCAUUGAUCUUGGUUUUCAUGCCUCUAAAGCUGAUGUUUCCCUCUUUAUCUUCAACAAAGAGGGUGUGCAGAUGUACAUGCUUAUUUAUGUUGAUGACAUUAUUAUCAUCAGCUCUUCACCUAUGGGUACCGAUCAUCUCCUGGCACAGCUACAAACAACCUUUGUUGUAAAAGAUCUUGGCACUCUAAGCUAUUUUCUUGGCAUUGAGGUUCGGCAUUCUCCUCAAGGCCUAGUCUUAAUGCAGCACAAGUAUAUCAAGGACUUGUUAUCUCGGACCAAUAUGCUUGCCUCUAAAGGCGUCACUACACCUAUGGUUCCGACAGAUAAACUUGUUCUUCAUGGUGGCACCCCGUUAUCUACUGAUGAUGCGACAAAAUAUCGAAGUGUAGUUGGGGCCCUUCAGUACAUCCUCUUGACUCGGCCGAAUCUCUCCCUAUUGUGUUAACAAAGUAUGCCAGUUUAUGUCCGCACCAACAAGUGAUCACUGGGCUGCGGUUAAAAGCAUACUUCGUUAUCUUCGUGAUACUAUUGACAUGGGCUUAUGCUUCACUCGAUUAGAGUCGUUAUUGAUUAGUGCUUUUUCAGAUGCUGAUUGGGCUGGUAGCUCUGAUGAUAGGCGCACACCGGUGGCCAUGCCAUUUUUCUGGGGACUAAUCUUGUUUCUUGGAGUUCACGAAAGCAAUCCACAGUUUCUCGCUCCAACACUGAGGCAGAAUAUAAAGCCGUCGCGGACACCACUGCUGAGAUUAUCUGAAUACAGGUUCUCCUCUGCGAGUUGGGGAUUUCUAUUCCUCGUGCACCGAGUUUAUGGUGUGAUAAUAUUGGCGCCACAUAUCUAUGUGCAAAUCCGAUUUUUCAUUGAUGUAUGAAGCACGUUGAGGUGGACUAUCAUUUCGUCAGAGAGCGAGUAUCAAGCCGCCAACUUGAAGUUCGACCAAUUGCAUCCAAGGAUUAGUUGGCUGAUAUCAUGACUAAACCACUGUCGUUCACGCCUUUUGGUAGCAGUCGACGCAAUCUGAACCUAGUCACCCUACAUCCAGAUUGAAGGGGGUGUUAAAGGAUAGAGAUUUCCUCCUUGAUUACAGGGCUGCGUCCUUGAUUCUUCCCUUGAUUACAGGGCUGCGCCCCUGCCUUAUUCUUCUCCUUGACUACAAGGCUGCGCCCCUGAUUCUUCUCUGUACCAUCUGUGAUGUACACCAUUGAUCUAUAUAUUCACACGGUAGCCACUCCUAUAGGUGUCGAUCAUUUCAUCUAACAUUUUUCAGUCCUAAUGUUUUACGGUUUAUAUACACAAAAACUCUUAAGCCUUUUGAACUAAGACUAUCUUCAACUAUAUUCUCUAUAUCCAGUCUUCUCUAAAAAAAACUCUCCUGUGUAUCUCAUUCCUCUCCAACAGUGGCAUUUAUAUCUCAUCCUCUAUACGUUAAAUACUCAUAUCGGAGACAUAUUUUGCUUUAGACUUUUGUAUGUAUGAUGUAUUUAUCAUACACUCAAAUGACUUGUACAUAUUUUAGUUUUAUUUUAUCUAUUGUUUGAAGUAUAAAAAUAAACUGGAGGAGCGAGUCACUAUAUAUAGAGGAUAGAGAAGUGUCUUUUAUAUUUAAAGGACACCACUGAGCAUACAGAGAAGAUGAAAUUUCAUAGGGUAGGAGAACCGUUGGAGUCGGUGUAACACCAGGCAUGCCUCCACAACUUACACCAUCUGCAACGCUCAAAAAUUAAAAGAAAGUAUGUAUCAGGAAAGAGAAUGGAGAAUUACCUUGACGCAAAGCAAGAUGAUAAUGCCUAAUGAAGAGAUAGCUUUAGGUGGCAUAGAGCCACUUAUUCUUGGAUCAGUAAUUCUUUCCAAUGAAUCAAGAUCAUCAAGAUGAGGAGCUGCCCAAUCUACUAGAAACUGAUCACUUUGCCUUCUUGAACUGAAGAGGAAACACCCUUUAGUUAGAAAUCCAUACUGCAACUUUGGUACAAAAGAAAACUGAGAAUACAUACCUGUCAAAAGCCUUUUGCCCAGUCAAAAGCACAAGCAAAAUAACACCAAAACUGUAAAUAUCAGCUUUGAUGUCAUUUGCUCCAGGAUCACUAAGCUCAGGGGCAGCAUAGCCUUUAGCACUGAUGAUAGCUUCUGAAUCCUUCUGUUCAGGUUGGGAAGUGUUAUUUUGAAAAACAUAAUUAAAUGAACAACCAUUAACGGGCAGCUGACCGAAUUAUAGGAACUCAAUUUCAAAUAUUCGGCAAGCAAACAAUAAAGUAAUGUUCAUUUUUGUUAACGAAAAAAAAAUUAUUAUCACAUAAUUUUUCGCAGGGAGGGGAAGAUUACGACACGAGUAGUACUUCAGGGUACAAUACACUAAUGGGAUGUUUGGUUUGAGAAACGCUACAGUCAAAAUGAGGUGGUGUAUCAUGAUUUCAUUCCCCAAAUUUGGUGGGAUGACCUCAUUCCUCAUGUUAGUACUAAAUAACUAUGAGGAAUGAAGUGAUAAUUGAUCAACUUAUUCAUCCACAAACCAAACAAAAAAAUAAGGAGUGAGAAGAUGGUGGACUAGCUCAUUCCUCAAACCAAACAACACCCUAUAAUUUUCUUAAUACGUUUGGAGGAAAAUAUCAAGCAAGGAAGCUAAACAAAUUAGACCAAUAUUUCAUAAGCACAAACAUCCGAGAGUAUGUUCUGUGAUAAAUCUCGAUUUUGUAUAAAGACGGUUUUGUUGGAAUUCAUAUUCCAAUCAGAAGAUAUCAUGAUCAUUUAUGCAUUAGGAUAAAACGGAUGAUCGGCGUUCAAGGCACAACUUGAUCCUAGAAUUAAUUAAAUACUCCCUCCAUCCUAAAUUACAAGUCAACUUUUCUAUAGAAUAGUGAAAAGCCUAACCCUAGAAUAGGGUGGGCACUGUAUUAAUAGACCAAACAACUGUCUAACCCUAUAAUAGGGUGGGCAGUGUAUUAAUAGACCAAACAACUGAGCCAGGCCCAUUACAAGGGACGGGUAUCUAACCCCCCCCCCCCCCCCCGCAGUCACAACUCUAUCCUGUACAGAUGUUGAGACUGGACCAAAAGUCUAGGAAUACACUGAAUGGUAGCCCCUUGGUGAAGAUGUCGGCGAACUGUAGCGUUGUGCGGACGCUGAGGACCCGAACAUCGCCUGCAGCGACAUGCUCUCGAACGAAGUAAAGGUCGAUCUCCACAUGCUUCGUGCGCUAAUGCUGCACGGGAUUAGUGGAGAGGUAGACGGCGCUGACGUUGUCGCAGUAGACUAGGGUGGCACGCUGGAGGGGGUUGUAGAGCUCGUGGAGGAACUGGCGCAUCCGGGAAGCCUAUGCCACGCCGUUGGCCACAGCGGGAGACGACAGGGUGCCGCUUGGCGGCCCAAGAGAUGAGGUUGGCGCCCAAGAACACGGCAUACCCGGAGGUGGACCGGCGUGUGUCGGGGCAGUCAGCCCAGUCAACGUCGGUGUAGACCACAAGAUCCGACGUCGAGGAUGGUCGGAGGAGGAGGCCGUAGUCGAGUGAGCCCCGAAGGUAUCGCAGAAUCCGCUUGAGAGCGGUGAGGUGGGGCUCCCGUGGUGUGUGCAUAUGAAGGCACACCUGCUGAACGGCGUAGGCGAUGUCGGGCCGGGAGAAGGUGAGGUACUUGAGUGCACCUGUCAAGCUCCGGUAAGACUUCGCGUCGGCUACCGGGGGUUGUCGUCCUCGGAGAGCUUCGCCUGGGUGUCAACAGACGUGGAGCAGGGCUUGCAGUCGGACAUGCCAACCCGCUCCAGAAUGUAGAUGGCGUACUGACGCUGGUGCAAGAAGAGACCCUGGGGCCAGCGUUCGGCAGUGAUGCCGUGGAAGUGAUGGAGAGGCCCCAGGUCCUUCAUCGCAAACUCCCAUUGGAGGGCGAUGAUAGUGCGCUGUAGGAGAUCGACGGUGGAUGUCGUGAGCACAAUGUCGUCAACGUAGAGGAGGUAGACGAUGUCCUCGCCCCGCUGGUAGAUGAAGAGAGAUGUGUCCGACUUGGCCUUGACGAAGCCGAUGGAGUCCAAAGCGGCUGUACCAGGCCCACGGCGCCUGCUUGAGGCCGUAGAGUGAGCGGUUCAGCCGGCAGACCAGGUCCAGGUUGGCGGCGUCGAUGAAGCCAAUGGGCUGGCUGCAGUAGACAGUCUCCGUCAGAGUGCCAUGAAGGAAGGCGUUCUUGACGUCGAGCUGGUGGAUCGCCCAGUUCCAGGAGAGGGCGAGGGAGAGGAUGGCGCGGACGGUGGCGAACUUGACGACGGGGCUGAAGGUCUCAUAGUAGUCCAUGCCGGGGCGCUGGGUGAAGCCCCGAAGAACCCAGCGGGCCUUGUAGCGGUCGAGGGAGCCAUUCGAAGUCAGCUUGUGGCGAAAGAGCCACUUGUCAGUGACCACAUUGGUGUCGGGAGGACGUGGCACUAGGUCCCAGGUGUGGUUGGCCAGCAGGGCCGCAUACUCCUCCAUGGCCCGAUGCUAGUGAGGGUCGGCGAGGGCGGUGCGAACGGAGGAGGGGACCGAGGAGGCGUCCGGUGGAGUAGCGGUCGUAUCGACGGCUAGGAUCAGCCUGUCGACAGGCCGAAGAACACCAGCGGCACGGCGAGUCACCAUGGGGUGAGUGCCCGAGGUCGCGGUGAAUGGCGACCGGGUGGUACACCGAUGGCUCAGGGGCCACGGGCAUGCGGGGUCGGCGAAUCAGGCCGCGCUCGUCGAGGGGUCCGUGGGCGUCGAGGGAGGAGCGCUCCCACGGCGCCGGUAGACGAUGGCGGGGUCAGCGAAACAGGUCCCGCUCGUCGAUGGGGCCGAAGUCGUCGGGGCCGCACGAGGUGCAGGUGGGGUCGACGGGGCCACGCGUGGCACAGGCGAGGUUGACGGGGUCGUGCGUGGCGCAGGCGAGGUCGACGGGGCCGCGCAUGGCGCAAACGAGGUCGCUCGUGGUGCAGGCAGGGUCGACGGGGACACACGUGGCGCAGGCAGGGUCGACUGGAACGCGAGUGGCGCAGGCAGGCGUGCUAGUGGGGGUGUCGAAGCCACAUUUGGUAGGCACGGGGUCGUCGGGGCCGCACGAGAGGGCGGUGAAGCUGUGCGAGGUGUGGGUAACGGUGGAGGCGAGGUGCCUAGGAGGGAUGGGUACUCGGAUCAGACUCAAGGAGGGAGUCGAGAUCGGUGGGUUGGGAGGAGCCAGCAAGGGGAAACACAUCUUCGUCGUAGACGACAUGGCGAGAGAUGAUGAUGCAAUGGGAGGUGAGGUCAAGACAGCGAUACCCCUUGUGGUCAGGAGAGUAGCCAAGGAAGAGGCAGCGAGUGGAGCGUGGAGACAGCUUAUGAGGAGCAGUGGUGGAAGUGUUGGGAUAGCAGGCACAGCUGAACACACGAAGGCGGUCAUAGGAGAGGGUCGUGUCGUAUAGGGCGAAGUGGGGGUGGUGGCUCACUGCCUUCGAUGGGAGGCGGUUGAAGAGGUGGGUGGCUGUGUGUAGGGCCUCUGUCCAGUAGCUAGUAGGAAGAGACGCCUGGAAGGAGGCAGUGGAUCAUGUUGGUGCUAGUGAGUAGGGAUGAAAACGGAAACGGUAAUUUUCGGAUACCGGAGAUCGUUUUCGAAAUUUUAUCGAAAUUUAGGUCUAAACGGAAACGGAAACGGUUACCGAAAAUACGGAAACGGAAUCGGUAGAAAAACUCGGAAUCGGAAACGGAAAUGGUUUGGGUCUCUUCCGACCGUUUCCGGAAAUUACCGUUUUUAUUCGGUAUUUUACCGUCGGUAAUAAAUUCGGUAUUUUUCAGAAAAAAUAUUAAAUCUGAACUGAUCUUUAUAAAUUCAUCUUAGCUUAGAAAAAUAUAAAACUAAUUUUAUUAUUUUUCUAAAAUCAAGAUCUAUCUAAUGGUAUAUAGUUUAGAAUCGUUUGAAACUUUUAUAAAUCUUAUUUAUGCUUUCUUACCUCUUAUUACUCUUGAUACAUAUAUUCACAAUUUGAAUGAGAACUUAAGAAGUACCAAGAGGACACUAAUUAUAUUGACUGUACCAAGUAGUAGGUGUAUAAAUAGAAUGUAAGUGCCAUAUCAUUAUACACAUCUUGAUUCUACUUUAUUUAAAUACAUAAUAAUGAUUUUAUUGUUUUAUUGUUUCUUACUUUAUAUAUUUAUUGUGACCUGCUACCUUAUAUAUUAUUAUUAAUUUUAUAUAAAUGUAUGACUUACGUGAAUUUUUGAAGUCAAUUGAGGAUACAAGUUACAGUUUUUACCGAUCGAAUUUUUAGAUUCCGAUCGUAACCGGUGUAAUUUUCGUACCGAACUUUCGUUUCCGAUGUUUCCGAAUUACCGAUAUCGUUUUCGUUUCCAGAGUUACUGUUUUCGAUCUCGUUUCCGAGAAAAAAAUAUGAAAAUGAAAAUGGUUUUUGUGUUUACCGAUCGUUUCCGACCGUUUCCACCCCUACUAGUGAGAAUCAUGCGCUCGGUCCGGCCAUUCUGGGCCUAGGGGCACGAGAGGCGCAAUUGGACGCCACUGGUGAGGAAGAACGAUCGAGAGGCGUGGUUGUCGAACUCGCGGCCAUUGUCACACUGCAGUGCACGGAUCGGGCGACGGAACUGGGUGGAGACCCAGGCGAAGAAGUGAGUGAGGGUGGUAAAUGUGUCGGACUUCAAUCGAAAACGAAAAGUCCAUAGAAAAUGAAGUCUGGCGGCCAAGCUGACAUGCAUGACAAAGGCCCUCAAAAUGUCCCCUAUUACAAGAAGAAUCUAAAGUGGUGGAAAGUUUGGUCAUGACGUCAGGUCCUGGGUGGCCGAGACGACGAUGCCAAGUGGUGGUGGUGGUGGUGGAGGCCAGGACGGGAGGUGGAGACACGUCGGUGGAUGACGGUCGGAGCGUGUAGAGGGGACCGACGCUGUCACAUCGGGCGAGAGGGGUCCUGGUGGCCAAAUUCUUCACAGAAAAACCGGUAGUGUCAAACUCAAUGGAACAAGAAUUGUCGGUGGUGAACCAAUGGACAGAAAGGAGAUUGUGAGUGAUGUGAGGGGCUACGAGAACGUCGUUGAGGUAGAACGGUCCAGGGAGUACCGAGGCACCUAAAGAGGUGACCGGAAGAGUGGAACCGUUUCCAACGACGAUCGAGAUAGGGUGUGUGGUAGGAGGUGGGUUUGAGCGAGAGAGCAUGCCUGUGGUGGGAGUGGUGUGAUAGGAUGCACCGGAGUCGAUGACCCAGUCAGAAGGCGGUGGGGCCAACACCAUGGUGCUGUAUGCGGAGGCGAGGGCGACAGGGUCCCAGCCUGCAGCAAACGAGGACAAUAGUGUCGUGGUAGACGGUCCCGUAGGCGGGAGCUGAGGCGGGGCCUGGGUCGGUGGUGGCACACCGUAAGGAGGCAUGUCAUUGGCGGGCGGCGUAGUCGGGAGAGUCGGUGCCGGCGCCGGAGGACGGGAGGCGCUGGGGGCCUGACCCGACCACAUGGAGAUGGUGUCGGUCCACGGGUUGUAGAACAACGGCCAACUCUGCCCCCCCCGGCCGGUGGGACCUCCACGAGAGGAGCCGCCGCCCCCACGUCCGCCCUUGCGGGGGCGAUGGCCGCCGUCGAUGGUGGACUGUUGACGAGGGGCCGGAGGAGACGCAGUAGGGGGCCGAGCGUAGGUCCCGGGCGCCAAGGGUGGUGCUGUAGAGGGCCGGUGCCGGGGUGGGAGCCUCAUGCGUCAUGGUGAGCUCCUCGAGGAUAAGCUCAUUCCGCACCGCAUGGAAGGUGGGAAAGGGCACAGUCCUCUUGAUAAGAGCCUUCAGGUGACCAUAGCGAGGGCUGAGGCCACGCAGGAGGUUCAGCACCAAGGUGUGGUCCGCCACCGGCUCGUCGAGAUCGCGGAGGGAGUCCGUCAGGCCCUUCAUCUGGCGGCAGUACUCCCCCACGGUGAGUUCCCCCUAGGAGAACUGGUGGAACUGGGCAUCGACGUGAAGAGCUCGAGCGUCCCAAUUCCCGAGGAAUUGUUCCUCGAGGGCGAGCCACGCCUGAUGGUCCGUGUCCGCCUGGUCGCGGAUGAUGUCCUGGAGCUCGACGGUGAUAGUUCCGUGGAGCCAGGAGAGCACCACAGUGUCCAUCAGGGACUAGGCCGGGGACGGCGAGGUGGCGAUGUCGUCAAGGACGUGGUCGUCCAGGGCGUAGCGCCGUAGGGUGAGGCGGACCUACCCUCUCCAGCGAGGGUAGUGAGAGGACGUCGGGUCCAGAACGAUGGACACGAGGGACCGAAUGUUGUGAAGUCUGGUGGCCUGUGCGUGGAGGACGGCGAUGUGGUCGGCGUCGAGUCCAGUGGCAAGAGGUGCCUCGGGAGUCAUCGGGGGUGUUUUCGGGGCGACCGAAGGUUGCCCGAGAAGACGUUGAGCGAUUGCCAUCUAGGCGGUGAGAGCGGCGCUCAUGGCACGCUCUUGUUGCAGGACAAUGGUCGCAACGCGCUCGCGGGAAGCCUCCACGAUCGCCUGUAUGGUAGCGAUGGCGGUGACUAGUGCCGACGAGGUCGACGGGGGGGGGGGCGGUGGCAUCGGCCCACGUAGUGGUUGCGCGGGCGGAGAAGCCCGGUGGGGAACCGCGUCGCCGCAGCAGCUGUUGUUGCGCAGUGGGAGAGGCGUCGGGAGGGGCCCGAGGCCGAAGAUGUAGGGGGCCCCAACGACAGCGAGCUCGCUGUGGGGGCCAUGGGGAAGAGGGCCGGCGAGGGGGUGCUGGUCGGGGUUGACGCCCAGGGCGGCCGUCGCACCGACGAGGGCAACAAAGUUGGUUGCGCCCAUGGGGACGGGCAGGGAAGGGGCCGCACCCAGGGAGACACCGACCGACGGCAGGCUGGCGGCGCCCGCGCGCAGGCCCGCAGCGACGCGCGCGCCAGGGCCGGCUGCGAGGCCGACGGCAGAGCCCGCGGGCAGAGCCGCGACGCCGUUCACGCCUUGGCCGGCAGCCAGGCCGACGGCGGCGUCCGCGCUGGGGCCGGUGGCCGCGUCAGCGCCGGCGAGGUGGCGGCGGCGCCUAGGGUUGCGGCUGGGGCCGGCGGUGCCAGGAGAAGGGGGAGGGAAAGUUGUGGUCGAGCCUGGGGAGGUGGCCGGUGGCGGCUGGGGGAGAAGGGGAGGGGAAGCUACGGCUGGCCAAGGGGAGGUGGCGGCGGCGGCUGCAGGGAGGGGAGGGAGGCUGGUGUGGCUCUGGUACCAUGUAGAAUAGUGAAAACCCUAACCCUAGAAUAGGGUGGGCAGUGUAUUAAUAGACCAAACAACUGCCUAACCCUAGAAUAGGGUGGGCAGUGUAUUAAUAGACCAAACAAGUGGGCCAGGCCCAUUACAAGGGACGGGUAUCUAACAUUUUAUAAUUUUCUGUUAUGCAUAUACAUUAUGUCUAGGUACAUAGCAAAAUCUAUGUACAUAGAAAAGCCAAAAGGACUUAUAAUUUGAAACGAAAAGAGUAGAUAACUAUAUAGUCAUACUAAAGAUUCCAUACAAAGUAGGACUACUAUCCUUAGUAGCUGGGAAACGUGAGGGCACUGACCAUUCUCGUGGUGCUAACAAAAUGGCUUAACUUGGCUAACCCACAGUCACAGAGGUAGGGCAUGAGCUGAGCAUCAAGCAAAAUAUUUCUAGCUUUAAUGUUUCCAUGGGCAACUGGAGGGGAAUAUGUCAAGUGCAUGUAUCUGCACAGGUAAAGAUACAUGUAAAAAUUCGGAAAGCUAAUGUCCGUAUAGAAUUUCAAAAAUCAAAGAGGCGUACAUCAUCAGUUCCACUCUAACUAAUACUACUGAAGUUUGCACUAAGAAAAAAUCCCUAUUAAUAACCACGUUGUACAAAAGAAAUUAGGUGAAAGUAAUUUGCUCAGUGUAAUUCUUACUCCAGAGCAUAGGCAACUCCAAGAGCAAUCUUCAUCCGAGCUUUCCAUGACAAAGCCAUGGAUCUUGUGGCUGGUGCAAACAAAAUAUCAUCAAGAGAGCCAUUUUCUGCAUAUUCAUAUAGAAGUGCACAAUGUUCAAACUCCACACAAUAUCCCACGAGCGCACUGAUAUUGGGGUGUUUUAAUCUGGAGACAUUCCAAAGCAUGUCCAUUAAUUCAUCUUGUUCUGACAAUGACAGAUCUACCAUGUCAAUCCUCUUGAUAGCAAGGAGCUGUGAACAUAUUGACAAUUUUUUUAGUAAAAUUAUAGAGAAUCAUGAUCUCUAAAUCAGUACUUCAAUAUUUAGAAAAAUCACAAACUUUUCAUGUUACUGGACAACAAAUUUACGUUAAGACAUGAGAACUUAUUUCACGAGUGACAUAUUACACUACAAAUUCCAUCCUCCUUGUGCCUCAAAGGUAAAUCUUACCGAGACUCAAAGACAUUAAUAAAAAGAAAAGCAUGUAUUUCCUCCCCUCACAGCAACCCCUCUCAUCACAACCUUUCUUUAGUCAGAGGAUACCUCCCCCGACCUGCUUAUACUUUUUUUCUAAACGCCGACCUGCUUAUACCUGAUGUCCACUAUCCAACACAACCGGAUAGGUAAACAAAAGCUUGUUACUCAUGCAAGCAGUAAAUAGGAAUUCCCAUAACAAGAUAUUAGAGUUAUUGUUCUCCUAUUGUAAUGGGCUGGCUUUGUGUAAUGGGUAUAGGCCCAACUGUUCUAUAUAAAUAUAUCUUCCAAUUCUAAUUAGGAUUAGGGUUUCCAACAUGGUAUCUAGCUAGGUCUCUUUUUUCCCACCUCCUCUCCCCAGCUGCCACCUCUAGUGUCACGUUACCGUCGUCGCCACAGGCCCAUGGCCCUCGGCCAGCCUUCCCCUGGCGCCGACCCUUUCCUCUUAGCACCAGGCGCAGGCGUCCUCGCCGGAGCCGCCCCUACUCCCGACACCUCCCCUGCUCGCGCCCCCACCCCAGAGCCACGUCGAGCGCCGCUGCCUCCCCUGCAGCCCUUUUGCCGGAGCCACGUCGGACGUCGCGCUGUUGCCCGUGGCUGCCUCCCCUCUUCUCGUCACGGGCGUGGCCUCCCAUGGUCUGCAUGCGACCGCCCUCCACCUCCUCUGCACGGAGGCAGCAGUCGCCGGCUCUAGCCUGGCCCCCGCCGGCAACAACCCGACCCUCGACGCCACACCCACGGCGGCCCCCUUCCUCUUCUCUGUCGAUGCUACCACCUUCCUCGUGCCCGCCUCCCAUACCAACGCCCUCCAUGGCUUCCCGGCCUCCUGUGUCGCUGUGCCUCUCCCGCCACCGGGCCCUUGCGCGCCUGCGUCGUCGUCCGGCCACUAUACGCUCGCCUUCACCGCGACGGUCGUGCGUCCCCCUGCUCCUGCGGGUGCCUGUCCCCCUCCACAAUCUCUCGCGAUUCCCUGCCAUGGCAUAGCCAUGCGCGCCCUUACCAACGCCGCACCUUCUCUGCACGGCGUGUCGCUCGCCACCACGCAACCCACUCCCCAUUGUGUGCCCUUUGCUGUCACACAGCCCUCUAGUGUGGUUGGCGCAUCGCUCGCCGUCAACGGCCCUCUCCCUUUUCCAGCGCCAACGCGGGUUCCUACGCAAGCUUCCGUCGCACGCUCGACGCCCGUCCUCCGCUCUGUCGCGGUUCCUCUGCCUCCUACUGUGUGUGUCUCCCUUCAUGAUGGUCUGCUUCUCGGAGCCACUUUCGUGGCAUUUGAUCAGGUCCUGUACCCUGUACUCUGUGAGUACGUCGAGCUUUACCCUCGGGAGGGGCACCACGCUUACUGUUUUUGUCCCCCAUCACCGUGAUUGUCUCCAUGACGAUCGAGACCCUAUCUUCUUCCCCGCCCAUGGUUGUCGUAAGCAUGUACAUUGUCGUCCCCAACACCCCUUCUAGUGGCUCUAUGGGGGUGUCCCCGAUGGCUCUCUCGUCCUUCCCCAUAUCAUCGCGGCCUCUUCCUCCCACCGACUGGGUCGCUAACUCCAUCGCUCGUUCCAUACCACUCCCGAUCCCAGAGCUAUCUCUCUACCUCAUCCCCAUAAUCCCACCUCUCCUUCAUCAUUGUCGGUAAUGGGUCGACUCUGCUUGUCACCUCCGUCGGUGUCACGGUCCUUCUGGGUCCCUUGUACCUCAACAACAUCCUUGUUGUCCCCAACAUCAUCCAGAACCUUCUAUCAGUCUGUUGCUUUACUACCGACAACUGCUGCUCUAUGGAGUUUGAUCCCUAGGGGCUCACCAUUCGGGAUCUUUCCACUCAUGUUGUAGUUGCUCGAUGCGACAGCUCUUGCCCCUUAUAUCACCGAAGAAGAUGGUAGUGAUAGGAGAGAUCAGACACAAGAUCACCUAGGAGAAUCUGAUUCAGCGGUAUUAGAUGAAGAAUAUUCUCACUCUAUUCCAAUAACAGAUCAGGGUUACAAUAUAUACACAAACCCUAAAGGGCUAAUGGGUAGGCCAUACAAGGCUCAUAACACGCAUACAGCCAUAAAGGAGGUUGUCUAACACCCACCAACCCACACUCAUACAGCCAUACUAGGCCCAUACAGAAUCUUUAACUCAUGAUGAUGUUUGUGUAUUAUAAAUUGUAUAUACUAUAUAAGUCCAGAAACAGAUAGGCGACUAGCUCAACUAGGCUCGAUUAGUCGGUCUAGUCAACGACUAAUCGACUAGUCGGUAGUUAUCGACUAGGUGACUUAAAAACAUUGGUUUAACUUACACAAUUUGUCUUAUCCCCACAGGUCGAGUUUUUUUAGUUUAACAUAACUGAUGGCACACUUCAGCUAUUAGGGGUCUGAAGUGCAUGUUGUAGAAAUCCUCCUAAGAUCAAGUGACAAUUAAUAAUACUAUUUUCCAACAAGGAUACUACAGAAGACAACGAUAUAUGUAUAUUUAUUAUCAAACUACCAUACCUGGCCAUCAGAAAAUUCACCUCUGUAAACUCGACCAGUGAGACCUUCACCAAUAAAACAUUCUUCAUUGAAGUCCUUGGUAGCCGCUAGAAUGUCUGCAGCUGGAAACUGUUUUGCAGUUAGAAGUUUUUUAGAUGCCUUGAACCAACUUUUUAUUUUGGGAACUCUUUCAGAUGUAAUGCCAUUACUAGAGGAAGUAUCACUGCCAAUCAAUAGAGAACUCCAAGAGUACAAGACCUCAUUCGCUGUAGGGACUGUAAAAUGGAAAAUAUGAGUUUUGAUGUGAAAUAAUCUUAGUCUCCUGUAAAUAAGGAACACAGCAUCAAAUAAUGAAAAGCAGACAUCAGUACAUGGAUACAUUUAACAAAUGUGCCUUGAAAAUAACAAACAGUUCAGGUUUUAUGAUGAGUCCUAGAUUUACAGUUGGAAUCCUAGAUUUGUAAUGAAAAUAAAAUAGAAGUCUAGCUAUCGGUACGAAUGCAUGAAAUUUUUAUGCUUGAAUAAUUUAAAGUCCCAUGUGUACCUGUUUCCAUAUUGGCUGGUAAAGUCUUGGCAUGGUUAGAGGUGCUCUUGGGGCUGCAUGAACAGCUUUUUCGACUUCUCAGAACCAAUCCAACAACGAGGAGUACAAAUACUGUACAUGUGGCACUAGCCAUUGCAGCAGCUGUCACUCGAGAGUGUGACUUCCUAUGGUGACUAUUAUUUUGCAGAGAAGAAUACCCAAAAGAAGGCUUUGGAGAUUUUGGCCUUCGCUUUGGUUUCUGCUGAGCUGCUAGUGGAGAUGGAGAUGGAGAUGGAGAUUGAAGUGGAGGUGGAGGCAAAGAUUGAGGUGGAGCUGCAGGGGUCUUCCUAGUAAAUGACGAGGAUGCAAGUUUGAAUCCAGGUUGAAAUUGGUUUCCAUCAAUCCUGGAAUGUCAGCCACAAAGUUAACCAUUUAUUUAGCUAGAUAUGAAGCCAAGACACAGAGAGAGGCAGAUAGUAGGGGGACGGGAGCAAAGUAUAGCAUAAUUCAACACCUCAGCUCAGGAAUGGACUGAAAUGUUCCAGGAACAUAGCCACUGAAGUGAUUAUUUUCAAUAUUGCUGUGUAAAAAAAAUUUGAUCGUCAUAAUCAAGAGUUAAGAUGCAUAAAAUAUAGGAAAAUAUGUUUAAGCAACAAAUCUAGUCAGAUUUCUUACAGGGAUGACAAUGGAAGGCCUGCUAACAAAAUCACAGAUCCUGUGAACUCGUUAUGCUGUAGAUAACUGAAAAUGCAAAAACAAGAAAACCUAUAUUCAAACAGGUGUUGGAUCCAUGUGCGUGAAAUAGCUGGCUCCAAAGGCAGGUCGGUCUUACAGAUAGCGAAGACUAGUCAAUGAGCUAAACGAUCUUGGUAGGUCACUAUUGAAAGCAUUGAAUGACAGAUCCCUGAAAAAGGGUGGAGGAUAAACUUCGCAUGAGUCAAUAAAGAUCAAAUAAAUUCGGGACAUUUUUAUUUGCAAGGAUGGUCCGGAUAGGAGAAUAUCAUGAAGGGUGGAAACAAACUGCUCAAGUAUCGAAAUGUUCACUUUUUGUCUUUUUCAAUAAACAAAAAUGAACUGGUUCCAUGGAACGGACAGGUGGAGGCUUGUUUGAAGGAAGCCAGAACAGAUCUUAACCAAAAGAAAAGGAAAACGUGCAGACAUUUAAGACAGCUUACUGAGCACAACAUUUUUCUACAUGAUAGGAACAAAGCACAUCAAACCACCCAUUGCGAAUGAUAGAAAGUAUCAUCUAGCCAUCAGUCAGAUGCAAGGAAACAUGUAUGGGCACAACUGAGUAACCGCAACGACCAUAUCCACAAAUGUAUUUGAUGAAUAAAAGCUAGCAAAUGAAUCUGUAGACACUAAUGUGCUGCUGAAGUUUCUACUGUAGAUGCAUACAUUAAGGUCUUGUUUGGAUGUCCAUGUAUUCACAUCAAUCCAUAUGUACUGGAGUGAAUUUAAACUAAAUUCAACAUCAAAACAACUCUAAUACACAUGGAUUGAAGUCAAUACAUGAAUAUCCAAACAAGCCCUAAGGGAAGAAUUUCCUUGUCUUAUUGCACAUGUUAUAUUAAUGGACAUCAAAGUGGGAUAAAAAAUCACUUCCAAGUGGAAAAAUUACAGAGUUAUUAAGAUGAGCAAACCUACAUCGUUUCUAAGCUAUCCAUAUUAACAAAAACAUCACCAAUUACUCCAGAGAGUUUAUUGUAGCUAAAGUUCCUGCGACAAAAAGUUACAGAUCGGUCAGUUAAUUGUACAACCAGAUUAGAGAAUGUGAAACACUCCAUUCCAAAAAAUAUAUAUAGACUCACAAAUAUUUCAGGGAGCGCAACCAGGGUAAUGAUGAUGGUAUAUUUCCUUCAAACUUGUUGGCUGCCAGAUUUCUGCAAGAGAACAGACAUAGGCGCAUUUAUAUUUUAAAUAUUGAGCCAGUUAAAGGUGAUAUCCAAAGAAGGGAAAAUGGACAUACAAGUAUUCAACAUUUGGGGGCAAAGUGGACGGGAUUUCGCCAGCAAUGUUAUUGAAGCUCAUGUCCCUAUCAUCAACAUGAGAAGAAAAGCACCACAAACUAAAUUGAAUCAGGAAUGGUGAGGUCAAAACCAGCUAGAAUAGUACAGAAACUUGGCAAUUAGAAGCUCACAGCUUUUUCAAUGACUGAAACUUGAGCAGGUCUGGGCCAAGCCAUCCACCAACUCCGAGCCCACUAAUAUUUCUGCAAGUCAGUAGCAUUGCAAAUUACAAAGCCAGUUGAUCAGCUUUGUAUUAAUUUGUAAGCAAAAACGAACCAAUAAGUUAAUGAAGUAUUUAAGAAUUACAUUGCAACAAUGGAUGGUCCCUUGCAAAAGACGCCUCGCCAGUGUUUACUCCCACCACCCUCACCACAUGGGUCACCGCCCUGGAAUGUCCAACCAGAAAGUUGCCACGGCGACUCCAAUGUGUGAUAUAACCCCAAAAGUCCUAACGCUGAGAAGUAGCAAAAACAAUGUAACAAAAUAAGCACAAUACAAAAUAUCUUAAAACCUAUUGAUUACAAAGUUCCAACUUCAGAGCACCGAAAACACAGAGAGGCAACAGAUGUUCAUCGCUGAAAACAAAGGGAGACAAUAGAUUUUCAUUCCAUGAUGGCAUUGGGCAAAGGAAAGAAGCAUAGUAUUAUUCUGUACCACAGGACAAAGGUUAAACGCACGACCACUAUCAAUCCCAGAGGCGGAGCCACGGGGUGGGCAAAGGGGGUCAUGGCCCCACCUCAAUUUUUUGUCUUUUAUAUAUAUACAUUGAAUAUGAUGCGAAUUGAAAAAAAAGUAAGUAUAUGAAGACAAAACUGCAGCACACAUCCAUCAUCCUGCCCAACAAUCUAACUCCACAACUCGCUAAAACAGCCCAAUUCUGCUUCUAUUAUGUUACCGUUGUAAUCAACACAAGGUAGGAGCACUCAACCCCGUCGUCACCAACCUCUUGUUGUGCUCGCCCUGACUUUGUCGCCUGCCCCCUUCUGCGCUCGUUCGCCCCAAUGUCGCGGCCACACCGCCCCUUCUGCGCUCACCCGCUCUGUCGCCGCACCAACGCCGCUGCCGCCCAUCCACGUCCAUCCCCCUUUGCCUGCGCUCACACGCCCGCGUGAUUCCAUCAUUCAGUCGUCGUAACAUCGACAUGUAGCUUUUUCUUGUUCAUAUUUUUUAUCUUCUUUCAAAUUCUAAUUUCUACUGUAUGAUCACUAGUUUCUAUAUGCAAUGUUACAUCUGUUUUACGGUCUUAUCUAGAUGUCUUGUGAUUUUGUUUGGCCCUGUUGGAUUGAUCUCCACCAAGAUGGGCCCAACGGACAUCUUGGGCCUUUUGAUCGCGCCCUGAUCGGGGGCGCCCAACCCUAUAUGGUUGGUGGGCCCCUGUCACACUGCGCUAUAAAUAAAAGGGUGGGGGCCGGCGGCUCGGAUAACGUGUUUCGCUAGAGCCGUACUCCCCACCGACAAAACUCUAACACCGAUCUGAGAGGGUGCGCAGCCAGUGACGGGAAGACACCGCCGUUCAUCGCCGUCGACAACCUCGCUGCAUCAACCUUCAUCAACGAACCUGAUGGCGGAUGGAUCUACAUCCUCCAACACGCCUGCGCUUCCCAAUGACGGUAACAAUCUAAUACUGUUUGUUCUAGAAAUUAAGAACCCGAAAUUACUCAAUAGAAUAUAGAUUACCCCACUGAUCUACUCCUAGAGAUCCUGUAAAUCUUAACAAUGGUACCAGAGCCUGGACUAGAUGUAGAUCCAGUGCGGGGAAAGAAAAGAUGUUCGAUGGAAAUCGAAGAAAGAACAAAUCUAUUUUGUGAAUGGAUUCACACAGAAAAGAAUCACGCCCUACCGUGUACACUGCUGGCCAUGCGGCUGAGAGAGAGCGUCUGCGUUGUUUCGGCCAUGGUGGCCUGAACGCCGGUCGGGCUGUACGUUACCUAUCCCCGCCUAGCUCGAGCCGCCGCGCAGGCCAUGGGCAUGCCGCAGCCGCUGCGCAGGCCGAAACGGAUGCAUGUAGAGAGCAACGGCCGCGUGAAGAACGCGGCGUCCGCUUCUACUGCAUGCUCCUGUUUUGAGAAUGAAGAAAAGAUACACACGAAGGUGCAUGGCGGCUGGGGAUAGGAAUGCAAAAUAUGCGUUAGGGUUUUUGGCGCUGUGGGCCUAAUAUAUCACAUACCUACUCUAUAGAAAAGUGAAAGUAAAUGAAAAGUGCGUGCAGUACAACCUAGCACCCCAGGCGGUAGCGUGUGCAUAGGCCAUAUCCCUGCCUGCUCCCGUGAACGAAAAAGCAUGGCUGAUGGAACAUUGCCUGCUCUCAUGAGGAGCGUACAGUAAAAAGUCUCUUUUUUUAACGUUGCAUGAGAGAAUGUGCCCAAUUUUUGGGCUGGACACGGGAAUAGUAAAGCUAAAGAAAGUUGUAAGAAAAAAAACAGUAAACAAUUUUAAUUUCAGAAGCUAUUAUUUAAUUAUUAAUGAUCUAUCUCUAUUCAAAUUUGAACCAACGAGAUAAUUUGAUUAGAGAAUAGAAAAGUAUUUGUUUUAUGCUUCUGAAUAAAAGUUUUAUUAACGUUUCCGCUGCGUAUUUAAAGUUAUUAUUUUCAUUAUUAAAUUCGAACCAACGGGAGAAUUUAAUUUUGAAAAAUGGAUAUGAUUUUCAUAUUAUUAUAGUAUUGUUAUUAUUCUGACCAACGUUGAUUAAUAGCAAUAUUAUAAUAUUAUAGUGUCCUUUUUUACAUUAAUUCUAUUUUUGCCCACCGGUGAUGUAGAAUUAAUAUAAACUGGAUAAAUUUGUAUGCUUUAAAUUUUGUUGGAACUGAAGCAUGCAAUUAAUGUAAUUUGUUCUCAUUUACAUGAAUUGUAAUUUCAGGAGGAUACUCCUUGAUGGGGUUUAUUAAAGAUAUUCCACCCCUAAAAGGAGAUAAUUAUACAAAAUGGAAGAAAAAGAUUGACCUAGCCUUCGUUUUGGCUGAGGUGGACUGGGUAGUAACCACACCGUGUCCCACUGAGCCUGUGGCACCAGUGAGAGAGACAGAUGAGGCUGAGUCUGCUUGGCAGACCAGACAGAGGGACCAUGCUCCCAAACAGAUGGCUUAUGAUCUUGAACAUAGAAAGUGGGUUAUUGCCAACAAAAAGUGCAUGGCAGUGCUAAAGAAUACAGUUGAGCCUUCUAUUGCGGGCUCAAUUCCAGAAUGUGACACUGUCACAGAAUACCUUGAUAGAAUAAAGGGUCAGUUCUAUGGCUCUUCAAAGACAUAUGCAACUCAGCUGAUAAAGCAGAUGAUGAUAGAGAGGUAUUCUGGAGGAGGCAAUGGCACUGGCAUAAGAGAGCACAUACUAAAGAUGAGUCAUAUGAACUCAAAGCCUAAACCAAUGGAUCUGCAUGUUAAGGAUGAAUUCCUUGUCCAUUUGAUUUUUGUUUCAUUGCCAAAAGAGUUCGACACCUUUGUUGUCAACUACAACAUUCAACCCGAGAAGUGGGAUCUUGAUCGUUGUAUGGCUAUGUGUGUGCAAGAAGAGGAGAGAAUAAAAGCCGCCAAUGGUGGCACUCUCCACUAUGUUAAAGAUAAUAAGAAAAGAAAUUUUAAUGCUAAUGCCAACUCUCCCGCAAAAGCAAAGGGAAAGGCUCCUCAGCACCAUCAGCCUCAACAGAAAAAGUUUAUGGUAAACAAAGAUCAAUGUCUCCACUGUAAGAAGACAGGACAUUACAAGAAAGACUGUCCUGAAUUCUUAAAAUCUAUCAUGGCAAAGAAUGGUGAGAACAUUAUUACAUUCAUUAAUGAAUCCCUGUAUGUACAAUAUUCAAAAUCUACUUGGUGGAUUGACUCAGGGGCAACUAUCCACGUUGCUAAUUCUUUACAGUGAUUCCGUUCGACGAGGACUAUGCAAAGAAAAGAAAGACACAUUAAAGUUGCAAAUGGAGUGCAAGCAGAUGUUGAAGCGGUUGGCGACCUUCCUCUAGAGCUUGCUAAUGGCUUCAUACUUGUACUUAGAGAUGUUCUUUAUGUUCCCUCUUUACAGAGGAAUUUGAUUAGUGUCUCAUGUUUGGACAAUAAUGGUUUUGAUUGUCAUUUUGGAGAUGGCAUAUGUGAGAUAUUUCAUAAUAAAGAAAGUGUUGGUCUUGCUUUUCAAAAGGAAGAUCUUUAUUUGUUAUCGCUUCAUGAAAAUGUGAAUUCUGUGAGCGUUAUGAAUGAAAAUGUAUCCUCGUCACUGAAUGAAAACAGAAAACGAAAGAGAACUCAUGAUGAAUCAUCGAAAUUAUGGCACUGUCGUUUAGGCCAUAUUUCGAGGGGGAGAAUAGAGAGACUAGUUAAGAAUGAUAUUCUUCCUCCAUUAGAGUUCUCAUACUUAGAACAAUGCAGAGAAUGCAUUAAAGGAAAGUAUGCAAAGAAAAUUAAAAAGAACGCCAAACGAAGCACAGGAAUUCUACAGAUAAUCCACACAGAUAUAUGUGGUCCAUUUCCUAUGAAAAGUGUGGAUGGUUUUGACUCGUUCAUAACAUUCACAGAUGAUUACUCUCGUUUUGGCUACAUUUAUCCAAUCAAAGAAAGAACAGAAGCGUUGGAUAAAUUUAAGAUAUUUAAGGCUGAAGUUGAAAAUCAGCAUAGUUCAAAGAUUAAGGUAGUCCGGUCUGACCGUGGUGGAGAGUACUAUGGUCGGCAUACCCCAUAUGGCCAAGUUCCUGGACCUUUUGCAAGGUUCUUACAGGAAAAUGGUAUAGUAGCCCAAUACUCAACACCGGGCGAACCUCAGCAGAAUGGAGUAGCUGAAAGGCGUAACCGUACCCUAAUGGAUAUGGUGCGUAGUAUGAUGAGUUACUCUACCUUGCCAUUGAGUCUAUGGGUGGAGGCACUGAAAACCGCCAUUCAUAUUCUCAAUAGAGUACCAAGUAAGUCGGUGCCCAAAACACCGUAUGAGUUGUGGACAGGAAAAGUACCCUCACUAAACCACUUACGUGUGUGGGGGAGUCCUACUGAGGCUAAAGUAUUUAACCCAAACAUUGGGAAACUAGAUCCCAAAACAGUAAGUUGCCAUUUCAUUGGCUAUCCAGAAAGAUCAAAAGGGUUUCGUUUCUACUGUCCAGAUAGAUAUACAAAGUUUGUAGAAAUGAGACACGUUGUGUUCCUAGAGGAUGAAAUGAUGAGGGGGAGCAUGGUAAGUCGAAAAAUUGAUCUUGAGGAAAAGCGGGUAUAUGUGCCCACUCCAAUGUUUCAGGAACCAAUUUUUGAAUUACCUGUUCCUGUUGCACGAACAGUGCAAGACACUGUAGUGACAACACCUAUUGUUAGUUCUCCUGUGGCGAUAAUGAAUGGACAUGAGGAAUCUGUCCUUCAGGAUCCUAUAGAAAAUGAUGUCACAAGUGAGGGGGAGCAACAACAGCCCCAGAUAGUAGAUGUGCCAAAUGUAGAGGCCCCAAGAAGGUCUCAAAGAAUUAAAAGAUCAGUUAUUCCUGAUGAUUAUGAGGUGUACAACACCGAAGGACUUCAAAUGGAGGGUGAUCCCACCUCAUUUGAAGAAGCCAUGAGAAGUGAGCACUCGUCAAAGUGGCUUAAAGCCAUGGAAGAUGAAAUGGAAUCAAUGAAUGCUAACAAAGUUUGGGAUUUAGAGACAAUUCCUAAAGGAGCCAAAACAGUAGGCUGUAAAUGGGUCUACAGAACAAAACUCGACUCCAAAGGGAAUAUUGAAAGACAUAAAGCACGACUUGUGGCAAAAGGCUUUACACAAAGAGAAGGGAUUGAUUACAAUGAGACAUUUUCUCCAGUCUCAUGUAAGGACUCCUUCAGAAUUAUAAUGGCAUUAGUGGCACACUAUGAUUUAGAGUUACAUCAGAUGGAUGUAAAGACGGCAUUCCUCAAUGGGGAUUUGGAAGAAAUUGUUUACAUGGCACAACCGAAAGGUUUUGUUGUGAAAGAAAAAGAAGGUAUGGGAUGCCGCCUAAAGAAAUCAAUUUAUGGUUUAAAACAAGCUUCAAGACAGUGGUACUUGAAGUUUGAUAGAACAAUAAAGGAUUUUGGGUUUAAAGAGAAUGUUGAGGACAACUGUGUAUAUGCAAAGUUUAAGAAUGGAAAGUACAUCUUCCUAAUCCUAUAUGUGGAUGACAUCUUACUUGCUAGUAGUGAUGUCAGUCUACUGCUGGAGACAAAGAAGUUUUUGUCCUCAAAAUUUGACAUGAAAGAUCUUGGUGAAGCGUCUUUUGUUUUGGGCAUAGAGGUUCACCGAGAUAGAACAAAAGGGGUAUUGGGACUGUCCCAAAAGUUAUACAUAGAAAAGAUUUUAAAGAGAUUCAAUAUGCACAAAUGUAGUGCAUCACCUGCACCAAUAGUCAAGGGCGACAAAUAUGGGGAUUUUCAAUGCCCUAGGAACCAGUACGAGCUCGACCAAAUGAAAGUGGUUCCAUAUGCUUCUGCUGUCGGAAGCCUGCAGUAUGCUCAAGUGUGUACGCGCCCUGACUUAGCUUUUGUUACCGGGUUGCUUGGCAGAUUUCAAAGUAAUCCAGGGAUUGAGCACUGGAAAUUGGUAAAGAAAGUCUUGCGAUAUUUGCAAGGCACGAAAGGCCUCAUGAUGACGUAUAGAAGAACAGAUUCACUCCAAAUAGUGGGGUACACAGAUUCUGAUUAUGCGGGAGAUGAUAGAAAAUCCACAUCGGGAUAUGUGUUCACUCUCGCAGGUGGAGCUAUUUCAUGGAAAAGCUCAAAACAAACUGUCACUACAUCGUCCACAGAGUAUGCCGAGUUUGUAGCGUGUUUUGAGGCUUCGGGGCAGGUGAACUGGUUAAAGAAGUUCAUACCCGGUUUAAAGGUGGUCGACAACAUACAUAAACCACUAAAGUUAUACUGCGAUAAUGCUCCAGCAGUACAGUAUGCUCACAACAAUAGGUCAAGUGGUGCUGCCAAACACAUUGACAUAAAGUACUACGUUGUGAAGGAUAAAGUCCGGGAUCAAAUAAUAAGUCUUGAGCAUAUAAGAAGUGAAAAGAUGCUCGCGGAUCCGCUUACAAAAGGCUUACCACCCAAAGUGUUCAAAGAACAUGUAGCCGGCAUGGGUUUAAGGGAAAGCCUAUGAUUCCUGGACUAUAAAUAGGGCCUAAAGUUAAAGUAAUUGUUUCAGAUCGGAGAUGUGUAUUGUAGCUGUCAAAUCUAUCGACGAUUGAUCGUGACGAUGAAACAUGCUCUAUGCACUUAACUGUGAUGGAACGAGUAAAGUGAAAAGUGUUGAAGUUAAAGUUUAAAGUUUAAAGUGAACGAUGAGAUCAAGGGGGAGAAUGUUGGAUUGAUCUCCACCAAGAUGGGCCCAACGGACAUCUUGGGCCUUUUGAUCGCGCCCUGAUCGGGGGCGCCCAACCCUAUAUGGUUGGUGGGCCCCUGUCACACUGCGCUAUAAAUAAAAGGGUGGGGGCCGACGGCUCGGAUAACGUGUUUCGCUAGAGCCGUACUCCCCACCGACAAAACCCUAACACCGAUCUGAGAGGGUGUGCAGCCAGUGACGGGAAGACACCGCCGUUCAUCGCCGUCGACAACCUCGCUGCAUCAACCUUCAUCAACGAACCUGAUGGCGGAUGGAUCUACAUCCUCCAACACGCCUGCGCUUCCCAAUGACGGUAACAAUCUAAUACUGUUUGUUCUAGAAAUUAGGAACCCGAAAUUACUCAAUAGAAUAUAGAUUACCCCACUAAUCUACUCCUAGAGAUCCUGUAAAUCUUAACAGGCCCCACAUGAAUUUCUGUCCUGCAUCCACCACUGAUCAAUCCUAUGUGUGAGCAUUCAGAGAUGACCAGUCAAUCAUGAAUCAUCACAGACCAAAAUGGACCACCUCAAGCUACAAGCGAGCACCAGACAACAUGCAAGCGACUACAUUCACACACGCGCUCGGAACCCAGUCAAGCACUCUCGGAGACGACACAAGCGCGCCGAGUAGAGCAUUCCACGGCCUCACGGGAUGAGUGCUGGAUUGCCGCAACCUACGGAACGAGGGGUCGGGAUACUCACCAUCAGGGGGGUCGGUGAAGGACGCGGCGGAGACGAACAAGGCGCAGAGCAUCGCUACGUCAAGGAGGUGGCGCGGCGCCCCCAUUCCAACCGCUCGCGCGCGCGCCCAACAAAUCCACCGCGCCAACCCCUUGAGAAAUCCUAGGUCGUCUUGUGUAGCCGGAUAACGGACCGGAGCAGGGAGGCCCCGAACGUUCUGGGAGCUUCCGGGGAACCGCACGCUUCCGACACCGUUUGAAUUCCUCUCCCAAUUCCGCGCCGACCCGCGAGAUCGCGCUUGGAUCACGUACCCCGAUCGCGGAUUGGAGGAGCAAGGCAGCCGUAGCGGGGCGAAUCGCCCGGCGUGGCCUGCGGAAUGAUGCGAGUGCUUGCGAGGUGCUGUGGCCGGUAGGGUUUAGGGAUUUUGGUUUUUGGGAGGGAAAAAGAGGAGUGCAGGAAGAGUGCGGAUUAUAUCGUUCAAAUGUCGUGUCGGUUAGGACAGAGUUAAGAUUAGGUCGACGUCAUUUAGCAUGGCCCGUAAUGUCAGUCACGUCGAGUUGGCACAAUUAGAUUGGAUGUUUCGGGUUGGUUUGAGUUUUUUUUGCUUUAGGUUGGAUUUUAGAAAAAAAAAAUCAUGACCUCUACUCGGCUCGUGGAUCGUUGUGGAUUAAAAACUAUUGUCUAUACUAGCUCAUUGUGUUACUUAGAUCAGGUUGGUCAGGUCGGGUGGACCAUGAUCAGAUCUAGUGCAUAAAAAGAGUGCUUUGUUACAUGUACGAUGCGUGUGCGGCAUUAUACUGUACGGAAUAAUUAUUAGAAACGUCUCGAUACAAUUUAUAUGGAACAAUUGUGUCGGCACCCUUGUUUUACGGUGUAACUAUAGAUUUAUCCCUAAUUUUUAGACUUUAUAUUUUUGCCCCUAUUUUGUCAAAACAAAAUUAUUGUAUGCCCCUACUCUAUUAGUUCUACUCUGUUAGUUGUACUUAACGGUGUUAAAUCUUCAUAAAAAAUAAGGAACAGUUCCGCCAUUGCCUUUAUUUUGGAGUAGAACUGUAUUUGUACCCCUAUUUUUUAGAUUUUACGUGUUUUUAUGGCAAUUCGAAUUAUUUUCACAACAAUUCAAAUAGUUUUGGAUAGCAAUUCAAAUUAUGUUACAAUAAUUUGAAUUAUUUUCAGAAUUUAAAGUUAUUUUAACAAAUUAUUUAAAUUGUUGUCAGGGAAAAUAUUUGAAUAGUUCAAAUUGUUUUUCUUCGUGACAGCAAUUUGAAUAGUUUAUCAAAAUAUUUUUAUUUUGAAAAUAAAUUAAAUUAUUGUAAAAAUAAUUUGAAUUGUUGUCGAAAUAAUUUUAAUUAUCAUAAAAACAUGUAAAGUCUAAAAAAUAGGCAAAACUACAAUUACGCUCUAAAACAGGGGUAAUGACGCAAUUAUCCCUUGUAUUUUUAUCAAGACUUAACACUAUUAAGUACAACUAACGUAGUAGAGACAUACGAUACGACAAUUUGUUUUGAAAAACAGGAGCAAACAUGCAAAGUCUAAAAAAGACAAAUAUGCAGUUACACCCUAAAACAGGGACGCGCCAGUUGACUAAAAAAAUGUUUGUGGUAAUAGCUAGCUAACUAUUACUAAUUUGCUAAAAAUAGUUAAUAGCUAAAUUAUUAGUUACCCUAUUUGAAUGCCUUUACCUAAAUUUAGUAGCUAACUAUUAGAUCUAGUGCAUUCAAAUGAAAGGGAAAUGUGGUAUAGGGCCAUUUCUACCUAUUUGGUGACUAGAUGAGUGCACGUGCGUUACGACAGGAGUAAAAAAAUUUGUAUGAAACAUAGAAACAAAACGAUAAAUAUUACUAUGAUAUGCAACAUCCGUGUGGUAAACAUUAUCAAUAUCACACAAAUUAUUUCUAAAGAGUCAAUUUUGAAUUUUGUAAUGACAGACAAAUGUGUCGACAACCAUACACUAAUCUAGUCCUUUUUAGCGAUAUCGAUAAGUCGUUGUUGUAUGUUUGCAGGGAUGAUAUAUCGACACGAAUUAGUGCACAACGAUUUCAUAAAAAUCAUAAAUAAAUAGUGCACAACGAUUUCAUAAAAAAUGAAUACCACGUAUAUUAUCGACAUCAAUAUCUCAAAUUCCUUGGCACAAUCAAUACAAAACUAAAUUGAUACAAAUCAUAUUAUACUACAAUACGAAUAUCAGAAAUAAAGUCUAAGUGAGCGGGGAGGAGGCAUGGAGCCUAUUGCAUGCACGCACCACAUAGCCGCCUCAUUCCAUGAGGGCACCUCUGCUGGUUGUUGCGACCACUCUUAUGCCUCCACCUGCCAGACUACGCCAUAAGAUCCAGGUGGCUAAUACAUGUAGCUCCAUCAUCUGGAUGGUGUCCACCUUCAAUUGAAGAGACCAAAAAAGGUGUUCAAAUAUAUUUCGGUUAAGAAUAAUAAAAUAGGUUGAGAUGUAUUGUUCAAGAGGGAUGUAGUGCUAAAGGCGUAUGUCAUGGGCCUAUCUAGCUUAGGUUUACGAUAUAAUUCAUUAGUGUCUGGGUUAAUUAGAGAUAAAGAUCGCUUGCUUAGUGAUCAAAUAAGCUUCAAUAUAUAAGGAGAGGAGAUUAUCAAUCUAAUCAAGCAAGUCAUAAGAAAGAAAACCCUUCUUGUCUAUUUAUUCAAUUAGGCUGGAAAAACUUUUAUUACCGAAUUCAUAGAAUGAGAACAUGAAGUAACCAAUUUUAAGGGAAAAACGAUAUACCUCAUUUUGCAGCAGCCAAUCAGAAGUAUGCCUCCAGCAAAUUGCACUUCAUCAUCUUUCCACUGGCCAUGGCACACAUUUCGUAUGUGCUGCAACUUUACAACGUCCACAGCGCCAAAAGAACAUCUUUUGCUUACAAACCAUACACCCCAAAUGGGAGUCAAAAUUAAAUCAUGUGUUGUCCUUAAUGAUCAAGCAAUGAACCAAUCCAAGCAUAGGAAUUGAAAUACGACACGACCUGAAAAAUAAAAUACAGGUAUGCAUCUUAACCAUUGACUAUCUGCUAAAUAAUUUUCCAUGCUUGUAAUAACAAACCCCCAAGUUUAUUGCAGUAAAUUUUCAAUUCUUGUGAUGGUUAUGAUAUUUUCAAUGUACUCUACUUUCCACACCUUUAGGCCAUUAACCGCGUUUAUGGGCAUGGUAGGCAUCAAACAUAUUGGGAGAUGAUAAGACGCCGAAACGUGGUGCACUUUACUGGAUCCUGAAUCAUAAAUAGUGAAGACACUAAAUUUAUAGAAUAGGAGAAUGUUCACACAUUGAUCAUGUAGAAGAAUGUUCAUGGCGUUUACUUGGUAGGACCAUAUUGAUAGGAUAACCAAGUAUAUAGGAUGAAAUCAUCAUGAGACACACAUAAGGAUAAAUGCAUCAAUAUGGACAUUGGAAAAUACUAAUAGCAAUGACAAGACAAUUUAAGACACCUAGGAUUCUAAAGUACGAAUACUGUUUUAGCUAUUAUAUUAUGGCAACAUGUAACACGUAUUGUACUUAAAUCCAACCAAUACUAUUUUUCUCUCUACCCAAUAGAAAAAUCUAAACCAUCUUUUCUUGCCCAGCAGAAACAUCCUUUGCACCUGUUUGAAGAGAUCUCCCCCUAAAAACAAAGGAAUAAAGUUGAUUCAGAGAGAGCUAGAAGGUAAGAAUCUAUUUUAAAAACAAAGGAAUACCAGUAGAAACUAUUUUGUUACAGUACACUCCUAUUUUGAGAUGACUAUAAACCAAGGAACAAAACACACCUCCAUUCAAAACUGUAACACCCCUGGUGUUACUGUUACUAAAACUUGACCAUAACAUCAUGAGCAUCAGCAUAUCAUGUGAUUGUUACACUUAGAAUGCAUUCACUAGGCAAAAUUUUCAAACAAGUUGUAUUGAUAUAACUGGUCAUGGGUAAAACCCUAGAGUAGGGUACUUAACCCUAAACUAAGCUUAGGGUGUCAAUAAAGCACAAAUGAGUUAAAUUCUCAAAACUUAUUAGAAAUGGUCAUAAGAUAUCAACUCUAAUAGGAUUUGAUAGUAUCCAAACUCUAGAAUUGCCAGAAACCCUAAAAAGGACCACUGAAAACCCCAAAUAGAAACCCUAGGGGGUUAUAUGCAAAUGUUGCACACUUUUGGACCCAAGUACAAAAAUCAUGGUAUUAGGGCACCCCAAAGCACAUGGUUCACACAUUUGAGGAUUUCCAAGUCAAAAGAUGUGGAAGGGGCUUAUUUGCAAAAAACCACUCAAUUCCUCUUAUGUGGCUAAGUCUGAAAACAGUUGAACAAGGCUGACUUUGGAGCUCUAUAGUUUUAAAAAUACAAAGAGUUUGCCUAGGGUCAACAUAUCAAACUUGUAGAGCUCAUGUAGGAGUACAACUUUGCUAUAUGUAUUAAGCCUUGGUGUCAUGAGAAAUUUUGAGAUAAUUAUAUCCAAAGUCGGGCUGCCAGGCAACCCUAAGUCUGAAUCCUCGCUAGCAGUAAAGAAGGAUGAACUUAGAGCUCAAUUUAGAGUUAGAUUCAUUGCUCGAUUGAGGAUAGUUGCCAUAGUCGAUUUGUAGCUGGAUCAUAGGGCUACAAGUUUGCUGCAGACGGAUUGGCAUGUUCUGACACAAAAAUCCGAGAUCUAGGCGUUGCAAGUUGCUCUGUCGGGCGCUCUAUUGAACGUUUCCAAUGGUACAGUGAAUGGAUAGGGUCAGGUUCAGAGAACCUCGCCGCCGGUGAGCCGUGCGCCCAGAUUCACGCUAGCCGCUGUGAUUCGUGCCCUGCUGCCGUAAAAAGGAUCUCACCGUGGCCAAUGCACUUCAGGUCCGUUCAGGUUCUCUUCCCUCUUGUUUCAACACCCCUACCUGCCCCUGAUGCCUCUCGACCCGACCGAUUAGGCUAGAACCCCUUAGAUCGUCGGGAACACUUCAUGUUGUCCAUUGUGCCCGCUGUCACCGUGGACAGGGUGAUGUAGAGCUCAAAUCCAGCAAUUAAGUGGGGGAAAAUAGUCGCGUAGGGUUAAAUUCGGUGUCCAGCAAAGGGGAGAGCUAGCUGUUGCUUAGUUUGGCCAGUAUAGGCUCGCCGGAGCUCGGCCUAGUGAAGCGCCCCAAUCCUCUGGGACUCGAAUGUGAUACAAUUACUAGUCCCAAGAGGCUAGUAAACACAUUUAUACAUCAGAUGAUUUCAAAUCUGCUUACACGAGACAAACCUAUAAAGGUGGCGAUCAACUUUAAGAGUUGGUCCAUAACUCGGGACAUCAUCAGAGUGGGGCUGAAGCAGCCCGAUAUACGCAGCGAAGCAAAUCAGCAGUCCAACAGCCACAGGCAAGGUUGGGAACAAUCAUAACUCUUACCCGAUCUCCUUUUUCUGAAAAACAACAAAUAAGCAAGGGUGAGUACAAAUGUACUCAGCAUCCCACCUUCACCAGCGGAAUGGGGAAAUCAGAUAUAAUGCAUGGAAUAUGUGGAGCUCAGGAUAUUUUGCAGAAACAACAAUAUUUUAUGCAUGGUUGUUUUGUAAAACAUUUUGUAUUUUGCAAAGCGCAUCCUCUCCCAAAGGAGCAGGAAGUUUUUCAAUAUUAGAAUAAAAUCCCCUGGACUAAACCAUCCAGGUAUCUCAGCAGUUUCCCACUGGUUUUCAUUUUCAAAAACAGCUACUAGACUUCCCGUCCACCAUAGCUCACGGCUCAACCGCCGGACCUUUUAAAAACAUUUUUCUCAAAUGCACCCUUUUUGAAAACAAAACAUUAAUUGUCAUACCAUACCAGACUCGUCCAUUCCUGUGGACACGGACUAUUCGAAUAGGUUUUCAAACUCUGCGCAGAGGUGUACACUUUACCCACUAGUCCGGUUUCUGCGAUCUCAACGUCGUGAGACCCGAAUGCCGAAUCUCUUUCUUUCCUCGCACGACCUAACCUUAAUGGUUAUACCGGAAAGAGUCAGGCCACCGCCAUGUCCAAACCGGACAAAACAUUCUCCCUCCUCAUCCUCCUGGUGCUCCCCAGCCUUCAUAACCCUGGGGUUGGACCGUACGAGUUCAGAUUGAGUGACUGCCCACACAGUCUCGAGUGGUUGUACUUAUCAUGAGUACAGGUAGUGAAGGAUGACAAACCGGUCCUUAUGUGAGGGGACAAUCCUUCUACUCACACCUAAACCAGCUGAGCCAUCACCUUAGGCCCUCCCCUAAACCAGGGAGUCCCUGAUCAUCUCUACUCAAAGGUGAUAAGGGUGAAAACCCUUCAUCAUACACAUUUUGAAAAGCAUUUUCUUUUGAAAACUCACACCUUUCCUCAGAUCAUUUGUAACAAAUAUAUCAGGGAUUGAUUGCGGCAAGCGGCUAGGUGGCCAUAAUAACUUGUCUCAAAAUCGUAUCAUGCAUAAAAUAACAGGCUGAGGGUUGUGGUUGAAAAACAUAGGUAAUUUAUGCAUCAAAGGGAUCCAGUGAGCUUGUCGUGCUUAUCCGGCGAAGGGGGAAGUGGAGCUCGCGGAACUGGCUUCUAGCUCCACUGCCUGCCGUAGACUUGCAGAUAUGGCCUCCACAAGACAGCACGAACGCUCUGAUAACUAUGCAACAUGAACAAGCAAACAUACAAACCAACAAGUAUACCAACAAAUAUUUAGUAUAGUGGUCAGAAUAGCGAUAUAUGGAUGGGUAGAGUCUUGAGUAGAAUCUGUGUCAUGUGGUGUUGAGAUACUGCUGGUGGUGGAGCGAAGGUGCUUACCAGGAGGGUGGACUGGAGACGAAGCGACACUAUGCGUGUAGUCGGCAGAGCGGAGUAACUGAGUGGGUGGGGUGUUUGCCUUGGCUGAGGGUGUUGAGUGUGUGUGGAGAGGGAGAGGGUAGCUGGGUGUAUUUAUAGCUGGGUGUAUGUGGUGUAGCACAGUGAAGUUCACUGUUGGUGAGAAUAGUAACGAAUGAAUCGUCUGACUUAAUAUGAACAGGAGAGUUGUAGGCAGAAUAUGGGACAAGAGUAUUUUGGGAGUUUUCUGGAAUAUGAACCAUGCUUAAGGGAUGACAUGGUUGGAUAGGGAAUAGUUUGACAAAAAUUUUAGAAACAAGAAUGACUAAAAUCUGAGUUUGGAUGGAGGAGUUUUGGAUUUUAUAAUCAUAGGGAGAAAAAGAAAAGGAAAGGAAUAUUCUAGAAUUUGAAUAUUUAGAGAUAUUUGGAAAAUAAAAAAUACAAAUGUAUUUUUGAGCGGGGUGCAAGGAAUUAUUUUUGGGCUUUUCUUGGGCAGAGGUUUAUGUUGGUGGAAACUGUUCCUACCUACUGUGUCACAUCAGACAACAGUGAGGCGGGACCCAAAUAGCUGGAAUGGUGUGGUAUUCUGGUCCGAGUGGGCUGUGGUAUCUUGGGCCAGGUUUUAUAGGAUUGAAGACGUAUCCAUACAAACAUGGUUUGCCUUUCUUUUUGGAAGUCUGGCUUGAAAGAAUCCCAAAGUUAAGCGUGCUCAACUUGGAGAAAUCUAGGAUGGGUGACCAGAUGGGAAGUUCCCUACUGGAAUGAAAAUCACAGUCACCAGAGUUCAUAUGACUGAAAUAUGGGUCUGGCUGGUCUUAGGUGGACUGGACAACAUGAUGGAUGAGUAGUUGAAAUUUGGGGUGAUCGAAUGAUCGAUGAAUAAUAACGAUGAAUAGUAAUGGUGAAUAGUGAUGGUGAAUAGUUCGUAUGAACGAACGAUGAACGGUGAAUAGUGACGAUGAACGAACGAUGAACGAUGAAUAGGAACUAUGAACGAACGAUGAACGAUCGAAUGAUCGAACGAACGAUCGAAUGAUCAAACAAACGAACGAUCGGAAUUUCGGCAGCAUAACGGCAGGAAAAAGAUUAUUUGGACGAACGAACCAUGAACGAUCGGACGAACGAUCGAACAAACUAAGAACAAGGGGACGAAUGAUCGAAGAAUGACUGAACGAUCCUUGUGCUAGUGGGUGCUUGUGUGGGAGGUGGAGUGGGAGUGGGCGUGUGUGGGGGGGAGGGAGUUGCCAUGAAAUGGCUUGGGUGGGAUGAGAGGAGGCCCUUGCCCCUCUAUUUAUAGCCAUGGUGGGGGGAUUAGGAGGAGGGAUGAGAGGAUUAGUGGGAGGAUGAGAGGAUUAAUAGGAGAUUAGCAUGGAUUUGUCUUAUAUGAGUGUAAUUAGCUUGUAGAGCUCACCGUAUGACACCGGAGGCAUACGUAUAUGUAUGAGCAUGAGGAAAGUCAUGAAGAAAAUAUUUGUAGGGACUUCAAAAUGAUUCUGAAGGUAUUUCUCAGGAAGAAAAUACUUGGAGAUAUAUCGGUGUAAUAUUUGGGCAGUAUUUCUGAAAGAGUUUGAGGGUGAUCACUGGGGAAAUAUUUGUAGGAUAUUUUGAGGAGGAUUUUAGAGAGAAUAUAAACCACUAUAUUUUACUUGUUGAUAUCAACUUGCAAACAAACAUUUUGAAACAAAAUUUGAAAUUCAUUUUGAAUUUAGAGUGAGUUUGAGAAUAUUUCAGAAUUUGAAUUUUUGGGAUGCUACACCUGGCGCCGUUCGCCGUCGAGGACUGCGGGAUGAGAAGAAGUAGAAGUGCGAGGGCUUAUUUGCAUUUGUCAGUGACCCAAGCAAAUAGUGUGCGGGGUUCUUUACUAGAUUUUCAAACCGCCGAGGCCUCCGGUGCAAAACCGCCGCACGGGCACGCGCGCACGGGCACGUUCUGCCUAGGCUGGGCCGGCUUGGGCCAGUUUCGGCCUAGUACUGUUAGUUCUUUUUCUUUUUCCUUUUCCUUUUCAACCAGAGUUAGAGAAUUUCUAGAAAAUUGUAGAAAAAUGCUAAAAAUACAAGACCAAUUUUUCUAGGUUUCUAAUUUUCUAUAUUAUUUAAGAAAAAUAGUUUUAUGAUUUUUAGUCCAAACAGGGAAUUAUGGGGUAAUUAAAAUAGCCAAAACCCAUAUCCCUUGAAUUUUAGAAAUUAAUUAAUCAUUCCAAAAAUCACCAAACUUUUUAGAUAAGCUUUAAAUGUUAUAUAGAAGACUUGGGUAAAGUUUGGUAUGAUUUGGACCAUGUUUGAUGCCUAAAUCCUAAAACCUUAGUCUUCUAGUGAUGCCUGCCCUAAGAACUUCACUAAUAACUCCAAAAACCCUAGUUUCCUGGGGUUCCGUGAAGGAAAAUUGUAUUCAAGACCUUAGAUAAUAUACCUUUAUUAUCUUUGCAUUCUCAUAAGCAUUACAUGGGCAUUCAUGAUUAUAUAUAUGUGGUAUAUAGAGAACGAAGAAGAAAUAGAAGUUGAAGAAGCAAGAGCUACAUCACCACCACUGCCUAAAGAACCUCAGGCCAGGAACUGCUUUUAUUUUUACAUCUGUGGAGCAGAGCCUGACUCACCUAUAACACAAGGCAAGCCCCGAUGCAUUUGCCACCUCCUUGCUAUUUCAAAAUCUUUCUCACUUGCUUGAUGCAUUAGGUGAUAGGAGUUGUGUGCUAAACAAAUUGAUGCAUUUCCUUCCUUGAGGAUUUGAUUACCUUUCCUUGAUCCCCUGUUUUACAAAAAGGUUUUUCUUAUGCUUAGCUUUGCUCUAGAAAAACAAAAUGUUUUGUUUUAAAACAAAAGUGAUGCUUCAGUGGGUGGGAAUGUUUUCGAAAAUAAAAACUUGAUGGUGGAUCCAUCAUGGCCGUGAUGGGUUCAACAUCGGAAAAGAUGUACCUCUACCAGGUACCAAGCUUUGGGUUGAAAUUAAUAAAGUUGAGACCGGGCGGUUGACUUGCACGAGAAGGGAGUCUCGGUGUAGUGUCUCUGUCUGAGUUGGUUAAGGACCAUCUCGAUGUAGGCCUGCUGACCGAGGACCCUUUAACUGGUCACAUGCCUCAUCAUGGGUAAGCUUUGCCUCGGGCAGACUAAUACCAGAAUAAGAUAACACACAAUGGGAGUGGAGAGAUGGCGAGAGUAGCGUGUACCCUCCGUGGCAAGAGGCUGGACGGUGGUGUAUCUGUGCUCUUGGUUGGCGUGAACCUGAUCUGGUCUUAAGAACCUCGGUGGCGAGUUGACAUAUGCAAGGGUUAAGUGCUACAUAUGUCGUGUGAUUGAAGAUCCUCAGCUGAGUAUUAAUCGAUUCGGAUCGCCGUUACUUCUCGGACAUGAAGACUUGGUCACUGACUUACACGUAGCCAUCCAGUGAACAAGAAGGGUUGAUAAGAAAUUGGCUAGUAUAAGUCAAGUGCUUGAACUAGGGUAGAAAGAACUCUAGAACUCAAGUAAUGACUUAACUUGCUAAUAAAACUGGACUUUUAAGGAUCCACUAUUAGUAAGCAUUUCUGCAAACAGAGUCUUUGAUUAUUGAUAAGCCAUACCUUGAUUCCCAAAGGCCAGCAUAUCCUUGAGAGUCUUUUUAUUUUGACGGGUAAGACUUGCGAAAGUACACUCCGUACUCAGGGUUUUUGAACCCAUGUUGUUGUAGGUGAGGAAGCAGCAAAUUUUUGUUGCUUUUGUUCCAAGGUGGUGCCUAAGGAAGAAAACCAAGACUGAAGCCUCGGGAGGAAGUGUCCUCCUUUAUAAACUUUUUACUGUUAAUCGGGAGGGGUUUUGCCUCCCAAGAUAUGUAAUAAUAUUACUCCAGCACUCUUAUAUUUAUACUUGUCUGUAAUAAUACUACUCUUUCCAUACUUUAAUAUAAAAUAAGUUGUUGUAACUGCUUCCUCAUUCUCGUUCCUCCGAUGUGUUGUAAUAUCUGCGUGACGGGUGAAACGCUCUUGGGCAAGGUGAAGAAUACAGAUACCGAACUUAUCAAGUGAUCAGAUGCACCUGCAGGGUUGUCUGAGGUCUGAUGGACAAGGACAACUGUAGGUGGGCCUAAUGACUUGGGAGGUUCUGUCACAGCUGGUAUCAGAGCGAAGCCCAUCUCUACAGAUGUUAUGAGGCAUUUUCAAAAAGAAUUUUCCAAGACUUAUCUAAGAAAAUUCCUUUCCUUCUUAUCUAACUACCUUCUGAAGUACUUAUUUUAAAGACCAGAUAGUAGAGUGCAAUAUAUAAAAGGUUGUGAAUCAACUAAGGUUGAUUCUAUAAUUAUGCAUGCAUCAUGUUAAAAACUAUACUAAUAAGAUUUUCCCCCUUAUGGAGAUAUGCCGCCGCGCACAAGGAAAACCGCACGCAAGUCCACUAGACCGAUUGGCGUGCCUCGUCAUCAGCUGGCUCCAAGGCAUGGGGAUAGUAGCAGCGGCAGCAAUGAUCCCAUUGGAGAUCUAGAAGUUCGGGUGGAGUAGCUUCGAACAGAAUUGCGUCAUAGAAAUAGUGUGUGGGUCAAGGAUGGUCAGCGCAUAAAUGAGUUAAGAACUGACAUCCGGCAUCUGCAAGACGAGCUUGCCAAACGAGAUUUGGCACUCGAUUGGGCCAUCAACUCGCGUUCCAUUGCUUGGGACCAAGAGGCCAAGGCUCGAGCCCGUGUGGAGGAGCUUAGCACAGCCGUGGAUAACUUGCAGGUGUACUGCAAUACAUUGCAUGAGGAAGUUCAUGAAUUGUAUUCGGGACUACACCCUGACGUACCUGCAGACCCUGUCGGAGUGGGAGCUGGACCUUCUGGAACAACAGGUGAAGCAUUUGGUGGGGAACUGGAUCUUUUCAAGCCCCCUCCUUCAAUGAACCUGGCUGAUGAAUGGACUCCUACACCCGACAACGAAGCUGCUAAGGAUAAUAAAUACUAGUAGUAGUAUAGUUUAGAAGUAAUGUAAAAUAGGUAAUGAAGUCAUGAUGUACAAUGAGUUUGUAACAUUACAUCUUAGGUAAUGUAAAAUGGUGGUAUGUAUCAGCAUGUGAUAUUUUCCAAAUAUUUCUUUGCUUCAGAUGCCAUCUCUAACUCGUGCACAUGACGGUGUGGGAACAUCCCGUGGUCAAGAUGAUACACCCAAUCCACCGCCGGUACCGCCCACGUUGGCCGAGGCUAUCGCCGCCUUGGUCACCACGACCGCUGACAACACCCGCUUCCUACGUGAAAUGGCGGGACAACAACUUUAGCAGCAGGGCGGGAGAGCUUAUCCGCAAGGACCCCGCGAAACUUCAUAUUUGGAUUUCUCAGAAACUCGUCCCCCACUAUUCGUCAAAGAUGAAGAUCCCCUCGAAGCUGAUGAAUGGAUUCGAGUCAUUGAGCAAAAAUUUGGACUCAUCCGAUGCACGGAGACCCAGAAGCCAUUAUUUGCGGCUCAGCAGUUAAGAGGCCCUAUCAGCACCUGGUGGGGAAAUUAUGUGGCCAUUCAGCCUGCUGGCCAUCAACUCACCUGGGACGAAUUUAAAUCGGCAUUUCGGGAGCACUACAUUCUAGAAGGAGUGCUCCAUAUGAAGUAAGAAGAAUUCAUGAAACUCAAACAAGGUGUAUCUCAACAAGUUCGAUCAUUUGUCCUAGUACGCUAUUGACCAGGCCAACACUGACCUGAAAAAGAGGAAUUGCUUUAUGAGAGGCCUCAAUGACCGGCAACAACGAAAAAUGGCCACCUGCCUCGACCUCUCCUACAGCAGGGCUGUCAGCACAGCGCUGGCAGUUGAAGCUAAGUAUGCAGGCCCAGGGAAGUCAAAGGGCUAUGGAGGUGAUAGGUCCAACCAGGGGCCUGAAAAGCGACAAAGGUUGGUGAUCCGACCUUUCAAUCAAAACCGUUCUUCACCUCGUACACCCUCCUACCCCUUCAAACAACCUGUAUUCAUCCGCCCUGCUACUGCCCCACCUCAACAACUCAGCCGAGUGCCCCUAGUGCUUGUUUCCCCACCCUCCCGAGCUCUUCAACUGGUUGCUUCAAUUGUGGGAAGUCUAGACAUUUCGUCAAAGACUGCCCAUAUCCGAGGCAGAACAACUCCAAUAAUCAGCAGAACCCUGGGAGUUCCAGCCAAGGCAAAGGAAACACGGUAAAUAAUGCAGCGGGCAAGAAUAUGAAGAAAACUGGGCGAAUCUAUUAUACACAAGUGGCCACUACGCUGGAGGGAGAGCCGGUCAUGAUGGGUACGUUUCUCGUGGCUAAUCACCCUGCAGUCAUUCUCUUUGAUUCUGGUGCUUCACAUACAUUCAUAAGCAAGAAGUUUGUGGAGAAAUAUUGCAUUCCUUGCAUUGAAUCAAGGGAAGGGUUUAUUAUUCAUUCGUCUGGGGGACAAAUAUUCACUAAAGAAAUGGCUUUCCAUGUGCCCGUAACGUUGGCUGAACGGUACUUUCCUACAAAUAUGAUUGUUCUAAAAGGCCAAGAUAUAGAUGUAAUUUUGGGCAUGAAUUGGCUAGGCUAGCAUAAAGCUAUCCUCAACACUGAUCUAAGAACCAUCAGGUUGAGCUAUGGCCAGGAAGAGGUUCUCCUGUCCAUUCUCGUAGCUCUUACAGCUAAACCAUUUGGCAGAGUAUAUGAAGCUAUCAUACCGGAGAUCCAAGAUAUUUCGGUAGUAUGUGAAUUCUCGGACGUCUUUCCGGAAGAUCUGCCUGGAUUGCCUACAGAGAGAUGUAGAAUUUGUGAUUGAGUUGAAGCCUGGUACGACUCCUAUUUCUAGAAGGUCGUACCGAAUGCCUCUGAAUGAGUUGGCAGAGCUCAAGACACAAUUACAAGAUCUGCUAGAAAAGGGAUUCAUCCGACCAAGCUCGUCACCUUGGGGUUGUCCAACCAUCUUUGUCAAGAAGAAGGACCAAACGCUUCGGAUGUGCGUGGAUUACAGACCCCUUAAUGAGGUCACAAUCAAGAAUAAGUACCCUCUUCCCCAGAUUGAUAUCUUAUUUGAUCAGCUUACCGGAGCUCGGGUAUUUUCCAAGAUUGACCUCAGGUCGGGUUACCAUCAGAUCCGUAUCAGAUCCGAAGAUAUACCCAAGACCGCAUUCACUACGCGGUAUGGGUUAUUUGAAUAUCUGGUUAUGUCUUUCAGAUUAACAAAUGCUCCCGCCCACUUCACGUAUCUUAUGAACUCGGUAUUCAUGCCUGAGUUGGAUAAAUUCGUGGUAGUCUUCAUUGAUGAUAUCUUGAUAUAUUCCAAGAAUGAAGAGGAGCAUGCUCGGCAUUUGCGGAUCGUAUUAACGCGCUUAAGGGAGCAUCAAUUGUAUGUUAAGUUCAGUAAAUGCGCGUUUUGGCUAGAGGAGAUCCAAUUUUUGGGACAUGUAUUGUCUGCCAAGGGGAUUGCAGUUGAUCCUAGCAAAGUCAAGGAUAUUUUGGAGUGGAAACCACCAACCACUGUACAUCAAGUCCGAAAUUUCCUUGGACUGGCUGGUUAUUACCGCUGAUUUAUUCUAGAUUUUUCCAAGCUGGUGAAACCAAUCACAAGUUUAUUGAAGAACGAUACCAAAUUUAACUGGUCUUCAAGAUGCAAUGAAGCCUUCGAGCAGAUGAAGGUGUUAUUGACCACUGCUCCGAUAUUAGCUCAACCGGACAUUGAAAAGUCGUUUGAUGUGUAUUAUUACGCAUCAGGCAGUGGUUUAGGUUGUGUCUUGAUGCAAGAAGGUCGAGUUGUAGCAUACGCCUCAAGACAGUUACGCCGGCAUGAGGAACAUUAUUCAACUCAUGACCUGGAACUAGCUGUUGUGGUUCAUGCCCUGAAAAUAUGGCGUCAUUAUAUGCUAGGGAAUAUCUAUCAUAUCUAUACAAAUCUUAAAAGUUUGAAGUACAUCUUUACCUAGUCAGAGCUGAAUAUGAGGCAGAGAAGAUGGCUUGAACUGAUUAAGGAUUAUGAGUUGGAAAUUCACUAUCACCCAGGCAAGGCCAAUGUAGUGGCAGAUACACUAAGUCGCAAGGCUUCCUAUCAUUGUCUUAUGAUGAAGACUUCUAACAUUACAUUAUGCCAAGAAAUGGAGAAGUUGAACCUAGGAAUGAUUCAACAUGGAACUUUCAAUCACUUGAAGCUUGAGUCAGUUAUUCUGCAAAGAAUAAUUGAUGCACAAAGAAAUGAUGAGGGUAUGAAACACAUUCAUGAGAAAAUAAAGGCCGGCAAGGCAAACUGUUUUAGAGAAGAUGAUCAAGGCAUUGUAUGGUUUAACAACCGCAUAGUUGUGCCCAAGAAUGAUGAGAUCCGCCAGCAAAUUUUAGAUGAAGCACAUCUUAGUCGCUAUUCUAUUCAUCCCAGAAGCACUAAGAUGUAUCAUGAUCUAAAGCAGCAUUAUUGGUGGACGAAGAUGAAGAUUGAAAUUGCACGCUAUGUGGCGAGAUGCGACACUUGCAGACGUGUCAAGGUGUAACACCCCACUGGUCACACAAAAUGGAUAAUACCAUAAACCUCAUCCACCAAACUUACUCAACACAAGAGAUGUAAUAAAGAAAGAAUAUAAAGCAAGAAAAAAAAUCCAGCAGCACCUCCUUUGAAAACUAGCAUAACAAGGAGGGGAAACAUGAAGCUCAUACAAGAUAUAAAGACAUAUAAUUCACAUAGUAGAAACUGUAAUGCAAAAGUGGUAAAACCUAAUUAUGACCCAACUGAAGUAAAACAAAUGGGAUAAGAAACCCAGCCCACCCCAAAAUAAACGCUCAACCAAGAACAAAACAAUUCACUAGUCUUGUCCAACUCUGAUUAACAACAUUAUUAAAUGGUGGUUCCUUUAUUAAAGGUGUAGUGGCUGUGCUGCUACAUCCCUCUACUCCCCAAAGCAGAAAUUAGGUGCCUGCAUCAAACAAUGCAAGAUGUGAGAUAACACAUCUCAGCAAGUAAACAUAACAACAACAAAUAGGACAUUGUAAAUCAACUGUGCUUACACAACCACGUGUUCAGGACUUCUUUCUUUUCUUUUGAACAGUAAAUUGCAGCAAGUAUACAAGUAACUAAAAACUCAACGCCAAGUAGAAUCACCAUGCACAAGUCCAAAUUAUCCACAUCCACAUAGUAGAUUCAACACCUCUCCCAUGAAUGCACAUGGCUACAAAUGCAAUAAUGACUUCUGCCUCCAUAUCUCUAAGGAUAUGAAGCUGCACCAUACCUCUUCUCGGGCAACAUAUGAUGCUCAAUGUACCGGUACGGUCGGACCAUAAGAUCGCGACGAAACUUCAAUGCAAUGGAUGAUGAGUGCAUUAUGCAUGACAACAUCAUAAGUUCUUCCCAAAAAAAUGUGCUAGGCAUUUACUUCCACCCAUUCCACAUAAUAACCACUUGAGUAACAUAAUCAAACCUCAAAUUCAACAUAUGAAAUCCAUGAAACAUGAACAUUUUCAAGUGAUGGUACUCAAAAGCAAAUAUGAAUUUGAACAUGAUAGCACAACAUAAACAAGUAUAAGACUCCUCAUCUGACAGACGGAAUAACCAUCACAGUUUUACUUGCCUUCACCGAAGUUUGGGCAAAAAUCCCUAAGAACGAUCCGGAAGUCCACCACCUGUUUUUGACACCCAACUUAGUGCACCAAAUUCACAUAAAAAAAACUCAAAGACAACACCGCACCUACGCGCAAUCUCAAACCCCGCCGCGGUAACAAUUCUCCCCUCACUAACCAAACUGCAGCGGCGCUGCUUAACAAUUCCAUAACUUAAAAAUUAGGACAGCAGUGGUGUCAAACAAAAACUUCAGAGACAACUACAUAAAAUUCCCCACAAGUUUUGUAUACUACUCAUGAUUAAAUUCUAACAUCUAAUUACCUCUAAACGGUCCACAAAAUAAACCCUGCAAUCUGUUUUUUUCUGAUUUGGGCAGCGACAUACUCGGAUUCAAACAACGAUAACUUUUAAAAUAUAAUUCCGUUUUAAGCGCAUAAGUACUUGUUGGAAAGAUAAGAAAAAGCCCUACAUGAUUCUCAUACUGAUUAACACUAAUUACUCCCGAAAAAUCCCCAGAAACUGCUAAUACUGCUGCUGUUCAUCACUCUGAAAAAUCUAUUUUUUGGACAGCCACAUACCCGGAUUCAAACGAUGAUAACUUUUGAUUUAUAACUCCAAAUUGAGCGCAUAAAUACUCGUUGGAAAGGUAAAACAAAGUUCUACAAGAUCCCCAAAUUGAUCCCCAUUAAUUCUUCACGAAAAAACCCUAAAAACUGCUAGAACUUCCGCUGUUCGUCCACCACGUAAAAUUCUGGACAGCCCCCCUCUAUCUAAUCGCAAACGCAACAUCUAAUCAAUUGAAUCGCAGCGCAAAUGAACAAGGGAUGAACACAAAAAUCACCUUGGGUUCUCCCCCUUUUCUUCCUCCCUUCUUCCCUCCACCAAAACGGUUGGAGAUUCGCACCACGAGACGAUGAUCCGAGCGGCAAGGAUUGGCACCUUGGGAGGAGGGGAUUGAGGGGGGGCUAGGGUUUGGUGGCUGCAAAAAUUGAGAGAGGAAGAGAUGGGCAGGGGGGGCGGCCAAGGGGAGGAGGAGAAGUGGGGGGGCGGCUGCACAUGGGGGGGAGGGGUUAGGAGAGAGACGGCUAGGGUUUGGGAGGGUUAAUGGGCCGAAACACCUAUUGCGGCCCAACUAACCCACGCGACAGCUCCCGACCGCAACACAAGCGUCAAAACAAAUAAAUUCUACUGCCCUAGUUGUGAAUGUUUUCCACAAAAUUCCAAAUCCCCAAAACAACAACCGGAUGAGGAAAAAAACAAAAAGAACAACCCCCAACUUCUCUUCUUUGCAAACGGGUAUCACACUCUACCCCUCUUAAAAAGAAUUCGACCUCGAAUUCUGACGCUUCUAUCAGAAUGACAAAAGAAAAGAUUAGUGAAUCAACAACACUUACCCACAACGAAAAGUUCCGGGUACUUCUGCCGCAUCAGCUCCUCAAGUUCCCACGUAGCCUCGUGCUCAGACUGGUUAGUCCAUAAGACCUUGACAUACUUAAUUGAUCUCUUCCUCAACACACGCUCCGAGAAUUCCAAUAUACGCACCGGGCGACACUCCAGAGUCAGAUCCUGCUGUACCGCAAUUGGUUCCAUCUCAAUCUGAUGGUCCGGAUCCCGCAAGAACUUCCUCAACAUAGAGACAUGAAAAACCGGGUGUACCCCUGCCAUGGAAUCCGGCAGCAGCAAGCGAUAAGCCAUGCUACCCACUCGGGCCAAGAUAGUGAACGGUACAAUGUAUCUCGGGCUGAGCUUCCCAGAGACACCGAACCGAACAACUCCCUUAGUGGGUGAUACCCUGAGAAGGACUUGGUCACCCACAGCAAAUUCCAGAUCCCGCCUCCUCACAUCAGCAUAACUCUUCUGACGACUCUGAGCUGCCAAAAUAUUCUGACGAAUUUCCCAAACCUUUUCAGAAGUUUGCUGAACCCAAUCAGGACCAACCAGGGAUCUCUCUCCCAAAGUCUCCCAGCACAGAGGAGAGAUACACCGCCUGCCAUACAAAGCCUCAAAUGGUGCCAUCUUGAUGCUAGCUUGGUAGCUGUUGUUAUACGCAAACUCUGCCAGAGCAAGAUGAUCCUCCCAGCUACCCUUCCAUGACAGAACACAAGCACGCAACAUAUCCUCCAAGGUUUGGAUUGUUCGCUCUGACUGACCAUCCGUCUGAGGGUGAAAAGCGACACUAAGCGAAAGCUUGGUGCCCAAUGCACAAUGGAGACUCUCCCAGAAUUUGGAUACAAAUUUGGAGUCUCGAUCAGAAACAAUAGACUUAGGUACCCCGUGAAGCCUGACAACUUCCUUCAUAUACAAGGGAACCAAAUCUGAAGCUGAAUUUGUGGUCUUCAUGGGAAUAAAAUGCGCAGACUUAGUCAAGCGAUCCACUACCACCCAAAUAGCAUCCCUGCCACGAGGGGAACGAGGUAGACCCACCACAAAAUCCAUGGUGAUAUGCUCCCAUUUCCACUCUGGAAUUUCCAAUGGCUUCAGCAAACCAGCAGGCCGCUUAUGUUCGGCCUUCACGCGCUGACAUACUUCACAGGCGACCACAUACUUAGAAAUGUCAACCUUCAUCCGCUUCCACCAGAAGUUUUGCUUCAAAUCUCGGUACAUUUUGGUUUCGCCAGGAUGAACGGUGUAAGGCGUUUUAUGAGCUUCUCGCAGGAUAUCCAGCUUCACCUCUGAUUUCUGAGGCACACAAAGACGGCCCCUGAAACGAACCAAAUUAGUCUCAUCAAUGGUGAACUCCCGCGGUUUACCAUCACCAACCCUCUUUCGAGCUUCCUGCAAAAGACGAUCCUGCUGCUGAGCCGCACGCACUCUCUCCAUAAGAGAGGAUUGAAUAAGCAUCUGAGUCUCCUCGCUAGCGGUGCCGACAUAACACAAAGCGAUCCCCAAACGGUCCAGAUCAGCGAUCAACGGCAAGGCCACCUUUGGAACCCCGGACCUGCUAAGGGCAUCCGCCACCACAUUAGCCUUCCCCGGGUGAUAAUGAAUGGACAGAUCAUAAUCUUUAAUCAAUUCUAGCCACCGACGUUGCCUCAAAUUCAGCUCCUUCUGAGUAAAAAUAUACUUGAGACUUUUGUGAUCAGUGAAAAUGUCACAAGCCUCGCCAUAAAGGUAAUGCCUCCACGACUUAAGAGCAAAAACCACCGCAGCCAAUUCCAGAUCAUGAGUUGGAUAAUUCCCCUCAUGCUUCCUCAACUGCCUUGAGCCAUAAGCAAUCACUCUGCCUUCCUGCAUCAGCACACAGCCAAGACCAAUACGCGAAGCAUCCGUAUAAACUGUGAAACGCUUACCGCUCUCAGGCAAAGCUAGGAUAGGGGCGUCCACCAACUUGCUCUUCAAUGACUGAUAACUGACCUCACAUUCGCCGGACCAGACGAAGGGAACACCCUUCUCCAAGAGCCUAGUCAAAGGCUUAGCAAUGCUGGAAAAAUUUGGUACGAAGCGCCGAUAAUACCCAGCAAGCCCCAAGAAACUUCGGAUUUCAGAGACACUAGAAGGUCUCUUCCACUCCACCACAGCCGCAACAUUCUUGGGAUCAACCGCAAUACCCUGCUGAUUAAUCACGUGCCCGAGGAAAGCCACUUCGGAUAGCCAAAAGGCACACUUCUUCAACUUGCCAUAGAAUUGAUUCUUCCUUAGGGCACCCAGAACGAGACGGAGAUGCUGUUCAUGCUCGGCCUCGGUCUUUGAAUAAAUCAAAAUAUCAUCCAGGAAUACGACCACAAAAUCGUCCAGGAAUUCAUGCAGCAUCCUAUUCAUUGCUUCCAUAAAGGCAGCAGGGGCAUUAGUUAAGCCAAAAGACAUGACUAUGAACUCAUAAUGCCCAUACCUGGUGCAGAAGGCAGUCUUCUCAAUAUCCUCCUCACGAAUCCUCAAUUGAUGAUAACCAGAGUUCAAAUCAAUUUUGGAGAACACCUGGGCACCCUUCAACUGCUCAAAGAGGACUUCAAUUCGGGGAAGUGGAUAUUUAUUCUUGAUUGUCACUUGAUUCAAAGCACGAUAAUCCACACACAGCCGCUUGCUUUUAUCCUUCUUCUCAACAAACAAUACUGGGGAAGCCCAUGGAGACCUGCUAGGCCUAAUGAAGCCCUUAGCCAGCAGAUCAUCCAAUUGUCGCUUUAAUUCAAUCUGCUCCUUUGGAGCCAUUCGAUACGGGGCCUUAUGAAUAGGCUGCGUACCCGGGAUCAGCUUAAUCUCAAAAGCUGCAUCGCGCUCCGGAGGAAUGCCUGGAAGCUCUGCCGGAAACACGUCAGCAAAGUCACACACCACCCGGAUGUCCUGCACCCGCAAGGCAGCCUCACCCUCCACCACCAUAGAGAAAAAGAUCCCCGACUUCCUUGACCGGCGAUCAGGAAGCAAUUGCGCCAACAAGGAUAAUGUGAACUUCGGGGAACUUCCCAAGAAUACCACCUCCUUACCCGACGGCGCCUGCAAUAACACCGUCUUCCAGAAACAGGAUACAACCGCGCGAUACUGGGAUAACCAAUCCAUACCCAAGAUAACAUUAAAUGCCCCCAAGGAAAUCACCACCAGAUUGGCCGAAAAAACCUCAUCAGCAAGAAUGACGGAACACCCCUGACAAACUGAACAGCUACUAAUGGAGCCAUUAGCAGAACUGACCAAAAUUGGGUGACCCAACCUCUGCACCGAAAGACCAGCCCGCGACACAAAAUCCUCCGAAACAAACGAAUAGCUAGCGCCAGAGUCAAAAAGAGCAUGGGCUGCAAAUGAAUCAACUGAAAUCGUACCUGUCACCACGUCUCCUUGCUCCCUGCCAUCCAUAGCGGGUAGCACAUAAGCUCCAGAAAUACCCGCAGAAGAGGAAGCUCCCGGAGUGAAAUUAACAGAAGAACCCCACUGAGCCACCGGAGGAGGCUGGUGCGGAGCUCCAAACUGAGUCAGCACAGGGGUAGACGGUGCAGGAGUAGGCACAACCUGAUACUGAGGAAAACCUUGCAUCGGCACGAACUGAGAAGUCCCAGUCACAUAAAGCUGCUGUGGAGGAAGAGGAACUGAAAACUGCUGCUCAGGACUUGACAUCAUAUUGAUAGUGCCCUGAGAAGAGGAGGAAGUUAUCGGCUCCCAUCUGAGCUUCCCAUUGGGAUUCCUCCUACACACGACAUCCUUGUGGUCCUGACUGCAGAUAGAACACCUGCCACUCCACUGGCACUCUGCACGGCGAUGCGCAUCUCCACAGCAGAAACACACCAGCCCCAGCCCGGGCUUAGGAACGGUCCGAAACCUCUGAGUACUUCCUCCCGAAGUACCUGAGUCAGAAGAUUUGCCACGGUAAGGAUGGUGGCGCUGAUGCUGAGACUUGCCCCUCUUGUGAGCUGGACCUCCAGUGUUGCCCCUCCUCGUGUCCUGGCUACGAGGCUGAUCAACACCCGAAGACUUCUGCGACUCCAUGGUGUACUGGUGUUGCAUCUCCACACCCAGCGCCUGCUCCACCGUGGUACGGAAGUCCACCAACGGAAAGGCCCCUAGUGCAUGCCUGAUAGAAGGCUUCAGACCUUGACGGAACUGGCUCGCCUUCUCCAUCUCAUUAUAAGCCACAUGAGGGACAAAGCGGACCAUCUUGUUGAAGCCCACCUCAUACUCUGUGACAGACUUCUUCUCCUGCUUGUAGGACUGCAAGUCAAUCUUCAUUUUCUCCAGAAAGGUGACCGGGUAGAAUCUCCUUUCGAACUGCCUGAUGAAAGCAUCCCAUGAUAGGACUCCUGGUGAGGAGGAGUGCGUUGCCUGCACGCCUCUCCACCAAAUUUGCGCCUCUCCCUUCAGCAGUUGAGUGCCAAAGCGAACCCGAUCUCCAUAUGCAAUCUCGAAGACAUUCAUCUUAUCCUCCACAUAAGUCAACCAAUCUGCCGCCUCGACUGGAGUACCACUGCCAUCAAAAGAAUCCAACUUCAUGCCCAUCCACUGCAUCAGAGAAAGACCACUGACAUGAAGAGGCACCUCGGCCCCGCCACCUGGAACAGCACCCGCAGGGACAGCGCCCCCAGGCACUUCUCCACCUCCAGCACCCUGAGCAGCACCCGCAGGGGCGACAGGAAUGGCUUGCCUCAGAAGGGCCAACUCCUGCUGCAUGGCCUGCAUCGCGGCUAACAUUGCCGCCGGACUCAUCGAGUCCCCACUAGGAGCUUGCGGACUACCCCGAGCUCUACGAGGUGGCAUAGCUGCAGCCACAUGGAUGAAAACAAUAAGUAAAAUGAGAUAAGCAUAGCAUCUCUCUAGAUAAUGUCAAAACUAGCACAGACAAUAACAUAAUCAUAUCAAUAGCAAGACAGAAAACCCAUCCUACAUGUGCAGUGUGUCAAUUUAUUACUUCUCCACUUGCUAGGACCUACAGCCUAUCCCUCUGAUACCAACUGUAACACCCCACUGGUCGCACAAAAUGGAUAAUACCAUAAACCUCAUCCACCAAACUUACUCAACACAAGAGAUGUAAUAAAGAAAGAAUAUAAAGCAAGAAAAAAAUCUGGCAGCACCUCCUUUGAAAACUAGCAUAACAAGGAGGGGAAACAUGAAGCUCAUACAAGAUAUAAAGACAUAUAAUUCACAUAGUAGAAACUGUAAUGCAAAAGUGGUAAAACCUAAUUAUGACCCAACUGAAGUAAAACAAAUGGGAUAAGAAACCCACCCCACCCCAAAAUAAACGCUCAACCAAGAACAAAACAAUUCACUAGUCUUGUCCAACUCUGAUUAACAACAUUAUUAAAUGGUGGUUCCUUUAUUAAAGGUGUAGUGGCCGUGCUACUACAUCCCUCUACUCCCCAAAGCAGAAAUUAGGUGCCUGCAUCAAACAAUGCAAGAUGUGAGAUAACACAUCUCAGCAAGUAAACAUAACAACAACAAAUAGGACAUUGUAAAUCAACUGUGCUUACACAACCACGUGUUCAGGACUUCUUUCUUUUCUUUUGAACAGUAAAUUGCAGCAAGUAUACAAGUAACUAAAAACUCAACGCCAAGUAGAAUCACCAUGCACAAGUCCAAAUUAUCCACAUCCACAUAGUAGAUUCAACACCUCUCCCAUGAAUGCACAUGGCUACAAAUGCAAUAAUGACUUCUGCCUCCAUAUCUCUAAGGAUAUGAAGCUGCACCAUACCCCUUCUCGGGCAACAUAUGAUGCUCAAUGUACCGGUACGGUCGGACCAUAAGAUCGCGACGAAACUUCAAUGCAAUGGAUGAUGAGUGCAUUAUGCAUGACAACAUCAUAAGUUCUUCCCAAAAAAAAUGUGCUAGGCAUUUACUUCCACCCAUUCCACAUAAUAACCACUUGAGUAACAUAAUCAAACCUCAAAUUCAACAUAUGAAAUCCAUGAAACAUGAACAUUUUCAAGUGAUGGUACUCAAAAGCAAAUAUGAAUUUGAACAUGAUAGCACAACAUAAACAAGUAUAAGACUCCUCAUCUGACAGACGGAAUAACCAUCACAGUUUUACUUGCCUUCACCGAAGUUUGGGCAAAAAUCCCUAAGAACGAUCCGGAAGUCCACCACUUGUUUUUGACACCCAACUUAGUGCACCAAAUUCACAUAAAAAAACUCAAAGACAACACCGCACCUACGCGCAAUCUCAAACCCCGCCGCGGUAACAAUUCUCCCCUCACUAACCAAACUGCAGCGGCGCUGCUUAACAAUUCCAUAACUUAAAAAUUAGGACAGCAGUGGUGUCAAACAAAAACUUCAGAGACAACUACAUAAAAUUCCCCACAAGUUUUGUAUACUACUCAUGAUUAAAUUCUAACAUCUAAUUACCUCUAAACGGUCCACAAAAUAAACCCUGCAAUCUGUUUUUUUUCUGAUUUGGGCAGCGACAUACUCGGAUUCAAACAGCGAUAACUUUUAAAAUAUAAUUCCGUUUUAAGCGCAUAAGUACUUGUUGGAAAUAUAAGAAAAAUCCCUACAUGAUUCUCAUACUGAUUAACACUAAUUACUCCCGAAAAAUCCCCAGAAACUGCUAAUACUGCUGCUGUUCAUCACUCUGAAAAAUCUAUUUUUUGGACAGCCACAUACCCGGAUUCAAACGAUGAUAACUUUUGAUUUAUAACUCCAAAUUGAGCGCAUAAAUACUCGUUGGAAAGGUAAAACAAAGUUCUACAAGAUCCCCAAAUUGAUCCCCAUUAAUUCUUCACGGAAAAACCCUAAAAACUGCUAGAACUUCCGCUGUUCGUCCACCACGUAAAAUUCUGGACAGCCCCCCUCUAUCUAAUCGCAAACGCAACAUCUAAUCAAUUGAAUCGCAGCGCAAAUGAACAAGGGAUGAACACAAAAAUCACCUUGGGUUCUCCCCCUUUUCUUCCUCCCUUCUUCCCUCCACCAAAACGGUUGGAGAUUCGCACCACGAGACGAUGAUCCGAGCGGCAAGGAUUGGCACCUUGGGAGGAGGGGAUUGAGGGGGGGCGGCUAGGGUUUGGUGGCUGCAAAAAUUGAGAGAGGAAGAGAUGGGCAGGGGGCGGCCAAGGGGAGGAGGAGAAGUGGGGGGGGCGGCUGCACAUGGGGGGAGGGGUUUGGAGAGAGGCGGCUAGGGUUUGGGAGGGUUAAUGGGCCGAAACACCUAUUGCGGCCCAACUAACCCACGCGACAGCUCCCGACCGCAACACAAGCGUCAAAACAAAUAAAUUCUACUGCCCUAGUUGUGAAUGUUUUCCACAAAAUUCCAAAUCCCCAAAACAACAACCGGAUGAGGAAAAAAACAAAAAGAACAACCCCCAACUUCUCUUCUUUGCAAACCGGGUAUCACACAAGGCCAUACAUAUGAAAACUGUUGGUCCAUUGCAAUCGUUACCUAUCCCAACUUGGAAAUGGGAGGAUAUAAGUAUGGACUUUAUUGUGGGAUUACCCAGGACAACAAAAGGGUUGACUCUAUUUGGGUUAUAAUUGGUCGGCUUACGAAAAUUGCUCAUUUUCUGCCCAUCAAGACAGAUCAUCCAGUUGCUGUCUCUGUCUAUGCCCAAUUGUAUAUUACUUGUAUUCUUAGUCUGCAUGGGGUUCCAAAGACAAUAGUGUCGGAUCGUGGACCUCAAUUUGUAUCUGUCGGUACCCUGAAUCAUGGGUACCCCUUACUAUAGUAUGAAGACGCGGUGCCCGUACGACGUUCUCUAGUUGCACGGUGAACAGCACCUGGCCCACCGCGUGGACGGCUCAAGGGGCACCACGUGGCGAGAAAAGAUGAUACAUCCCAGGAUGUAUCAGUUGGACCGGACCUCCGCAAGAAAGGUCCAGGCCCCUGUAUGCACAACCCGGACCCUCGAUUAUGGUCCGGGACUCCCAAGUAAGCAUGCCGGGUCCCUUGAAUGGGGUCCAGAUCCCUCCGGGUAAGGUCCGAGCCACAACGAGGUCUCGGGACAGGGGAUACCCUGGCAUAAGCAAGGGUCCGGUACUGACACGUGUCAGGCCUUAUUGAGAGCACCUAGAGGGGGGGUGAAUAGGUGAUCCUGUGAAACUUGAAACUUAAUCCACAAAAACUUGAUUAGGCGUUAGCACAAUAAUGCGAAGUGGCUAGAGAGGAGUCUCAACAAAACACAAUAACCACAAGAGAUCAAUCACAGAGAUGGCACAAUGGUUUAUCCCGUGGUUCGGCCAAGACCGACGCUUGCCUACUCCACGUUGUGGCGUCCCAACGGACGAGGGUUGCAAUCAACCCCUCUCAAGCGGUCCAAAGACCCACUUAAAUACCACGGUGUUUUGCUUGCUUUACUAUAUCCCGUUUGCGAGGAAUCUCCACACUUUGGAGUCUCUCGCCCUUACAAAGAUGUUCACAAAGAGGCACAGAGUAAGGGAGGGGUUAGCAACUCACACAAGACACAAAGAUCACAGCAAAUACGCACACACAAGGCCCAGACUUAAGCUCAAAAGACUAGCACACUAGAACGGAGCUCAAAUCACUAGAAUGUCGAACAAGUGCGCAAGAAUGAAGUGUGAGUGAUCAAGAGUGCUCAAGGAAUGCUUGGUAUCCUCCUCCAUGCGCCUAGGGGUCCCUUUUAUAGCCCCAAGGCAGCUAGGAGCCGUUGAGAGCAAUCCGGGAAGGCAAUUCUUGCCUUCUGUCGCCUGGCGCACCGGACAGUCCGGUGCACCACCGGACACUGUCCGGUGCGGAUUUCCUUCCUUAUUUGGCAAAGCCGACCGUUGGCAGCCUUGGAGCCGUUGGCGCACCGGGCACUGUCCGGUGCACACCGGACAGUCCGGUGCCCCCUCCCGACCGUUGGCUUGGCCACGUGUCGCGCACAGAUCACGCGGCCGACCGUUGGCCCGGUCGACCGUUGGCUCACCGGACAGUCCGGUGCACACCGGACAGUCCGGUGAAUUAUAGCCGUACACCGUCGUCGAACUCCCGUGAGCAGCAAGUUCGCCAGAGUCAGCCUGGCGCACCGGACACUGUCCGGUGCACCACCGGACACAGUCCGGUGCACCCAGACUGCGCUGACCUUGGCUGAACUUAGCCAUCUCUUCUCCAACUCGAUUUUUCCUGUUUCCAGCACUUAGACACAAUACAUUAGUCACUAAAACAAUGUACUAAGUCUGAGAAACAUACCUUUAUACUUGAUUUGUACUUUGUCCACCAUUUGACACUUAGGCACUUGUGUUGGACACUAAAUCACCAAAACACUUAGAAAUGGCCCAAGGGCACAUUUCCCUUUCAAUCUCCCCCUUUUUGGUGAUUUAUGCCAACACAACAUAAAGCAAGUAGAACAAGUACAAAAUCAAUUCAAAUAAGAACUCAAAUUUGUUUUGAAUCAAAUUUGGCAUAUAUGGAUCAUUCUUUGGCACCACUUGGUUUGUUUUUGCAAAUCGACCUCAAUUUCCUAACUCUAAGUCAAACACACUUGUAGAGACAUAAAGAGAGUUGUUCCAAUAGAAAUUGAUUACAGCAUCAAAAACUCCCCCUAUUUCCCAUAAUCCACCAUUCUCCCCACAAGAGACUAACUUUUGAUAAUAAGAAGCAAACAAGAGUAUUUUGACAGACAAAAACUCUAACUCUACUUUUUCAAAAUUCUCAAGUGGUAGCUGAUCCAUUUAUUGCUUUAGCCUUAUUUUCUCCCCCUUUGGCAUCAAGCACCAAAAUGGGAUCAAUUUUGGCCCUUUAACCCCAUUGCCUCACCAAAAAUCUUCAACUAAGAGUAAAAGGCAAUAAGAGUACUAAGAUGAACUUGGAAGAAGUUACUCGUUCAUUGGAGUGUAGUGGAAGUCUUGCAUGGUCCAAGUUCACCUUUUCCCUUUCAAUCCUCCUUCGAGACUAAAUCAAGCAAACUCAAGCACAUUGUUAGUCUCAAAGGGUCAAGUGGUAACACAUCUCCCCCUAAAUAUGUGCAUCACUUUGCAACGGACUUGUGAGGUCCGGGGAGUGCUUGUACAACUUGAGCACCAUAAAUAAGCAACAAUGCAUAGGGAACAUGAUCAAAGGCAUAAACACAUGUAUGCUAUAAAUCAAUCCAAGUUCCGCGAAUCUAGAACAUUUAGCUCACUACGCAGCCUGCAAAAGGUCUUCUCAUCUAAAGGCUUGGUAAAGAUAUCGGCUAGCUGGUUCUCGGUGCUAACAUGAAACACUUCGAUAUCUCCCUUUUUGCUGGUGGUCUCUCAAAAAGUGAUGCCGGAUGUCAAUGUGCUUUGUGCGGCUGUGCUCAACAGGAUUUUCCGCUAUUCGGAUAGCACUCUCAUUAUCACAUAGGAGUGGGACUUUGCUCAGAUUGUAGCCAAAGUCCCGGAGGGUUUGCCUCAUCCAAAGUAGUUGCGCGCAACACUGUCCUGCGGCAACGUACUCGGCCUCAGCAGUGGAUAGGGCAACGGAAGUUUGUUUCUUAGAAUUCCAUGACACCAGGGACCUUCCUAAGAAUUGGCACGUCCCCGAUGUACUCUUCCUAUCGACCUUACAUCCAGCAUAGUCAGAAUCUGAGUAUCCAAUCAAGUCAAAGUUAGACCCCUUUGGAUACCAGAUCCCGAAGCAAGGCGUAGCAACUAAAUAUCUAAGAAUUCGCUUCACGGCCACUAAGUGACACUCCCUUGGAUCGGAUUGAAAUCUAGCACACAUGCAUACGCUAAGCAUAAUAUUCGGUCUACUAGCACACAAAUAAAGCAAAGAUCCUAUCAUUGACCGGUAUGCUUUUUGAUCAACGGACUUACCUCCUUUGUUGAGGUCAGUGUGUCCGUCGGUUCCCAUCGGCGUCUUUGCGGGCUUGGCGUCCUUCAUCCCAAACCGCUUUAGCAAGUCUUGCGUGUACUUUGUUUGAGAGAUGAAGGUGCCAUCCUUGAGUUGCUUCACUUGGAACCCAAGGAAGUAGUUCAACUCGCCCAUCAUUGACAUCUCGAAUUUCUGCGUCAUCACCCUGCUAAACUCUUCACAAGACUUUUGGUUAGUAGAACCAAAUAUUAUGUCAUCGACAUAAAUUUGGCACACAAAGAGAUCACCAUCGCAAGUCUUAGUGAAAAGAGUUGGAUCGGCUUUCCCAACCUUGAAAGCAUUAGCAAUUAAAAAGUCUCUAAGGCAUUCAUACCAUGCUCUUGGGGCUUGCUUAAGUCCAUAGAGCGCCUUAGAGAGCUUACACACGUGGUCGGGGUACCGUUCAUCCUCGAAGCCAGGGGGUUGCUCCACAUACACCUCUUCCUUGAUCGGCCCGUUGAGGAAAGCGCUCUUCACAUCCAUUUGGAACAACCUGAAAGAAUGGUGAGCGGCAUAUGCUAGCAAUAUAUGAAUAGAUUCUAGCCUAGCCACAGGAGCGAAAGUCUCCUCAAAGUCCAAACCUGCGACUUGGGCAUAACCUUUUGCCACAAGUCGAGCCUUGUUCCUCGUCACCACCCCGUGCUUGUCCUGUUUGUUGCGGAACACCCACUUGGUUCCCACAACGUUUUGCUUGGGACGAGGCACCAGUGUCCAAACUUCAUUGCGCUUGAAGUUGUUGAGCUCUUCCUGCAUGGCCAACACCCAGUCCGGAUCUAGCAAGGCCUCUUCUACCCUGAAAGGCUCAAUAGAAGAGACAAAAGAGUAAUGCUCACAAAAAUUCACCAAUCUAGAGCGAGUAGUUACUCCCUUGGGUUCCAAGUGAAUAGACAAUUAUAUCCCAUAUUGCAUAAUUGACUAACAGAUAACAAAUUAUAUCCAAGAGACUCAACUAAAAACACGUUAGAUAUAGAGUGCUCAGAUGAAAUAGCAAUUUUACCUAACCCUUUUACCUUGCCUUGGUUCCCAUCACCGAAUAUUAUUGAAUCUUGGGAAUCCUUGUUUUUGACGUAGGAGGUGAACAUCUUCUUCUCCCCCGUCAUAUGGUUUGUGCAUCCGCUGUCGAUAAUCCAGCUUGAACCUCCGGAUGCAUAAACCUGCAAGGCAAAUUUAGGCUUGGGUCUUAGGUACCCAACUCUUGUUGGGUCCUACAAGGUUAGUGAUAAUGGUCUUAGGGACCCAAAUGCAAGUUUUGUCUUCCUUACAUUUGGCCCCUAACUUCCUAGCAAUUACCUUCUUAUCCUUUCUACAAAUAGCAAAGGAAGCAUUGCAAGCAUAAUAAAUUGCAGAAGGUUCAUUCAUUACUUUCCUAGGAGCAUGAACAAUAUUCUUUCUAGGCACAUGAACAAUAUUUCUCCUAGACAUAUCUCUACCAUCCAUAUGGGAAGAACUAGAAGCAAACAUGGCAUGAGAAUCAAAAGCAUCAUAAGCAUUAUAACUCCUAUAGACAUUUCUAGACUGUCUCCUAUCAUGGUACAUAAAAGCAUGGUUCUUUUGCACACUACUAGUCAUAGGGGCCUUCCCUUUCUCCUUGGUGAAGAUGGAAGCCUUAUGGCUUGUUAAGUUCUUGACUUCCCUCUUAAAGCCAAGACCAUCCUUAAUUGAGGGGUGUCUACCAAUCAUGUAGGCAUCCCUUGCAAAUUUUAGCUUGUCAAAUUCACUCUUGCUAGUCUUAAGUUGGGCAUUAAGACUAGCCACUUCAUCAUUUAAUUUAGAAAUGCAAACUAGGUGUUCACUACAAGCAUUAAUGUCAAAAUCUUUACACCUAGUGCAAAUCAUAACAUGUUCUACACAAGAGUUAGAUUUAUUUGCUACUUCUAGUUUAGCAUUUAAAUCAUUGUUAAUUCUCUUUAAGCUAGAGAUAGAGUCAUGACAUGUAGACACUUCACUAGAAAGAAUUUCAUUUCUUUUAACUUCUAGAGCAAGUGAAUUUUGUGCGUUAACAAAUUUAUCAUGCUCUUCAUAUAAAAGGUCCUCUUGUUUCUCUAAAAGUCUAUCCUUUUCAUUCAAGGCAUCAAUCAAUUCAUAAAUCUUAUCUAUUUUAGCUCUAUCCAAUCCCUUGAACAAACUAGAGUAAUCUAUUUCUUCAUCAUCACUAGACUCAUCCUCACUUGAAGAAGCAUAAGUACUAGUGUUUCGAGCGCUUACCUUCUUUUCCCUUGCCAUGAGGCAAGUGUGAUGCUCGUUGGGGAAGAGGGAUGACUUGUUGAAGGCAGUGGCGGCGAGUCCUUCAUUGUCGGAGUCGGACGACGAACAAUCUGAGUCCCAUUCCUUGCCAAGAUGUGCCUCGCCUUUUGCCUUCUUAUAGUUCUUCUUCUUCUCCCUCUUGUUCCCUUGUUCCUGGUCACUAUCAUUGUCGGGACAGUUAGCAAUAAAAUGACCAACCUUACCACAUUUGAAACAUGAGUGCUUCCCCUUUGUCUUGGUCUUGCUUGGCUGCCCCUUGUGACCUUUUAGCGCCGUCUUGAAGCGCUUGAUGAUGAGGGCCAUCUCUUCAUCAUUGAGCCCGGCCGCCUCAACUUGCGCCACCUUGUUAGGUAGCGUCUCCUUGCUCCUCGUUGCCUUGAGAGCAAUGGGUUGAGGCUCAUGGAUUGGACCGUUCAACGCGUCGUCGACAUAUCUCGCCUCCUUGAUCAUCAUUCGCCCGCUUACAAAUUUCCCAAGAACUUCUUCGGGCGACAUCUUGGUGUACCUAGGAUUUUCACGAAUAUUGUUCACCAGAUGUGGAUCAAGAACAGUAAAGGACCUUAGCAUUAGGCGAACAACGUCGUGGUCCGUCCAUCGCGUGCUUCCGUAGCUCCUUAUUUUGUUGAUGAGGGUCUUGAGCCGGUUGUAUGUUUGGGUUGGCUCCUCGCCCCUUAUCAUUGCAAAUCUCCCGAGCUCGCCCUCUACCAACUCCAUCUUGGUGAGCAAGGUGACAUCGUUCCCCUCAUGAGAGAUCUUGAGGGUGUCCCAGAUCUGCUUGGCAUUGUCCAAGCCGCUCACCUUAUGGUACUCGUCCCUGCACAAAGAGGCUAACAACACAGUAGUAGCUUGUGCAUUUUUAUGAAUCUGUUCAUUAAUAAAUAUAGGACUAUCCGAGCUAUCAAAUUUCAUUCCUUUCUCAACAAUCUCCCAUAUACUUGGAUGGAGAGAGAACAGGUGACUACGCAUAUUGUGACUCCAAAAUCCGUAGUCCUCCCCAUCAAAGUGUGGAGGUUUGCCAAGAGGAAUGGAGAGCAGAUGAGCAUUUGUACUUUGCGGAAUACGAGAGUAGUCAAAAGAAAAGUUCGAAUUAACCGGUUUCCUUCUCUCGUAGUCGUUGUCGUCGUUGUCCUUUUGGGAAGAAGUGGACUCGUCGCUGUCGUCGUAGUAGACGAUCUCCUUGAUGCGCCUUGUCUUCUUCUUCUUCCCAUCCUUCCGUUUGUGGCCCGUACCCGAGUCGGUGGGCUUGUCAUCCUUUGGCUCGUUGACGAAGGACUCCUCCUUAUCAUUGAUCACGAUUCCCUUCCCCUUAGGAUCCAUCUCUUCGGGCGGUUAGUCCCUUUCUUGAAGAGAACUGCUCCGAUACCAAUUGAGAGCACCUAAAGGGGGGGUGAAUAGGUGAUCCUGUGAAACUUGAAACUUAAUCCACAAAAACUUGAUUAGGCGUUAGCACAAUAAUGCUAAGUGGCUAGAGAGGAGUCUCAACAAAACACAAUAACCACAAGAGAUCAAUCACAGAGAUGGCACAAUGGUUUAUCCGGUGGUUAGGCCAAGACCAACGCUUGCCUACUCCACGUUGUGGCGUCCCAACGGACGAGGGUUGCAAUCAACCCCUCUCAAGCGGUCCAAAGACCCACUUGAAUACCACGGUGUUUUGCUUGCUUUACUAUAUCCCGCUUGCGAGGAAUCUCCACACUUUGGAGUCUCUCGCCCUUACAAAGAUGUUCACAAAGAGGCACGGAGUAAGGGAGGGGUUAGCAACUCACACAAGACACAAAGAUCACAGCAAAUACGCACACACAAGGCCCAGACUUAAGCUCAAAAGACUAGCACACUAGAACGGAGCUCAAAUCACUAGAAUGUCGAACAAGUGCGCAAGAAUGAAGUGUGAGUGAUCAAGAGUGCUCAAGGAAUGCUUGGUAUCCUCCUCCAUGCGCCUAGGGGUCCCUUUUAUAGCCCCAAGGCAGUUAGGAGCCGUUGAGAGCAAUCCGGGAAGGCAAUUCUUGCCUUCUGUCGCCUGCGCACCGGACAGUCCGGUGCACCACCGGACACUGUCCGGUGCGGAUUUCCUUCCUUAUUUGGCGAAGCCGACCGUUGGCAGCCUUGGAGCCGUUGGCGCACCGGACACUGUUCGGUGCACACCGGACAGUCCGGUGCCCCCUCCCGACCGUUGGCUUGGCCACGUGUCGCGCGCAGAUCGUGCGGCCGACCGUUGGCCCGGUCGACCGUUGGCUCACCGGACAGUCCGGUGCACACCGGACAGUCCGGUGAAUUAUAGCCGUACACCAUCGUCGAACUCCCGAGAGCAGCAAGUUCGCCAGAGUCAGCCUGGCGCACCGGACACUGUCUGGUGCACCACCGGACAGUCCGGUGCACCCAGACUGCGCUGACCUUGGCUGAACUUAGCCAUCUCUUCUCCAACUCGAUUUUUCCUGUUUCCAGCACUUAGACACAAUACAUUAGUCACUAAAACAAUGUACUAAGUCUGAGAAACAUACCUUUAUACUUGAUUUGUACUUUGUCCACCAUUUUACACUUAGGCACUUGUGUUGGACACUAAAUCACCAAAACACUUAGAAAUGGCCCAAGGGCACAUUUCCCUUUCACUUAUCCUGUGCGCUUGCGCUCCCCGCUCAGGCGGAGACCCACUGCUGCCGCAUGGCUUGUAGCCUGUGACAUAAGCCAGCGGUUGGAGCCUGACGUAAGGCCUCUAGGUCAUGCGGUCUUUGCAUUUAUUGCGGGAAGGACGCGCCGCCUGUCCACCCUGCUGACAGGUGAUGUGCCCCCUUGGUAUUUAAUGCGACAUGUCCACUCCAUAGGCAGGCGGCGCCAGGGCCAUCCUGCAGACGGCGUGCAUGUCCAGUCCGCUGUCAAACAGUGCGCCCGUGCUACACAACGCACUGUGUCCAUCAUCCCUUAUACGAGAAGCUUCCCCUGCACGCCGAUACUAUGUAGAUCUCGAAUGUCAGGGCACAAGAAGAUUGCUCGAGCGACGGACAUUAGUAGCUCCAAGUACUACAUCCGUUAUGUUCUUGGGCCCACAUGUCGGGGCUCAGUACCUUUGUGCAUGCCCCCUUUAGCAAUAAAAGAAAAGGCAUGCAAUGUUACAACACAAGGCCUUCUUAGACUCUCAACUCUCAAACUUCCACAUUAAUCCAACACACAGUGGAGUAGGGUAUUACGCUCCGGCGGCCUGAACCACUCUAAAUCCUCGCGUGUUCAUGUGCUCGGCGAUCGCUUAGCAAGACAGGCAAAACGCUUAAGCCCCUUCCUCAUCUUAGAAUUUAGGGCGGGUGCAUUCCGCCACCCGGCUGGAGAAUUCCCUCUCCGUCAUUUGGCGCACCAGGUAGGGGGGCUAGGCAUUAGGUUUUUGCUUGUUUCCUCGCUCAGCAUGAUGGUGCAAAUCGUGGAGCACCACGCCGAGACUUCAACGGAUUUCCUGGUGGAGGAAGAAGUUGUUUCUUUCACACCACAGGUUCCCAACCGCCCAGUGUCGGGCACUGCUGUUGUGCAUGCUGCACUUCAGCACACAACUACGCAGACAUCCCGGACUCCGUCGAGAGCGGCUCCGGGAGCAUUGUCAGCAGCCAGGGAGUUGCUGCGUCACCCUCCAAGCUCCACGGCCUCACCGGGGGCCAUGAAGCAGUGGUGGGACGACGUCGACCGACUGCUCGACAUGGCACAUUCUACCUCGACCAGGUCGAGGCCACGGUCAUCCCGGCGCCAACAUGAGGCGUCGGCGUCUGUGCGCUCACCCUCAGUGAGGGGUGCACAGACCAACGACAUCUGGGCAGAACUCAACCGCAGGCGUGCGGGAGAGGACGCCCGGGUCUCUUUGGAGAGGGCGCACGAGCGCUGUCAAAACAUCGAGGGCCGCAACCUCGAUCAAGACUUCGUUGCGGUAGCACCACAGGCCCCAAUGGGCACCCGGUCCCAAGCGGGUGUCCCCUUGGCCGGCGUGGGCUACGCCGCUCUCGCGGAUCAUCUCCGUACGGCGUCAUGGCCAUCCAAGUUUCGGCCACACCUGCCGGAAAAGUACGAUGGUACGUCAAAUCCGUCGGAAUUCCUGCAGGUGUAUGUCACCGCUAUCACAGUAGCAGGUGGAAACAUCGCUAUGAUGGCGACAUAUUUUCAUGUCGCCUUGUCUGGACCUGCCCGGACUUGGCUCAUGAACCUCGCCCCAGGGUCAAUCUACUCAUGGGAAGAGCUCUGCGCGCGGUUCGUUGCAAACUUCGCCAGCCCUUACCAACAGCACAGUGUGGAGGCCCACCUCCACGCGGUAAGGCAGGAGCCCGAGGAGAAUCUCCAGAUGUUCAUCUCCCGCUUCACCAAGGUACGAGGUACUAUACCUCACAUUUCCGAUGCUUUCAUCAUCACGGCCUUCUGCCAGGGAGUACAUGAUGAGAAAAUGUUGGAGAAGUUGGCCACGCAUGACGUGGAGACUGUCCCCACACUCUUCGCUCUGGCCGACAAAUGCGCUAGAACCACCAAGGCCCAUGCAUGGCACUCAGCCCCACAAACCGGGACUGCCCAGUCGGGUGGCUCGGGUGCCAUCCCCCGGGACGGUAAGAAGAAAAAGAAGAAGGACCGCGACUACCAGAAGCUGCAGUCCACCGCUCUAGUCGUUGCAGUCGCGACCGGGGGCCGGAGCGACCGCAACAAACUCCCGCGGCCGCAGAGGGGUAAUAGCGGCUCAUGCCCUGUACACCCCAACGGUCGCCACAACGCCGCGGAGUGUCGUGAGAUCAUUGACCUCACGAAACGCGUCAGUGAGCUGCGCGAGCAGUCUUCCAAAGAUGGCUCCCCACCUCGUCGUCGACCUGGCAAAGAAAAGGUCGACGACGGCGAGGUGGCCGCAGCUGAACGGGACCUCGGGUAUCAGUCACCCGAGGGGGACCUGAAGGAUGUCUUUGCCAGAGGCUCCUACUCCGGUGGGGACAACUAGAUGGACCCCCAGAGGGACCCCGUGCUCCCUCGGUCUACGGGGCCAAAGCCUGCCUUCCCCCGGAAACCCUUCUGGACUCCUCACGGGUCCAGGCUUCUGACAAGUCCAUGCAAAAAUGGCUACAACACGAGGACGAGGACUCCCUCAUCAAACGCAGAUGGGAACCUAGGGUCGGGACCUAGUCCUACGGCAAGUACCAAACCAAGAAAGGCUCCGCAACUAUCCCCCAGCCGGAAAGGACCCUUCAAGGUGACGGGAAUACGCCUACCCGGGGGUGACUAUCUUGCUACAGCUGAAGGAGUACCUCUUCCUCACCACUAGAGCAUCUCUGUAAGUCCUAUCCAUAAGAGCAAGUCUGUGGGGUCGAAUUUUUCUCCCUUUUGUAACUAGGUAACGCAUACGUGUACGCCAACCCGGUGAGGUCCGCCCUCAUAAGCCCGGCCUGUUGGUCUGCACCCAUGCAAGACAAGUUAUAAAGAAAGGAUUUACCCCCUCAGAUGUGCCUCUAUGAUAGUUUUAUCCUACGGCUCCAUGGUCUUACCUUGCAGUUGUCCGGAUGAUAUUUUAUCUAACCCACCCAGACGGUUCCCUUUCCAUCAAACAUAAUGACAUCCGAAUUGAACAGUCAGGCUUGCAGUUUAGGACCUCUCUGUGAAAGCAGGAGGGCCCGACAGCCUGGGGCCGGUUCUAAAGAACGGAAGCCCGUUCCAUGGAGUGGUCCGGAGCCUAUGUGGCCGCUUAGCCUGGUCCCAUACCCGAAAGCCUGCACACUCCACUCCGUGACGGGUACCCUACUAUUUGAAGCUAUAAGUCAUGUGGGUCCGGCAACCUAGGGUCCGGAACUAGAGAAUGGACACUUGUCUCCUGGGUGGUCCGGAGCCCAUGUAGCCGCUCAGCCUGGUUCUGUACCGUGGGCCUGCACGCUCCACCACUCUACGACGGGUGUCCUAGUACCUAGAACCACCAUCCAGGGGCCUGGACACACAACUUGGCCUCCCAGACUAGACCUUGUAGGUCCCGAGCAUGUAUCAAAGGAUGGCUAGUGUCAGAUGGCGGGUCCUGUGGGUGUACUACUAAUGCUCCCUAGCCAAAGCUGUGUGCAGGCCCAGGUCCCAGUCGAGGCUACCUCCUGGUGGCCAUCGCCAACUCUUUCUUAGGUAUGCUGGUCUGCAGCCUCGAUAAAUCGAGCCUACAUCCCAGGGGGGGCAGGUACCAAGGAGGAAUCGGUUACACCACACACAACAGGGACAAGUGGUACACAGAUAAGUGCUAAUACUGCUUGAUAGAUAGUACUCAAAAGUACCUUACAAAAAGCAAAAGUAUUACAUUCGCCUUCAAGCGGAGUCCUAGCUCCAUCUCUUCUCUACAGGUAUGAACUACCUCUACACCAGUAGGGCCGCGUGGAUAGCUAGAUCCGAGCGGCUCGCCAGCGGAGCCGACCACCUCUGCACCGACGGCAGCGACCACCUCUCACCGAUGGCUCACCAGCGGCGACGACUACCUCAGCUCCGAGCGGCUCGCCAGCAGAGGCAACCACCUCUGCAACGGGUAGCCUCACCAGUGGCGGCGACCACCUCUACGCCGGGCAGCCUCCCCACCGGUGGCGACCACCUCAGCAUGCGCGCCAUGGCGAAGAGGUCCUCGCCUCCGUUCCCCUACGGGGGUGAGGACAAGACCAUCCAAGCCAUGGAGCUAGGAGCACCGGUGGAAGAGCGCCGCUCCCACAUGGCCGCGCACCUCCAGCAGAGGAAAAACAAGACCGGUAGCACCGGCCCGCUAGGGAGGACAAAAGGCACAAACUCUCUAGCGGCAAGCUCAUCGGGGUGGAUGAUGCCGGUGCAAAUCCUUCCGCCGAGUGCCGACGCAUUCCAUCCAAGCAGGCGGUAUACCAUUUCGAGCACUCACUUAGUCUGGGCGCGCUCGGGAUGAAGUCACAAGGCCAUGGCAACACGAAGCAGAGACCUUGAAGGCAAAGGGACACGGCGAGCUCGAAGGCGAAAGGGCACCACGAGUGGGAGAGAAGCAAGACAUGGCUACUACUCGAGGGAUGAACCCCUCUUUAAAGGCAGACUCCCCUGCUCCCACCUCGAAGUGUCGCGAGAAGCCUCCCCCGAUGCACACCGGGGUAUCCAUCCCAUGACAAGGGGGCCCAGCCCCACAGGUCAUACAGCUGGCGCGCUAGCCUUCGAGUGCGAAGAAGGCGAACCACCACAUAGGAAACGUGCUAUCGCCCUACGGUAGUACGCCUCCUUCAUCUUCGCUACGACCAACGGUCAAGAAGGCGAACCGCCGCACAAGGAGCAUGCUACCGCCCCGAGGUAGUGCGCCCCUCGUCUUCGCUGCAACCAGCGGUCCAACCUCUGGCAUGGGGGCCCAGGCCCACAUGUCAUACACCUGACGCGCCGGUUUCUGGAUAUAGAGAAGUCGCACCGCCACUCGUGCCAGUACCACGCCUCCUCAGGGCCGCCGCAGAAGGCGGAGAAGUUAAAUCUUCAAAACCAAUGCAGCGACUCGAGGCACCCCGCGCAUGGCUGAGAGCACCUAGAGGGGGGUGAAUAGGUUAUCCUGUAAAACUUAAAACUUAACACCACAAACUUGAUUAAGAGUUAGAAUAAUGAAAUCAAGUGAGUAGAGAGGAGAACUCUUGUGAAGCACAAUAGACACAAUAAGGACAAGCACAAGAGACACGAGGAUUUAUCCCGUGGUUCGGUCAAGUACAAAAACUUGCCUACUCCACGUUGUGGCGUCCCAAUGGACGAGAGUUGCACUCAACUCCUCUCAAGUGAUCCAAUGAUCAACUUGAAUACCACGGUGUUCUUCUUUACUUUGCUCUUUUCCCGUUUGCGAGGAAUCUCCACAACUUGGAGUCUCUCGCCCUUACAAUAAGAAUCAAUAUGAAGCUCAAGAGUAAGGGAGGGAAGCAACACACUCAAAUCCACAGCAAAUACGCACACACAAGAUCAAAACUUGAGCUCAAGACAAUAUCUCGAGGUUCUCACUAGAACGGAGCUCAAAUCACUAAGAAUGUCGAAUAAGUGCGCAAGAAUGAAGUGUGAGUGAUCAAUAAUGCUCAAGGAAUGCUUGGUGUACUCCUCCAUGCGCCUAGGGGUCCCUUUUAUAGCCCCAAGGCAGCUAGGAGCCGUUGAGAGCAUUUCAAGAAGUCAAUUCUUGCCUUCUGUCGCCAGGCGCACCGGACAGUCCGGUGCACCACCAGACACUGUCCGGUGCGGAUCUCUUUCCUUAUUUGGUGAAGCCGACCGUUGCAGAUUCCUAGCCGUUGGCGCACCAGACACUGUCCGGUGCACACCGGACAGUCCGGUGCACCCUUCUGACCGUUGGCUCUGCCACGCGUCGCGUGCGGAUUCCGCGGUCGACCGUUGGCCCGGCCGACUGUUGGCUCACCGGACAGUCCGGUGCACACCGGACAGUCCGAUGAAUUUUAGUCGUACGCCGCCGAUGAUUUCCCGAGAGCGGCCAGUUCGCCAGAGCCAGCCUGGCGCACCGGACAGUCCGGUGCACCCAGACCGAGCUGUCUUAGGCUUAGCAAAGCCAUCUCUUUUCCAACUUGAUUUUUCCUGUUUCCAGCACUUAGACACAAUACAUUAGUUCUUAAAGCAAUGUACCAAGUCCAGAAACAUACCUUUAGACUUGAUUUGCACUUCUUGAGUCCUUGGCACAAUUUAACACUUAGGCACUUGUGUUGGACACUUAAUCACCAAAAUACUUGGAAAUGGCCCAAGGGCACAUUUCCCUUUCAAUGGCCCAACAAAGCCAUUAAGUGUGGAGGUCACGAGUCAGUCAGUCGCGGGUACAGGCAUGGCAGUCAGCAUGACCAAGGGCGGACCGGCAGUAAUUGCAUCAAACGGGCGCGCAGAAGCAGCGAGCCAAUGAGUCAAACUUUGGCCCCACCUGCAGGCUCGUAUCCUCCCCUGAGGCGGGCCCGGGGGCCACUAUUGGUACCCUGAAUCAGAGGUACCCCUUACUACAGUAUGGAGAUGUGGUGCCCGUACGGCGUUCUCUAGCGGCACGGUGAAUAGCACUCGGCCCCACCACGUGGACGGCUCAAGGGGCACCACGUGGUGAGAAAAGAUGAUACAUCCCAGGAUGUAUCAGUUGGACCGGACCUCCGCAAGAAAGGUCCGGACCCUGAUUACGGUCCGGGACUCCCAAGUAAGCAUGUCGGGUCCCUUGAAUGGGGUCCAGAUCCCUCCGGGUAGGGAUGUAAUCGGAUUGGAUACAGACGGAUAUCACUGAAAUCAUAUUUGUUUUCAUAUUUUUAUUCGGAUUCGAAUUCGAAAACGGAUAGCUUCGGAUACGAAUACGAAUACAGAUAUUCUCGGAUACAAAUACGAAUAGUUGUGUGUCGAAUACGGAACUAGUCGGACACGGAUAUUGUCGGUAAUGGUUUUUUUGUCGGAUAUCAUGUAAUACAUCAUUCCACACAUAUGGUUCUAAUCAUGUAUCCACUCCUUGAGUCUAAACAUUUUUUAGUAUUAUAUGUGUACAUAUGUCAUGUUUUUUUGUAAAAAAUCAUGAAUUUUUAGCCUAUAUGCGUGUUAUUAAUUUAUUUUCAAUAAAAUCAUCAAAUGCAAAUAAGUUACCAAAACUAAUAAACAUUCUAUAAAAAUAUAACCUGAAGUCUCCACAUGAAAAUGAUAAAGUGAACUUGGAUACUUAGAGUGAUUUCACGUGUACUUCACACAACAAGUGAAAGUGAAAUGAAAGAAACACUAUCAUAUUGUAGAUUUUAUGGUCCAAAUAUUUUGGAGGAUUAUAUGUGGACAUAUGGUAUGCCUCCAUAAAUUUUCAUGAAUUUCUGAGACUAUUUAUGUAUUAUUAAUUUAUUUCUACAAAAAAUAAAAAAAUGCACACAGCUAUCCGGAUAAGAUAUCCGGAUAUCCGAGAAGAUUUAUCCGAGAAAAUAUCCGGAUAUUCGAUAUCCGACGGAUAUCAGGCAUAUUGUAUUCGAAUUCGAUAUCCGAACAAAAUAUCCGUAUUCGUAUCCGUUAUCCGAAAAAAGUCCGGAUAUCCGAAAAUUCUAUCCGAACCAGUGUUCACCAUCUUCGAAUCCGGAUCCGGACGGAUAUUUUCCGAACCAUAUUACAUCCCUACCUCCGGGUAAGGUCCGGGCCACAACGAGGUCCCGGGACAGGGGAUACCCUGGCAUAAGCAAGGGUCCGGUACUGACACGUGUCAGGCCUUAUCCUGUGCGCUUGCGCUCCCCGCUCAGGCGGAGACCCGCUGCUGCCGCGUGGCUUGUAGCCCGUGACAUAAGUCAGCGGGCGGAGCCUGACAUAAGGCCUCUAGGACGCAUGGUAUCUGCAUUUAUUGCGGAAAGGACGCGCCACCUGUCCACCCCGCUGACAGGUGAUGUGCCCCCUCGGCAUUUAAUGCGACCUAUCCACUCCACAGGUAGGCGGCGCCAGGGCCAUCCUGCAGACGGUGUGCUUGUCCACUCCGCUGUCAAACAGUGUGUCGUGCUGCACGGCGCACUAUGUCCAUCAUCCCUUAUAUGAGAAGCUUCCCGUGCACGCCGAUACUAUGCAGAUCUCGGAUGUCAGGCACAAUAAGAUUGCUCGAGCGAUGGACAUUAGUAGCUCCAAGUACUACAUCUGUUAUGUUCCUGGGCCCACAUGUCGGGGCUCAGUACCUUUGUGCAUGCCCCCCUUUAGCUAUAAAAGGAGAGGCAUGCAACAUUACAACACAAGGCCUUCUUAGACUCUCAACUCUCAAGCUUCCACAGCAAUACAACACAUAGUGGAAUCUAUACUACCUAUUAAGGCUGCAAGGGGUAGGCUGCCUCCCCUGGUUCUGCCUUCCAUAAAUCUACAUCGUCCAUCUAUAUCAUCAAAUCUACACCGUUCGUCCGUGUGCCUCGUCCCCCGCCUGAUUCGCCAACAUCCCACGUCGGUUCGUGCGCCCCGACCCCCCGCCUCACCGGCUCACCCGCCCCCGCUCAAGCCGCGCUCGCUCGCCCACCCGGCAAGUCCAGAUCUCCCACCGCUCACCAUGGACCUCCUCGACGCGAGGCACCGCCACACGCCGGAUUCGAGCUCCUCCCCACAUGCCGCCUCCGACAUGGGUCUCCCGCUCGCCGGGGCUGCCUACCAGCCCUACGUCUCUGAGCUCCUCUCCUUCUCCAUCGAGCGCCUCCACAAGGUACGUACGCCUACACUUGCCGCGCGACCCUUGAUUGGCGGCGAUAGUGAUUCCCGGUUUGUUGGUUUGGUGAGCGAUUGUAGGAGCCGGAGCUUCUGAGGGUCGACGCGGAGCGAGUGCGGCGGCAGAUGCAGGAGGUGGCGGUGGAGAACUACGGCGCCUUCAUCGCCGCCUCCGAGGCGCUCUCCUUCGUCCGCGCGCAGCUCGAGAACUUCGAUGGCCACCUCGAGGCCAUGGUAAUGCGGCCGAUCCCUCCCUGCUCGUAGUAAUCUUUACUCCAUUGCUUCUAUUGUCUGCCCCCUUUAUGCCAGAAGCUGUUCCUCUAUAUGGUUCAGUAACAUUUAGUAGGUCUUGCGCAAUCAACUGAUCGGAUUAAUGCUUGUGGAGGGAUUGAGUUCAGCUGCUUUAUGCUGGUAGCAAGUAGAUCACGUGAUCUUGUUACUGUUGCACCCCAGAGAUGUGGUUGCCUCUUAAGUGGAACUGCAAUUCUGCUAGCAAUGUGGUCAUUUUUAAGUUGACUUUUUCAAUUAUUUCUAUUGGCCAUGAAAUCACGGUCAUAUAGAUGUAACUAUGUAAUAAAAAAACGACUCUAAUAGAACCUCUUUUUGUGGAUCUAAGCUUCCAUAUAGUUAGCCUAAUUAUUUCGUGAAAAAAAUACAGUGCCUGCAUCUUCAAAUAUGCGUAUCAGGACAGAAGUAACCUUAGUUCAUUCUGAUGAGGCAGGGUCAUUCUGAUGAGGCAGGGUCUCAACCUCCACCUCACCCUAGCCUGCCUCCGCCGCCCGCCAUGGCCUCCCUCACCUCAACCUCCACCUCACUCUUCCCGCAAGCCUCCACAUCCAGAAGCCACGUCCGGCAUUGACGGGCUCCGCUCCCACGCGCGCCUCGACCACGUGCUCGCCCGCGACGACAACCGCAUCGCCGUCGCGCGCGCCUCAGGAAGGACCCCACCGUGCACUUGCUCCUCGGCGUCAAGGCGGACCCGUGCGUCGGAGGAUGCCACCCCCACCCAAUACCACCACCCAGGAAUGCAGCCAACCGGCACCCAGUGGCGACAUCGGAGCCGGGCACAACCACAACACUAGAGGAGAGCGGCGCGAAGAUAUCGGCCACGACCGUGGCACUGGAGGAGAUGGCAACGAAUACUCAACUCAUUCACCUUGCCUCCACAAUGAACUGGCGAUGAUCACUCCCUCGCCUCGAAGAUGCUGCUACGACCUUCUUGCUACAUCCAGGUAGGAAACGACAUGCCACACAACAAAGUACGCUCCGUGCUGCCCAUAUCUACCUAUUCAAAGCACAUAUGCACAACAAGUGUUAGACUUUUUGCCUCUGUGAGAUGGUUGUUCAGUUUGGACCUAAAAAAUACUUGCACACAGAUGACUGUUGUAGCUGAUGGCUUCGAAGUUCAUAAAAAAACAAAUAACAAGUUUUGUUUAUGUAUUCCAAUAUAUUCAGUCAUUUGAAUUCAGCAACCUUUCUUAUUAGUAGAAGGCCAAUGGAAAAUAAACAUUUAUCAAGCAAAUGUGCUUUUGUUUAUGGUAGGUGAGAACAUGCACACAAAUAACCCGGAGAUUGCCCUUGCCCAGACUUGCUGGAAAUUUGGUUAGUACAAAUACGAUCUCUUGUUGUAAAUAGUAGUUUGACAACAACUAGCAAGAAUGAAAUUUGUGAUAAACUUUAUCUGUCCUAAGUGUCUUUAAAACACAUGCACAGUUCAUUCUGAUGAGGCAGGGUCUCAACUGUAUGUCGUUAGACUACCAUUCCAUGUAUGAAUAAGCGGCAGGGUCCCAAGUGUAUUAAUUCUUUGGCUUUAAUGGUACAAUUACUUGCUUGGUUAGUUCCCUCCCUCCCUCUCUUUCUUUCUGUGUUGUGGAAUAGCAAAGACCAUCGACGACAUCUAGAUUGUGUUAACUUGUGUACAGUUUCAGUUGUUGAGCAACUUCAGGUUAUGGCAUCAAAACAUCAGUAUAAAGAAGCAGCUGCACACACCUGUAAAAGCUUUAGAAUUGAUUUCAAUGUCUGAAAUAUUUUAGUGCUCGUACUGAUUAUUUUGCAUGAUUCUGCAUAUGAUUUCUAGCCAAUUUCUAACUCUGUUCCAGGCACUGAACCAACUAUGCAGUCAUUUUGAAGCCUAUAGAGAUAUGCCCAAAAUAACAAAGCUGAGAGAGAAAUUCAAGAACAUCAAGAAAAAUCCCUUAGUUGAAUUAUUUGUCUCCCGCGGUGGGCAGUAGUUGCUACUGACGCACGCAACCCAUGGUAAAUUGACUACAAGCAAGUUUCUUAUCUGUCCCCUCGCCCUUACUGUCCCUUAUAUCCCUUAAUUGAAUUAUCUGUCUGAUCACUUGUAAGACGGGGCCAUGUCAAUAUUCCUUACUUUUAUUGUCUGGUCAAUUAAAAGAUUGUGGACAAGAUCCAACAACUACAACACUUCCACCUGAAUAUAAGGCAAUUUUUAUGUUACUCCUACGCUACAACAACUUUAGGAUAUAGGACAAUUUUUAAAUUCUUGCUAUUAUGUGCUUGUACCAUGUUUUCUGGAAACAAAUAUCGAUUCUCCACUUCCUCAUCCUCCUGAAUUGUUAUUAAUUGAUUGUUUCGUGUCUGUUACUUUGACGAUCUUUUUUCUUAAAGGAGAAGUCGAGGUGUCCUGAUUGCAGAUCUUGAGGUUGCAUCAUGCGUUCAACUAAGAUACAUCAUACAUGUUUUGUAGUUUACUUUUCUCUUAGCUUCUGUUCUUACAAUUCUGUGAAGUGAGUGUGGCAAAAACAACGGAAUAUUGUAUGCUGACAAAUAAUUUACUUUUAAGAAUUUUUAUUAACUUUCUGAAAUGGAUAACAAUUUCCAUAUCUCUUUGGUUUCUAGCAACCAUAGUUGUUAUUACUUCUUUGCUAAUGAUGACAGUGCCAAAGUUUACAGUUUAGUUAUGUUCUCAUAUUUUUUAUAGAUUCUUACUAAUACCCGAACCUUAAACAACAUGAAUAAAUCUUGGUAUUGGUAGUGUGAUCUUUACAAAAAGUCAAGAUGGUGAAGUUCACGGCUGAAGAGCUUUGUGCCAUCAUGAACAAAAAGAACAACAUUCGUAAAAUGUCUGUUAAUUGAAGUUGUUCUAGGAGAACUCGAAGUCAACAAAGGUUAGGGAUAGGAGUAACCAAUAUUAUGGAAAAGUGAAAUGAUAGCAGUUUUUUUGUACAUCUUACUCGAAGUGGUAAUCCAGGAAUCAACAGAAGGUUCAGACCCUUUCUCACCUACUCCACCUUUGUGAAUAGAAGCAGCCAUCCAGAGGGGCAUAUUGCUAAUCCCCUUCUUAAGAAAAUAGUAUGAAGCUCUCCUGCUUUGUUCCUCGUUGGUUCCAUUGCUGGUCACUAGCUCACAGAUCUCUCCUUGCCUAACUAAUGAUAAGCGCUAUUGUUUCCGCUACAGACCUAUUGCUCUGACUAAUGUUGCUUUAUUGAAAGGAUGAAAAAUUUGCAGGAGUGAUGAUGGGUAAUUUGUAUCUGGUCUAUACUGCCCAGCUGGUAGUUAUCUCAUUGCAUAAAUUUAUGAGGUAAAAAUCUUUUUAAGUUAUUAUUUCCUACGAACACUAUUUCAUUACAUUUAGAGGUGCAAUGUCAUGUUAAUGUAUAAUAUAUAUACUACUAUUUUUCAAGAUAAUGCCAGUUAGAUACUAUUCCAUGCUUUAUGCUAUUUCUCUAUUUUUCCAUGCUCAUGAUAACUACGAAUGCCACACAAUUAAACUAAAAUUGUUUCCUUAAAUUGAAUCUUCAUCUCUAUUGAUGGCAGAACUAGCAUGUGUAACUUGAUGAGGUUUACGGGUCUCAAGCAAGCGCUGCUCAGAGCGUUCUUAUAUGAUAAUCUACAUCAUUAUCUAUUUGGCAUUGUCUAAAUUUGAAAUAAUUGAAUGCUUUUUUAUGACUCUGACCAUCGCUAUCCUCCCCUGUAGCUAGCUUGUAAUCCUACAUAUGGUCCUUCACUUUCAUGAUUUAAAGUUGGUCACCUCCAUAUCAAUCGUAUUGAAUCCCUAGGCAGCCAAACAAAAUUGUGGAACAUUGAACAAGAUUCUGGCAGCAAGUUAUUGGUCAAGGAAUUGAAUGAAGCAAUAGCGUUGGUCACUAGGUUUUUGGGCCCUCCAUUGCAACCUUUGGCGGAAUAGGAUGAUGAAAUGGAGAACACUUGCAGGCAACUCUCUAUAGAAUGCAUAAUCGUCUGAGACUACUGAAUAUUGUUCCAACCUAUCAGUAAGCAGUGUUUUAUGCGUUUGCACUUAUCUCAUGCAUUGAUUUGACCUUAUGAAGAUAGAAAAAGAAGUUACACACUAAUCUUGUAUGAUGAUGAUGAUGUUUCAAGCUUACAGGCGUAUAGCCAUAUCAGAAUUAGGGGCGAAUGAAGCUUUUUCUUUUGUUUGUUUGUGUGGCACCUUUUUUCUUGUGUGGUCCACUUUGAGUAACCAUAUUACUAGGGUUAGAGACAAAAAGAUCAUAUGAUCUUAAUGAUUCUAUGUAUUUGGCACAAAUGCAAUUUUUUUCUUACUCGCAAACUAUUGUAGUUGCUUUUGGACUAAAAAUUUUGGUAACUGGUUAUUUGUUUUGUUUUAUGUUUUUAUAGUGCAAGCAUUAGCAGCUCUAUUGAGUGGAGCUCCAUUGUCCUCCUCGUAUGGAUUAUGGUAGGGUAGAAACACCAUAAGGGAAAUGCUCCUAAAGUCAAGUUUCUUCGUACAAAGGUGCCUACAGGUAGCAAGAGAAGUUUCUUUGGAGGUGAUUUCCUGUUUCCACUUCUGCUUCUGCUGAACUUCAGUCCACUCAGUUAGGAUAUACUCUUGCAGGAAGUAGACCUAGCAGCCUAUCCAAUUACAGCUACAAGAGCCCUAUACUGAAGAAGGCUAGGAUGGAGGUUAAUAGGUAAUGGUUGCUCUUGGUAUUAUGAUGAUAGAUAGAAGCUACUCUUUCUGGAACUGCCACUCUGUGUUGUAGUCAAGUAGGUUGCAAUCUGCUAUCCAAAAGAACACUUUUGCAAGGUUUGCACCGCUACUAUGCUACCAGUCCAUGUCGACAUGAAUGGUUUUAGCAAAAUGCAAUUUCAAUCAUGAAAUUCCCAGGUUCGCAGUUUUCUAAGCAUCUUUUUUUUCAUUGUAUCUACUGACGGCCAGUGACAGAAGAGGCUUUGUUGAAGCAACCUAAAGUGUUCCCUUGUAAUAUUUCAGCGCUUAUUUCUGACGUGCAUUUGUUUCAUUCUUAUCUUAAUGUGAGGCUUAUGUGUGUUUUGGAAUUGAGUUCCAAGAAGGCCACUAAGAGGAACAAACCUACCAAAGGAAGAAAUAGGUUCCGAAAGAACAUUGGCUUUGGUUUCAAGACACCCAAGGAAGCUAUUAAAGGUCAGUAUCUCUUUUCGUGUCUAGCCAAGUAGUUGGUGUUUUUGUUAGCUUGUUAGCCCAUAUGAAGCUAUGAAGACCCCACAACAUGCAUAUAGUACAUGACUAUUUUGAAAUGAUAAAAUUACUAAUCUUUACUACUAUUAAGGUUGUAAGGGGUAGGCUGCCUCCCUGGUUCUGCCUUCGGUGAAUCUGCAUCGUCCGCUCGCUUCCGUAAAUCUACACCGUCCGCCCGCCCACGCCCACGUUCAUCCCCCCGCCUCCCCCUUCCCCCACCCUGCGUGAGCCGCCACCGCCCCGCCUCCCCCCUCCAGUCACGGUAACCGUCGGCGGCCCCGUGUGCGCUGCUGGGGAGGACGUCGCGCCGGAGAAAAUGUCGGAGGAGGACGAGGAGAUCGUGGUUGCCCCCGCUCCCGUCACUACCGCGCCCCUCGACCACAGCCGGGUACGCCAUGCCCCCGCUCCCGUCACUACCGCGCCCCUCAACCCUCCCCUCCACUCACCGCGACAUCGCCCCAUUCUCCUGUGAUCACCGCCGAGCAAACCCGACCGUGGUCCUCCUCCUCGCCUGCCCCUUCCAUCAGCUCAAGCGCUCGCUCCCGUAUUUUUCUCUCCCCGACAUCGUGCCCUCUGCGCUCGCCUCCUGCUACCUUUCUCUCCUCGACACCGUGCCAGCCGCGCUCGCCUCCCCAACAAUCCCCUCCAUCUCGCCUCCCGCUCCUGUCCUUCCCCUUUCUCUACCCGACACUGUGGUCGUCGCGCUGACCUCCCACACAAUCCCCCUCCAUCCGCACGAGGACGUGGAGUUGUUCGUCCGUUCCCUUCGCAGUGGCAUCUUCCUCCGUGGGUGACUUCUGUGCGCUCCCCUUGAUGGGCGCCACCACAGCGGUGGACCAGAUCUUGUCGGGCUCGAGGAGAUGACGGUUGACCUCCUUGGAGUAUGCCUAGAGCACCUCUACCCUGCUCGGCCCCACUGACGUGCUGCUGCACGAUUUCAAGUUCGAGCUAGAGCAGGUGCUGAGCAGGGAGAUCCUGUGCAACGAGAACUGUGUCACUGGUAGCAGCACCCCAUUGUUUAGGACACUUUGUCAUCCACGGGGGUGGGGCCACCAACGCCUUCUACUCGGGCCAGGAGGAUGGUUCGUCUGAGUUAGGGGAGAAGACGCGUCGCAGCCGCCUCAAGUAAAUUAGUGGUCGGUCUCCCUUGCCAUGGAGACGGGAAAGCAUUAGCGGUCGGCACCAGCCUUCUUGGCUAGCUAAUCUUCAUCGUACCCAUCAAUUUUUUGAGAAAUUUUUCUUGCAUAUAUAUAAUUGAUGUGGUUUGGUUUGUGGGGGCAAGAACUGUAAGCACAACCCUGAAAUACAUAUACAAGCUAGGAGCUUUAUACUGGCAGAGAAAAGGAUGUGAUCAUGCAAUAUAAUGUCAAAUCUGAUGGUUUUUAUUAGAGUGGGUGUUUCUUUAGUAGCUUGAACUUGGUUACAGCUGUAGCAAAUCUGAUGGGCACCAAGUUUGACUUCUUGGCCUACUCGUCGACGCUCAAGCAUUUGGUACUUGGUCAGGUCUACUUAUUAUACGGUUCUUUCUUGUUCAAGUAUCCUUGUCUUCAUGGUGGCAACAUGAUUAUUCUGGUCACCAUGGAAAACUAUACUCUUUACAUAUUUGGAUACGGACAGACAAGCAGAGAAACACCAGUUGGUCAAGAUGUUAGCUGGUUUCCAGCUCGGUGUGAUCAGGUCACUUGCACUCUUUGUUGCUAUUGUCAUCUGCAACAAAGCUCUCAUCUGCACGCUUGGUUUUCCGUUUGGUUAGUACAACAUACUUUGUUUUUCCCAUGCAUCAAUGCACCUUGAAUAACAAAGCAUCAAGUAUAGCUGCUCAGAGCAGGAUGUUGACUUGUCUUGUUUAUGAACCUAUGUAGCUACAACAUUAACAAGCUAACAUCUGAUGGUGGCCUUCUGCACCCUUCAUGUGGGAUGUGACAUAGCGCUUGCAUUUUUUAGCCCAAGAUGAUUGAUGGACAAACAAUGAUACUCUUUGGGUUGCUGAAUAGCAUGUCAAUUAGCCUUCUCAACCUGAGUUUCGGAUUCAACUACUGGAUUCUACUAGGUAAGCUCGUUUAGGUACUAUCUUGAUCUGGUCCUCUCUUUUUGAUAAUAAUCCUUAUUCAGGUAAGCAUAUCUAUUUGUUCCAUUUUUUGUUUAUGUUCUUCAUCAGUUUCAUUGUCAGUAACUAAUUAUUUAGAUACUCCAUUAUAAAGUUUGUCAAGUAGAGUUGUAGCAAUUUCAAGUAAUCUAGAAUGGAGUGUUCCAUUUUGUUUCCUGUUAAGUGGUUAUGAAGUCUGAUUUGUUUUCUCCUCUAUACCUUGGGAAAGAAUACCCACCACAUUGUCAAACUUUAUUUUAUCCCUAGCAUAUGUGCAACUUUUAAAUAGUUGUAAUGCCUCUCUUUGAAGAUAUCGUAACUUAUCCUUUGGUACAAAACUUACUCUAUUGCAUAAAGAGUGGCUUUUAAUUAUUUAUUUUUUUGAUGUUGUAGUAUCCACAUCUUCACAAAUAUGCACUAAAUUUUCGACGACCAUAGUUAUUAUUCAACAAGCAUAGUUAUUUUAUUGUCUGAAGAUCCUGUAUAUGGUGACAAACACAGUUCUCAUUAGCUUUUGGACCUCUGUACAAGUUCACAAAUGCCCGAGUCAGAACCAAAUAUUUUGCGUCCCCAUCCCCCAAUAACUCACACCAAACACUAUAAUGUUCUGAAUUCUUAAAGCCCAUCUUCUCGUUAUGAAGUCCCACAUUUUUAUUUAUAUUAAUACCCUAUAUUGUUUUUUUAUUUGGGGAUGAAGUGCGCAGGAGUUUUGUAGUGUGGGUGAUGAUGCUUGUCUUAUUCUGUGGGAUGCUCGAACUGGCACUGCCCCAGCUGUUAAGGUGAUAGUUCUCUUGUUCUAUAUAUAAUUGGAUAAAAUAUGUUUUUGGCCAAAAUUGAGUCCAUGAAUGCAAUGCGGCUUCUUUUGUAAUAAUAUAACUUCACUCAAAGAGGUGAUGGGCUGUUGGUUUUUAAUGAGACCAUUGCAAUCACAUGGAGCUAUUUAGUUAGUCAAAUUGGCCUGAGAUACUUUACUUGAUGCAUGAUAAUUGUGUUUCUAAUUUUAUUUCUUGAAUGACUGUUCAUUUUCAUUAACUUAACUGAUAUAAUGUGUUGGGAAAUUGAUCCUGACUGAUUUAUUGGUCGAAAGUAUUUUGUUCAGUUUUUUACUUGUUCCAAACAGGGUGACAUUAUAUUUCUUUCCUAAUCCUAAUGUGGUGUACCUUUAGAAUUUUCUUUUUCAGGAUAUGGAGUUUGUAAAUGCAGUAUGGACUAUGAUGUUAAAAGUUAUUUAUUAUUUAUUUCCAGGUUGAGAAAGCUCAUAGUGGAGAUGUUCAUUGUGUUGAUUGAAAUCCCCUUGAUGUUAACUAUAUCUUAACUGGGUAUGAUGUCAUUAAGGCUCAAUUCAGCAUAAUCGUUGAAACAAAUUUGAUCUCGACCAGUUCCUUAUACGUUCAAGUAAUGAAUGUUUCAAUUGAUAUUUCAGGUCUGCCGAUAACUCUGUCCGAAUGUGGGAUCGUCGGAAUCUGGGUUCAGGAGGAGCUGGUUCUCCAAUUCACAAAUUUGAAGGCCAUAAAGCUGUUGUUCUUUGUGUUCAGACAUGUCAGGAUAAUAUUUUUGCUGUUAUUUUCUCUUUAUGUGGAUGUGGCUGCUUUCUAUGCUGUUUUUUUACCUUUUUUUGGCCAUAAUUCUCUCUUUUGGAUUUCAGUGGUCACCUGACAGAGCAUCUGUUUUUGGAAGUUCUGCAGAAGAUAGUUUCUUAAACGUGUGGGAUCAUGAGAACGUAACCACUCAUACACUGAACUAUCUUGUCUUUUCUGAAGGAACCAUGCACAACAUCGGUGAAGGUGAUUGGGUUCAAUUGCUUGUGAUUUCUCAUUUAUUUCUCUGGCCUGACUAAUAGAAGUGUUUGUAAUGGCAGGUGGGGAAGAAGAAAAAUUCUAAUGUCCCAGCCGGGCUUUUCUUUCAGCAUGCUGGUCAUAGGUUUGUUUUCUCAGAUGCAAAAACUAACCCUUAGCAUACAUGCUUCUAUGUCUACCAUGCAUUUCAUAAUUCAUACUGUACAUCUUACAGGGAUAAGAUUGUAGACUUCCACUGAAAUUCGUCAGAUCCUUGGACAAUUGUCAGUGUCUCUGAUGAUGGCGAGAGCACUGGUGGAGGUGGAACACUGCAGGUACCACCUAUUUCUUGCAAUAUUUUUUGACUGUCUUUUUGUUUUGACUGUCCUUUCUUGCAAUAUUGCAAACAAAUGAUUUUAUAACACAAAUAUCAAUCUGUAUUUUCAUAGUUAAUUAGAGUCACUAAAUCUUCUAUAUAAAUGUCUUGUAUUCUUACUGUUUUGUCUGCGCAGAUUUGGCGCAUGAGUGAUUUGAUCUACCGCCCAGAGGAUGAAGUUCUUGCAGAGCUGGAGAAUUUCAAGGCUCACUUGGCCAGUUGUGCACCGAAGAAUUGAGUCAUGUGGGUUACCUGCGGAAUACAAUCCUGUGGAAACUGAGUAGGUGAUGUAGUUUCCUGGCCAUAAGUAUGAGCUCCAGUUGACAUUGAAUCUGUCCUCUGAUGCUCCUAGAGUUGUACCCUUGAGGGGCUUGUGCUUUUGUGUUCUUGGUCGCAGGUUUAUUGAUAUGGCAGAAUCCUUGUGCCAGAAACGUGCUUUGGAGGCUUUCCGUUUGGACCCGACGAAGUGGGGAGGUAAAAUCUUGUGUAGUCUAGCAGCAAUAUCUAUUAUGUUGCCAUGUCGUAUGUUCCUUUUUUGUGAACAUAUCUCUUUGCAGUUAAUCUUUUACUGCACUAAAGCUGUAGUACUUUUCUCCUUUCCUGGUUUGGAUAAUGUGAAUUAGAGAAGGCAAUGAUGGAAAACACUCUGUUUUACCUAUGAGAGAUUAAGAACAGUUUGUAGCAAUUUAGAAAUGUUACAAAGUUUGCAAGGAGUUCAGAUUACAUAGGAUCAGUUGAGAGAAUUAACUUCUGCAUAUGUAGGAAUUGCUCCAUCACAGACUAAACAACUUGCCCAUCUUACCUACAUAUAAUGUGUGUCCACUCUUCUACAUUAUUAUAUAUGUUUUUCAAUAUUUAUCUUUUGUUUCUGACCAUAUUUCUCUCAUAAUGUUAGCUGCCUUUUCACCAAAAUUUUAUUAACUCAUGACCAAUUUUCAACCUCUACAGCGAAUAAUGUGCAACCUCUAUCCGGUUCGCCCGCCAACUUCCAUGUAUACACUGCACUCUUGAAGCCACAUGAAAGGAUCAUGGCUUUGGAUCUUCCUCACGGUGGACAUCUUUCUCAUGGUUACCAGGUACAUGGGUCUGGAGUUUCCUUGUACCUCCAACUAUUUUUAUUUUGAUGCUGCACACAAUCAUGGAUGUUUCCUUCUCUGUUGCCUUUAUUUCCUUUCUGUCUCUGUGGUUUGUUUGGAUUUCUUUAUGGCUGUUCCAUUAUUGCACUGGCACCUGCUAUGCAAAAUUAAGUUCUGCCUGCAUGCUUGAUUAUGUUAUGCAUACGUACUAUCUGCAAAUGAGUGACAUUUUCCCAUAAAUUCUUAGUAACAUUCAGAUAUGAUGCUCUAGAUACUCAUAUAGCUCAAAAGUUCUACCUACUGUUUGCAUACUGACACUAAGAAGAUAUCUGCAACUUCAAUAUUUUUUGAGACAAUGCCUUACAGAUUGGAUGAAAGCACUGGAUUGAUUGAUUACGAUCAG